rnacentral:lncRNA from 1 species
CUCUCUCUCCUUAACAAGAGAUUCCGCAGCCGCCUAGUAUUUUUAAAGAUAAUAAGUAGUAUAAUUAUAUUAUCAAGUAUUAACCUUUCCCUUGCAUUUUGCACCAAAAAAAUCAACCUUGAAAUUCCACUGACUUGACUUGAAAAUAUCACUAUUUUUUUUGUUUCUUCCUUCACUAAUUCUCUUGUAAAUAAGUGCAAUUCCUUCUUAUUUCAACAAUAAUUGAGUUUAGCUCUUUUUCCUUGAUUUUGAGCCGCAACUCUGCAAUCAACCUAUUUUUGUGCAUUUUUGCAGGGCCAAUUCCAAUGAACUCUUCAAUUUUUCUUGCUCUAGUAAGUAGCUAGUAGCUAAUCUCAAGGUCUUGGAACCACUUGAUGCAAACCUUCAUCCAUUUUAUAUAAUCCAUCAUGUUUUCACAUCUUUCCUAAAAACACAAAAUCUGAUGUUAACAUAAGACAAUGGUAACUAACCAAGCAGUAAUUCAAACACCACUAUUUUCUAUACAUAUAUGUAUAAACUAAUUAAGGACCAAAUCUUGCACAUAGAACUUGACACCCCCUUGGAUCUCAAACACAAAUAGCCAAAACAAGUAACCAAGAAAUACAAUACAUAUCUUACAAACUCAAAAUUACAAUUAAGACAAACUUCAACCAACCUUAUAAUUAAAUCUGUCUUUUCUGUUGGCCUUUUCAUUCAGCAAGGCCUCCACAUCCAAUGCACCAGCCAUUCCCAUUUGCAAGCUGUUUAGCAAUCAUGUCAGAGUCAUCAAGAAUUCAAGGUGGAGAUUAAUUGAGAACUAUACUAGAAAAUUUAAAGCGACUUAGGCUAAACUAGAAAAUUGAAUAAAGGGGGUGUCGCAACGUGCCCUUCGCGAGCGAGCGAGGGCGAGGCUCACGGGUGCGCUUUCCAAAGGGGGAAAGAUGCGCGGAGUCGCCACCAACGUUUAUUUGUGAAAAACGUCGGGAAAACCGAAGGAAACCGGUCAAAAUGAAAAUUCUAAGUUCGGGAGUUGUAUUUACGUUUGAGGAAGGUAUUAGCACCUCUCACAUUUGUCUCAAAGGAUAAUAGCCUAUUUUUUAGAAUUGUGGAAUUGUGUCAUCUUAACUUUUAUUUCUUUUUAUUUUUUGAGGUCGACAAAAGCGGGGCUUUUGCUCCUACGUACCCUCCUUUGGAGAGGAAAUCAGACAUACGUAGUUCUUUCUUAUGCGUGAAUCAAGCGAUUCUUUUUACUUGAGGGGUGAUCAUUUUAAGGCGUUGGACCUUAAAAAUGAUCCUUUUUACUUAGUGAGAAACUGAAAUGAUAAAUUUUCAAAACCCUAUUUUUGUGGACGAGCUUGACUAGGCGAGUUGAUUUUAGCCUUAGUUUCACUUUAGUUAUUAGUCAAUUCAAUUAAGAAUGAGAAAUCCCAAAGAGAAAACGUCUGAUUGAUUUUUCGCUUUUAUUUUACUAAAAGGUAUUUUUUGAUUAUUAUAUUAUUAUUUUACCUCUUUUUUGAUUUCCAACAUGGUUACGGCACGACCGAACGGUCGGAAUUCAUUUUAACCAAAAUUAACGGAUGAUACAAUUCAAACGAUCGGUGGAAAUUUAUUUUAUUUUUAGAUUAAGCGAGAAAUGACUUAAAUAAAUGGCUUAAGCACGUCAAAAGGGGGUAUAAAAAGUAAAUGAAAACGAGAGAAAAAAUACAUGAAACAAAAUGUGGACCACCACGGGUACAUAGAAUGAAUUGAAAAGCUUGGUUUGAGAUACUUACCUGUUGAAGACUGAAGAAAACGAAGAACGAACGAUGAAUCUUGAGGAACGGUCGAGAAUCUUCGCGUAAUUACUCACGGAAACGUUACGGAAGUGCCUCGGCUUGGAUUUUCUUCACGGAAAUAAUUUUCCUCAGCAAUUUCGAGAGAGAGAGAAGUGCCUAAGGGGCUGAACCCUUUUCUUCUUCACUUCUCCCCCUAUUUAUAGCAAAAUAGGGGAGAAGCUUGCCGCCCAGCUCGCCCAGGCGAGCAAGGUUGCUUCCUCCAGAAGCAACAGCCUUCUGGAGGAAGGGUCUGAAAGGCCCAAGUGGGCCAGAUUGCUAUUUGCACCCCCAUUUUUACUAAAUGCACACCCCCUUCUAUUUUUUUGGUAAUUAUUUUUCCGUAACGUUACGAAACUUUACGAAUUUCGUAACGAUACUUAUUUUCCUUCCGCAAGGUUACGAAUCCUUACGGAUUAUGUAUUUACUCUUUUUUAGCUUUCGAAGAAGUUACGGAAACUCACGGAUUGCGCAAAAACACCUCUUUUCGACUUCCGCCACAUUACGGAAUUUCACGGAUCGCGCAAGCCUGCUUCAUUUUGAUUUCCGAGACGUCUCGAGACUUCAUUUAUUGUGCAACAAAGGACGCCAAGUACCUCAAAGCGGCUAACCAAAGGUUGCAUGUCAUCAAGUAAUAAUCCCCGGACGAAAUUAGGGUAUGACAGUUGCCCCUCUUUACUUACCUAUCAUCGGAGAUAAGAGGAAAGCAAAGAUAGGACAUUGAUUUCGCCCGUCCUGCCCUUUUCGUGAUGACGACUCUCGUCUCUACUCCUUCUUUUUUCUUCUACACAAAACAAAAUACAAACAACAACAAGAACAACGAACAUAAUAUACAUAUACACACAUACACAUAUACACAUAUUUGGCGAAGGAACCGAUCCGGAAAACAACAGAAUAACGUGUUUCCCAGUCACCAGAGGCUUCACGCUUGACAAUGGAGGACACAUGAACAACGCUAGACAAUAACAUUCAUGGGGCUCCGAAAAAGGGUGAGAAUGGAGGAUUGCCUUGAGGGUCCUCACUUAGGCAAUCAUGAAACACAGCUCCAAACUCGAAAGUGGAGGACACAUGAACAACCCUAAGUAAUAACAUUCAUGUGGCUCCGAAAAAGGGUGAGAAUGGAGGAUUGCCUUGAGGGUCCUCACUUAGGCAAUCAUGAAACACGACUCCAAACUCGAAAGUGGAGGACACAUGAACAACCCUAAGCAAUAACAUUCAUGUGACUUCGAAAAAGGGUGAGAAUGGAGGAUUGCCUUGAGAGUCCUCACUUAGGCAAUCAUGAAACACAACUCCAAACUCGAAAGAGGAGGACACAUGAACAGCCCUAAGCAAUAACAUUCAUGUGACUCCAAAAAAGGGUGAGAAUGGAGGAUUGCCUUGAGGGUCCUCACUUAGACAAUCAUGAAACUCAGCUCCAAACUCGAAAAUGGAGGACACAUGAACAGCCCUAAGCAAUAACAUUCAUGUGGCUCCGAAAAAGGGUGAGAAUGGAGGAUUGCCUUGAGGGUCCUCACUUAGGCAAUCAUGAAACACAACUCCAAACUCGAAAAUGGAGGACACAUGAACAGCCCUAAGCAAUAACAUUCACGUGACUCCGAAAAAGGGAGAGAAUGGAGGAUUGCCUUGAGGGUUCUCACUUAGGCAAUCAUGAAACACAGCUCCAAACUCGAAAAUGGAGGGCACAUGAACAGCCCUAAGCAAUAACAUUCAUGUGACUCCGAAAAAGGGUGAGAAUGGAGGAUUGCCUUGAGGGUUCUCACUUAGGCAAUCAUGAAACACAGCUCCAAACUCGAAAAUGGAGGACACAUGAACAGCCUUAAGCAAUAACAUUCAUGUGACUCCAAAAAAGGGUGAGAAUGGAGGAUUGCCUUGAGGGUCCUCACUUAGACAAUCAUGAAACUCAGCUCCAAACUCGAAAAUGGAGGACACAUGAACAGCCCUAAGCAAUAACAUUCAUGUGACUCCGAAAAAGGGUGAGAAUGGAGGAUUGCCUUGAGGGUUCUCACUUAGGCAAUCAUGAAACACAGCUCCAAACUCGAAAAUGGAGGACACAUGAACAGCCUUAAGCAAUAACAUUCAUGUGGCUCCGAAAUAGGGUGAGAAUGGAGGAUUGCCUUGAGGGUCCUCACUUAGGCAAUCAUGAAACACGGCUCCAAACUCGAAAAUGGAGGACACAUGAACAACCCUAAGCAAUAACAUUCAUGUGGCUCCGAAAAAGAGUGAGAAUGGAGGAUUGCCUUGAGGGUCCUCACUUAGGCAAUCAUGAAACACAACUCCAAACUCGAAAGUGGAGGACACAUGAACAGCCCUAAGCAAUAACAUUCAUGUGGCUCCGGAAAAAGGGUGAGAAUGGAGGAUUGCCUUGAGGGUCCUCACUUAGGCAAUCAUGAAACACAGCUCCAAACUCGAAAAUGGAGGACACAUGAACAACCCUAAGCAAUAACAUUCAUGUGGCUCAGAAAAAGGGUGAGAAUGAAGGAUUGCCUUGAGGGUCCUCACUUAGGCAAUCAUGAAACACAACUCCAAACUCGAAAAUGGAGGACACAUGAACAGCCCUAAGCAAUAACAUUCAUGUGGCUCCGAAAAAGGGUGAGAAUGGAGGAUUGCCUUGAGGGUCCUCACUUAGGCAAUCAUGAAACACAACUCCAAACUCGAAAAUGGAGGACACAUGAACAGGCCUAAGCAAUAACAUUCAUGUGGCUCCGAAAAAGGGUGAGAAUGGAGGAUUGCCUUGAGUGUCCUCACUUAGACAAUCAUGAAACACAGCUGCAAACUCGAAAAUGGAGGACACAUGAACAGGCCUAAGCAAUAACAUUCAUGUGGCUCUGAAAAAGGGUGAGAAUGGAGGAUUGCCUUGAGUGUCCUCACUUAGACAAUCAUGAAACACAGCUCCAUACUCGAAAAUGAAGGACACAUGAACAGCCCUAAGCAAUAACAUUCAUGUGGCUCCGAAAAAGGGUGAGAAUGAUGGAUUGCCUUGAGGGUCCUCACUUAGGCAAUCAUGAAACACAACUCCAAACUCGAAAAUGGAGGACACAUGAACAUCCCUAAGCAAUAACAUUCAUGUGGCUCCGAAAAAGGGUGAGAAUGGAGGAUUGCCUUGAGGGUCCUCACUUAGGCAAUCAUGAAACACGGCUCCAAAGUCGAAAAUGGAGGACACAUGAACAGCCCUAAGCAAUAACAUUCAUGUGGCUCCGAAAAAGGGUGAGAAUGGAGGAUUGCCUUGAGGGUCCUCACUUAGGCAAUCAUGAAACACAACUCCAAACUCGAAAGUGGAGGACACAUGAACAGCCCUAAGCAAUAACAUUCAUGUGGCUCCGGAAUAGGGUGGUUGGCAGGACCAAACGGUCUACCGGGUUCUUCCACCUGAAAGGCAAACAUGCUUUUUGUAAAGAAAAAUAAAUCAUUCGCGAGAGCACCAUAUCUUAGAGAAACAAUAUACUUGUGCCACGGGUAACUUUGCUUGUAACCGAGAAUGAAGGGUAAGACGUCAACUUUUAGCUUUUAAAUGAACAUGCAGGGGAAACAUCGGGCUGAGAUGAACAUAAAUCACUCAUAGUGUAUAAAACUCACAAGGCAAAUGUCUUAUCCUAUUCCCAAACCAUAACUGCACCAACACUUCAUUUUGCACACGAUUUCCUAUCGAAUCAAAGAUCAAACGUACGAUCACGGACCAAUAGGAUUUUCUCGAGGGUGGUGUUUUUGGAGAGGAAGCUGGGUGUUUCGGUUUUUUCCUCUUUGUUCAUGUGGGGUGGGAUAUUUCCAGUCGAAAAAUUAUUUUGAGUGGCAAUCUGGCUUGAAGAACUUUUGCCCUCUUUCCUUCAUUGAUCGAGAAUUGCUUCUUUUCCCUUUUCACUUCCUUUCGAUCUUUGAUCGGGAAUCCUCCCUUUUCUUUCUUUUGUUCUUUUCUUUAUUUUCAUCUUUUUCUUUUCUUUCUUUCCAUUUCUUCCUUCCCCAUCCCUUUCUUUGGGAAAUCGGGUUUUAGCAUUCUAUUCGCUCUCCCUUGAGGAGAUUCCGCUGUCCUUUGCUUCGGGGGGAAAGAAUGAGGAUUCCCUUUUUACAGGCCAAGGUUCAAAAAGUCUAAGGUUGUGUUUCAAUGGGGUCUUUUAUCGUGGGAACCCAUUCUUGAUAUCUGGGGAGAAACAAAUUUGGGUGUCAAGGUGUCGGUUUCGGGCCAAACUUCCAUAUUGAUCCAUAAGGCACAUGUGACAAUGAUGAUUUGAAAACAACGUGCAAAAUUAGUCAUGGCUACAGCUAGGUGGGCACUCAAGCAUCCUGUUUAUGGCAUUGUGAUACUACGGUUGGGAAUUUACACAGAUAGACCCAACGUUUCCAAGUUAUGUUCUUUUCAUCAGUUCAAUGAAUUCAUCCAUCCUUACCUCGGUUCAUUCCGGAAAAUAAACUCUUAGCAUCAGUCCCUUGUUUCCAGAAGAUGCGUUUGCUCUUUACGAAUGAUUUAUACUUCUUAACUAUAACAUGUCGACCUUUGCGGUCUUUCUUUCCCUUUACAUUUUUUGUUUUAUUUUAUAUACGUUCACUAAACUAUACACCCGUGGUCCUUUAUGAGGAAAAUCUUUCUUUGUACAUCUAUGACAAACUUUUUUAUACACGCAUUAGAACUCUUCUUUUUACGUCACACGGUCUAUAUACAAACCCUAUUUAUCUUCAAAGAUUUUUCAUUUUUCCCAACACACACUUAUACACAAAAGUUUCUUCAUAUACACUCGUUGCUCACACGCACAAGAAUUCUUUUCCACGCAUCAUUUACACACAACAAUCCUUUUUUACACACUUUCCUUUUACAUACAUGUAUAAAUAAAAAACUUUUUCUUUUCUUUAUGAACAUGACUUUUAUUCACAAUGCUUCUUUCUUUUUAUUAGGAUUUUUGGCUCAUUUUAUUUUUAGGACGACGUUCCUAAAUGAAAAACUCUACACGGUUCCGGAACUUCAACAAACACUAUUGACAACAAUGAAACAAGUACCGACGUAACAACUCAAACGAUAUGUAAAACAAAAGUCAAUCAACAUGAAACAAACGUUAGUCCCUCAGUUAAACAGAAGAUAGCAUACAAAUGAUAAAUGAUGGAACAUACGAAUAUGGGGAUCCCACGGUCAUGUGGCUCCGCAUGCCCCCGGACUCUUGGGUCACGGUAGCAAAAAGUGGGGUGGUCGACAAAAGCAGGGCUUUUGCUCCUACGUAUCCUCAAUUUGUGAUGAGGAACUCAGACCUACUUAGUUCUUGCUAACUGUGAGACUAAAAAUAGUCUCGGCGUUUUCUUCACCAAAAUGCGAACAUGCUUUAGUAAAGAGACAAAACUUCCAACUGAUCAGAGCAACCUAUGCUUUUUGGAUGAAAGACAAUGUGUCUAUCAGGGAAGGAGAGUAUGCUGAUGAAAUUUUCUCAUAACCGUGAAUGAGAUUUUGGAUGUUAGCACUUUGUUUCUAAACGACCAUUUAGAGGAAACACUGGGUUCAACAAAAAUAGGAGAAAAUCACUCAAAGUGUAUCAAUCUCACACAGGUAAGUGUUUUAUCCUAAUUCCGAACCAUAGAUAUGUCAUAACUUGAUUUUGCAAAUCAUUUUCUAUCAAAUCAAAGAUUACACGCGUGAUCAUGGAUCAAUAGGACUUAUUUUGGGAAUGGUUUUUAGGUGGGGAAUUUGGCUUCGAGUGUUUUUGCCUUUUCCUUUUCUGUUUUUGUUUAGUGCGUGGCGAGAAAGUCGCUAGCGCACAAGGUUUUGGUUGGCAAUCAAAGGGAGAGGACCACUUUGGGUCGUGGUUUCCUUUCUUUUUUGUUUACUUGGUGACAAUUCUGUACUGUUCAGAUAUUGUCUGGUCCAAAGACCUUUCUGGAUGUUUCUUUUUCUUCCGAUCCUUGAUCGGGAAUUUUUAUUUUUUUUCUUUUUUUUUGCUUUCUCCCACUCUUUUAUUGGGAAUUUUCUUUCUUUUUUUGUGUCUUCUCCCUUUCUUGGUUUGGGAAUUUUCUUUUCUUUUUGUGUUUUCUUCCGAGGGCAAGGAUUAUGGUGAGUUGGGAUUUUGGCUCAAGGCUUGUAGAACGGCUGGUCAUGAUAUAUGUCAGGGUUUGGCCAACGGUUCGGGGAUAAAGGGGAUGCCCUACAUUAUUUCCAUGAUACACAUGCAACAAAUGAUGAUUAGGAAAUUUUAUGCAAAACUGGUCAUGCAUGCACCCAUGUGGACACUCAAGCAUCAAGUUUUUAUGGUCAUGUGACACUAGGGCUCAGGAUUCAUUUUCCCUAUUUAAGUCAACCAAGUGUUUCCAAAAUACGUUCUUUUAUCAAUUUGUGCAUUCAUUCAAGUCUAUUUUGGGCGUCCGGGAAAAUUUUCACAGCAUUCACCCUUCAGGUGUAUACACAUUCUUUCAAAAUCUAGUUAUGAUCAACAAAUUUUUUCAAAGAAAAGUUGGAAGUCAUCUCUUUUCAAAAGCAUGUUGCUAGACAACUUUUUUUUUAUUAUUUUUCUUUCUAUUUUUUUUUUCUUAUUCUUUUCUUGCUCGCUCUCUCUCUUUUUUCAUGAGGUAUUUUGCUACCUAAACGUACAUAUAAUAUUUUUGCUAUAUACAUGCAUAUCCAAGGUAUCUUGCUACCUAAACAUACAUAUAUAUGUUUUGUGAGAUAGUUUUGCUAUAUACAUGCAUAUCCAAGGUAUCUUUCUACCUAAACAUACAUAUAUAUGUUUUGUGAGAUAUUUUUGCUAUAUACAUGCAUAUCUAAGGUAUCUUUCUACCUAAACAUACAUAUACAUAUAUUUUUUGUGAGGUAUGACUACCUUCCGAGCUUGUGCUUGUUUUAUUUAAAUUCCUAGGAUCAUGAGCAACUAGGUGUGUCAUACUAUUACUUGAGGAACAAAGGUGAUCGAACAAGCAGAGAUUUAAAAGUUACUAGGUUGCCUCCUAGUAGCGCUUCUUUAACGUCUUGAGCUGGAUGCAUGAUGGCUUGUCGGUCACGGACCUAGUACUUUCCUUACCUUUGACUUUGGACUUGGUCACCUAUUGGUCGGCCAUGGGUCAUAAGCAAUGCUCUAACCUUUUUGUGGAUGAGCUGAGGUGAACUCUAGAGGUGAUGGCGGUGCGUCUGCUGCCCGCCGCCGGCCAUCCCCAGGCUGCUGUGGUGUUUCGCCCUGCGCCUGCCUGGAGACGCAAUACUUCUUGAUGAAAGCUCGAUUAGUAGGGGGCCUGAUGCCCUUGCUGGAGGUGACAGGUACUCCGUAGAACUGACAGAGACCCGUAAUUAGAGCUUGACAACUCCAAGACCCUGUUGGACUUCUUCGGGUCCACUGGGUGUCUUGCAGGCGCGAUCCCUGCAAACAAUAGAUGAAAUCAGAAAUCAGUUGAGUGAUGUGCAUACUUACCGAUGAUGACGUGACCUUGCCGGGGGGAACGGACACCCUGUAGGACUACAGAGGCCCGUAACCAGAGCUGGAAACCCUAGGGCCCUGUUGGACUUCUCCGGGUCCACUGGGUGUCUUUGUGGGUGCGAUUCCUGCAAACAAUAUAUGGUAUCAGAAAUCAGUUGAACCAUAUGUAUACUUACCUAUGUCACGAUGGCAUGACCUCGCUGGGGGAACGGGCACCCUGUAGGACUGACAGAGGCCCGUAACCAGAGCUGGAAACCCCAGGGCCUUGUUGGACUUCUUCGGGCCCACUGGGCGUCUUGUGGGCGCGAUCCCUACAAACAAUAGAUGACAUCAGAAAUCAAUUGAACCAUGUGCAUACUUACCUAUGUCAUGACGGCACAGACCAACCGAUACAUCUGCAGGGGGAGAUUGGCAUUAUGGUUGCCGGGCAGAAUGUUACUAAAUAGCAACGUCAUCCAUAUCCAUGUAAAAGUGGUCGCAUUGGUGCGCAUGAUCCACACUCAUCUUUUUGCAGCGGCACGGGUGAAAUCUUGCCCCGGUAUGCAUAGUUGAUACGUGAUAGCCUCCCUCUCUGGAUGUGCUCGCACAGUUGGUCACCCUCCAAUAUCAGGGGGUAGCCCAGGAACCGUUGAAAGGAAACUGUGGCCCCUGUAACCGGGAGCGCAAGUCUUGGUUAAGCAUUUAAGGGCAAAGGACCUUAUAUUCCCCUAAGGUGUGGAUAUGGAGCCACUGAAAAUAAGGACGCGUAGCCUUCUAAAGGCGAGGGCGUGCAGCCCUCUGCAGGCGAGGAUGUGCAGUCCUCUUAUGGUGAGGACAUACAGUCCUCUAAAGGUGAUAGGUACUAGUACCCAAGGGUCCACCUUUAUGAGAAAGCAAGAGAUCGACUCAUCGAGAGGGUCGGUCAUCCAAAAAGAUUGGACACGAGAUGUAGGAAAUCUAUGCAGUUAACAUGAUUUUUAGGGAUGCAGACUAAUGCAACCUUUGUCGUGAAAUUUGGUAAUGCUAACCUCAUAUGAAACAAUGCAAUGCAAUAGAAAGUUGUACAAUGUUCAUGACAUUCUUUCCCUAUUUUGUGAUUUUGAUUUUGAUUAAUUUUUUUUUUGGAAAACACAGAUUGACUGUCCUUUUGAAAAAGGUGAUAAUUCAUGCAACCUUAUCCUAUCUUUUGCAAAUCUCUCUGGGAACUCCCUCAGAGUGUAUGUUCUGUUUUGAUUUAGUCACUUGACCAUUUUGGAGUGACGGGAAUAGAGUCGUUUGACGUUUAAUCAAUCUAUUGAAACUCCAGGGCUUGUCUCCCUUUUCUUUGUUUAAAAACAUCGACGGGUGAGAACUUUUGAUCUGCCCCUAUGUUCACUUGAGGCUCAUGCACGAUGCCCCUCAUUGCCUCAGUGUAAGACUUUGGGGUACCAAUGACCUUGUAUCUGAGAACCUAUUGGGUGAAAACUUCUAAUCUGCCCCUAGGUUCGCUUGAGGUUUUUGCAUGGUGCCUUUCAUUGCCCAGUGUAGGGUUUAGAGGUACCAAUUGUUGUCUUGUUUUCACAACCUCGCAGUGAGGAAGAACGAAAGAUGCAGUUGAUUCUUGCAAAAAGAAUUUUCCUAGGACGAGAAAUAGUUGAAGGAUUUUUCAAUUGAUGGAUUAAGUCAAAUGACUCCUAUGUAGAAGCAAGAUGUUUUAAUGUCUUGAUGAUGCUAAAGGAUCAAGUGCUUCUAAGUUUUACUCAAGACAAGAAUCCAAGAAAAUCAAGAUAUAUGAUCAAGUUGAUCUUUAGAAUCUUUAGGAAGAAGUUUCCAAAUUGAAAAAUACAAAAGGUUUGACCAAAGAAUUCUAUCAUUUCAAAUUGAGAUUUUCUCUAUGGUAAUCAAUUACCAGCAGUUGAAAAUGUUUAUCACAGUCACUAGAAAUUUGAAUUCAAAAUUUAUGAUGUGUAAUUGAUUACCAGAGGGGAUUUUCAGACAAUAAUUGCCAAGAGUCACACCUAUUCAAAUUUUUUAUGAAUGACCAUCAAAGGUGACUUGGAAACACGAACUUAAAGGGAGUUUUCAUUGCCCAAAAAGUUUUAUCCUCUUAAAAGAUUAAGAGUUUUUUCUGAACUGAAAUAUUUUAUCCUCUCAAAAAGAUUCCUUGGUCAACCACUUGCAUAGUCAAUAAGGAACUUUGAUUGAUCUUCAUUGUACAAUCUAUCUCUUUUAAGAGAGAUCUCUUCUUCUCUUCUUAUUUCUGAAAAGGGAUUAAGAGACCGUGGGUCUCUUGUUGUAGAGGAUUCCUGAAUACAAGGGGAGGGUUGUCCCUGUGUGGUUCAGACUUUGUAAAAGGAGUUUUACAAAGAGAGUGGAAAAUUUCAAGUGGGUUGCUUGAGGACUGGAUGUAGGCAAAGAAGUGGCCGAACCAGUAUAAAUCAAGUUUGCAUUCCUCUCUUCCCUUAAACUUCUUUUAUUUAUCGCUAUUUAUCUUUUGCUUUAAAGAAGUUUAUUUUGAAUUGUCUUUUGAGUAAUUCAUGUUAAGGGUGCAUUGUUAAUCCAAAAAGAGAGAGUGAAAGUUUAAUUGGGGAAUAGUCUUCGUAUCUUAAUUCAACCCCCAUUUUUCUUAAGUUAACUGAGGCAAUUUGUCCAACAUCCUAUUCUUGAUAACUCACUUCUCUCUAAAAAGACAAACUUUUCGGAAUGAUAAAAUGAGGUCACAUGAACGUCUUGAAAACACAGCCAAUCAAAUGUUUUUUUUUCUUUUUCUUUUUGAACCUUUUUUUUAUUUUAAUUUUUAUUUUUAUUUUGAAAUUUAUUUAUUUUGAACUUUACUUGUUGUUUUACGGCAGCCCCACCAACGUGCAAGACGAGUAAUCUCUGAUUGAACGGUCUUGGAAGUCCAAACUCAGGAGCACAGGUCGCUUGAGCAAACAGACCAAUGGCUUGCACCCACAUUCCAGUGAAAGUUGAAUAAGCAAAGAUGCGUUUGUGAGAGGACGAGGGACAAAGAUAUCAACUUUAUCCAUUUCAUUUAACAUUGUAACUGUGGUUUACAAUAAUGGUACAGACUUGAAAAUCCUGAUGGGUCAUUAGAGACAUCUAACAACAGCUUUCAAAAUUGCCCCAUGUGUGGCAUCUCUUGUCAAUGUCAGGAUUUACACACGAUUCUCCUCAAAUUUCAGCCAGCCCUCAUCAAUUAGACCUUGCACCUUACGCUUCAGGCCCCUAGAAUGCUCAAUGGAAUGCCCCGGGGCUUCUCCAUGACAAGCACACGUUGCGUUCGAGUCGUAUUCUCGGAGAAAUAGAGGUUGAUGAACCUUGGUUAGGGUUAUGGCUACCAUUGAAUUAUCAAGUAGAUAUGGGAGCAAGUCAGCAUAGGACACUGGAAUUGGGGUGAAUUCUAAGGCUUUCUCGCUGCAAAAUUCAUUUCUUGGUUGGUGUUUUGGUUUACGCUAAAGGUGGUGUUUGUCAUUGGAAGUGCGGUAGGUAGGCUUUGUGGUUGAUUUUAGGGAUGGCCUUUGUGGAUAACUGGGCGGUGGGUAAGGAGAAGGUUUGUUAUUGGUUGAGUAAUGACAUUGUUGGGUUGGUAGGAAACUUGGCUGUAUUGGAAUGGCAGUCACAGCACGGGCUUCUCCUUCAUCCUCACCCUCUUCAUUUGCCCCAGUUUUCUCAUUCGUCCAAGCAGGGUGACUAAAUUUGCCUUUUUUCAGACCCACAUCGAUCCUUUCACUGGCAAAGACCAAAUCUGCAAAGCUUUGAAGGUGCGUAGCCCACCAUUUUUUCAUAGUAGAAUACUGGUAAUGUGUCUACUAUUAUUGUCAUCAUUUUUUUCCGUCAUUGAGGUGCCACUUGAGCUGCCAGGUCUCUCCACCUUUGGACGUAUUCUUUUGAAGGAUUCGUGCCCCCUUUUUGCACAUGUUUUGUAGUUGCAUCCUAUCCAAAGCCAUUAUACUGACACUGCCUAACGAAGGCAACCAUUAGGUCCUUCCAAGAGUAGACUCGAGAAGGUUCCAAGUUAGUGUACCAGGUAACAACUACCCCAGUAAGACUUUCUUGGAAGGAAUGUAUCAACAAUUCCUCAUCUUUUGCGUAUGCCCCCAUCUUUCGACAAUACAUCUUUAGAUGGUUCUUGGGGCAAGUAGUCCCCUUGUACUUGUCAAAGUCCAGCACCUUGAACUUGGGAGGGGUGAUGAUAUUGGGUACUAGGAACAAUUCUUCUAGGUUAGCAAAGGCAUAAUCUUCACCUCUUUCAAUGGCCCUGAGCCUUUCCUCUAGAUGGUCCAACUUUCCCAUUUCUGCCAUAGCAUGAGGGUUUUUACUUGUUGUGGAAUGCAAGAGGUGUAGCUGGGGGUGAUACUGAGGGCCUUCCGAAGUGUUUUCAAGGGGUAUACCACCAACUGCUUGCCCUUCAGUGGCAUAUCCGAGCCAAGGCUCGAAGUCGGCUAGAUUGUGAUGGGGAAUUUCAUGUGUCUCCCCCACGAUUUAGGAGACAUGUGCAUGAUCAGUUUGGGGUUGUUGGCUCUCAAUGGGUAUAAGAGUGGGGUUAUUGACAUUCUUAUUGGGAGUGUACGCCACAUUGGGUGGCGUAUAGUUGAGAGGCAAGCCAUAUGGCGGGAAGGUGUGCUCGUUUUGAAUUUGCACAUCAUGGGGGCCGCCCGUACUUCCCAAAUCUUUGCCUACCAUAUCUGAGGUUGGAUGAUUCAUUUGGUUGAUGCCGGAUGGGGACAUCAGGUUCACCUUAGCAACAACACUGGUAGCGGCAAUUGCAACCGCAUUGGCUUCCAUUAUCUUCUUCACGCUCAUCAUGGCCUCCAUCAUUGCGGCCAUUUGCUCUUUCAUGGCCUCCAUGUCGGCCUCCAUCUACUCUUGUACCUCCUCCACUUUACCCGUUACUCAAGCUCUAGCACAGGUUCGGUGAGGGCACCGUAAAGCAUGCUUUUUUUCUUUUUUAUAACAAUGAUUAGGUUCUCUUUUCUUUUCAAGGAAAGAAUGCAAUGAGCAAUGCAACCAAUGAACAACAUGGAUGUAUGCGAAUGAUGCACAAUUGAAGUAUUGCGAAUUUUUACACAGGAUAUGGGGUUGAAUCAAUUUAGAUUUUCAACAUGGUCCAUGACAUCUCCGUCAAGGCGAAACUGGAAGUAAUAGGGACAUCGACAGCCCUAAAUGUGUUUGGCAGUAGACGAAGCAACGAUGUAACCCGAUCCAUCUUUUGCCCCAAUUUUUGCAAGAUGGUUACUUCCAUACUUCAACUUGACUCGAUGAAUCUUUUCAUAAAAGUACGAGCUUGGUUCAACCCCAUAACCCAGGGAAUGGCAAUUUUGAUCGCCAAUACUUCAUCAACAUUUCAUAGGGAUGAAAGACUCGGGAAUACGCAUGCCGUGCAUGGAAAAUGUAAUUAUGAGAUUUGAGAUGCCCGAAGAAACAUCCUUUCUUAGUUAACCAUGCAUUAGGUACCAUGUUCAAUCAUUUUGUUUUUAAGUGAAAUGGGUUUAUGAUCCCAACACGGUUGGCUCAUGGUACCGAAUAUAUGCAACUAAGAAUGUAGUGUGAAUUUUCGCGCUUUCUUUUUUGUUUUUGUCCGUAGAGGAAAAUACAAGGAUCAUGUAUGAGCAAACAAAAAGUAUGUUGAACGCAUAUGCAUGAUGAUGCAAUGACUCAUGCAAAAUGGGAAUGUGAUAACGGACAAAUUCAGGAACGAUAUGUUUAUUAUGAUGCUGAAGAGAUGUUUAUGCGGUGCAUGAUAUGAAUGCAUUUACGGACACGAGAGCCCGGAAAAUUAUCUCUCCUUAUUGCGCAUUUGGGGGGCGCAGUGCCCCAUGUGUGCAGUUAAGAAGACGAUAUGGAUCUUCCGGCUUCCCAUGACAAAAGACGAGACCCACAUAUAACUCAUGUGUGACGGUAUGAUGCAGAUGCGUAUGCAUGAAACGGAAAGAAAACAACACAAAGGGGUAAUUCACACAUACGAGACUACAGAGAUCCAACUUUAAUGCUACGUUUUGGGCAUGAUGGUGCCUCAACGUAGUAUUAAAAAGGUUACGUAUUACUCUAAAGAAACCGAACAUCACUAGCAAAACUAUAAACUAGUGCUAUUUACCAAAAAAUGCAUGAGAAUGAAUGGCACGGAGUGUGUUUGCUCUUUGCCCCUAUUUGGGAACCUAUAGGACAAUAUCUAGGGGUCUCUAAUAACUACUCCCCAACAAUUCAUAACUCACACGGCUGUUUUCUAGAGGUAUCAUCACUCAAGAUAAUAAUAUUGUGGCGGUAUGGAAUACCAGCGACAACACAUUAUAAAGAGAGAAAGCUCUAGACGAGGUUUCACUAUUAUCAAGCAAGUCGAAGACCUAGCAUGAUGAUAGAUUCACCUUCACUCCUUAAAUUCCCAUGAACCUGGGUAUAGGGCCCCUUUUUUUACUCAAACCCGUGGGUGCUUAGAAUGCAAUGUAAAGAAUGCGAAAUAGACAACAAUUAUUUACAUUUUACACAGUUCAAAUAAAUGCACACACAAAGCUUCACAAAUCCACAAUUCCUUAAAAUGGGCCUAACUCACAAAAAUGUCCCCAGUGGAGUCGCCAACUGUCGCAACGUGACCUUCGCGGGCGAGCGAGGGCGAGGCUCACGGGUGCGCUUUCCAAAGGGGGAAAGAUGCGCGGAGUCGCCACCAACGUUUAUUUGUGGAAAACGUCGGGAAAACCGAAGGAAACCGGUCAAAAUGAAAAUUCUAAGUUCAGGAGUUGUAUUUACGUUUGAGGAAGGUAUUAGCACCUUUCACGUUUGUCUCAAAGGACAAUAGCCUAUUUUUUAGAAUUGUGGAAUUGUGUCAUCUUAACUUUUAUUUCUUUUUAUUUUUUGAGGUCGACAAAAGCGGGGCUUUUGCUCAUACGUACCCUUCUUUGGAGAGGAAAUCAGACCUACGUAGUUCUUUCUUAUGCGUGAAUCAAGCGAUUCUUUUUACUUGAGGGGUGAUCAUUUUAAGGUGUUGGACCUUAAAAAUGAUCCUUUUUACUUAGUGAGAAACUGAAAUGAUAAAUUUUCAAAACCCUAUUUUUAUGGACGAGCUUGACUAGGCGAGUUGAUUUUAGCCUUAGUUUUACUUUAGUUAUUAGUCAAUUCAAUUAAGAAUGAGAAAUCCCAAAGAGAAAACGUCCGAUUGAUUUUUCACUUUUAUUUUACUAAAAGGUAUUUUUUGAUUAUUAUAUUAUUAUUUUACCUCUUUUUUGAUUUCCAACGUGGUUACGGCACGACCGAACGGUCGGAAUUCAUUUUAACCAAAAUUAACGGAUGAUACAAUUCAAACGAUCGGUGAAAAUUUAUUUUAUUUUUAGAUUAAGCGAGAAAUGACUUAAAUAAAUGGCUUAAGCACGUCAAAAGGGGAUAUAAAAAGUAAAUGAAAAUGAGAGAAAAAAUACAUGAAACAAAAUGUGGACCACCACGGGUACAUAGAAUGAAUUGAAAAGCUUGGUUUGAGGUACUUACCCGUUGAAGACUGAAGAAAACGAAGAACGAACGAUGAAUCUUGAAGAACAGUCGAGAAUCUUCGCGUAAUUACUCACGGAAACGUUACGGAAGCGCCUCGGCUUGGAUUUUCUUCACAGAAAUAAUUUUCCUCAGCAAUUUCGAGAGAGAGAGAAGUGCCUAAGGGGCUAAACCCUUUUCUUUUUCACUUCUCCCCCUAUUUAUAGCAAAAUAGGGGAGAAGCUUGUCGCCCAGCUCGCCCAGGCGAGCAAGGUUGCUACCUCCAGAAGCAACAGCCUUCUGGAGGAAGGGUCUGGAAGGCCCAAGUGGGCCAGAUUGCUAUUUGCACCCCCCUUUUACUAAAUGCACCCCCUUCUAUUUUUUUGGUAAUUCUUUUUCUGUAACGUUACGAAACUUUACGAAUUUCGUAACGAUACUUAUUUCCCUUCCGCAAGGUUACGAAUCCUUACGGAUUAUGUAUUUACUCUUUUUUAACUUUUGAAGAAGUUACGGAAACUCACGGAUUGCGCAAAAAUACCUCUUUUCGACUUCCGCCACAUUACGGAAUUUCACGGAUCGCGCAAGCCUGCUUCCUUUUGAUUUCCGAGACGUCUCGAGACUUCAUUUAUUGUGCAACAAAGGACGCCAAGUACCUCAAAGCGGCUAACCAAAGGUUGCAUGCCAUCAAGUAAUAAUCCCCGGACGAAAUUAGGGUAUGACAGGGGGAAUUUCAACUAACUCUUUUUUGCAGAUCCUUUAUCAAAAGUUUGACAUUGGACUAAGAAAGUUUUAUCAGCUAAGUCAAACAACAAUAUAUAUUUUGAAAGAAUUAAAUUUCUAUGCACUAGUGUGAAAAAUUUUACAUUGACAAUAAAAAUCCUUUACACAAAUUCACUAUUUACUUGUUCCAAAAUAAAUAAAUAAAAAGGAUCCUAUCUUCAAAGACAAUCUCGUAGAUCAUCUCACUAAUCACAUGAUCACAUGCACUUGCUAACUAAGAAGUACCAUAUUUUUUUUCUUUUAAUCUGCUUCGAAAGGCUUUCAUGAGGUGCCCAUGUACUACAUGUCUUUCUAAGGGAAACUUAAUUCAUAUUAAUUAACAAAAAAAUUAGAUAAAUCAAAGUGAACCAACUAACAAUCAAUAUAUAUAUAUAUAUAUAUAUAUAUAUAUAUAUAUAUAUGUGUGUGUGUGUGUGUGUGUGUGUGUGUGUGUGUGUGUGUGUGUGUGUGUGUGUGUAAUGAAUCAGAGAAAGUUUCCUUAUUAAAGGACCAAACUUGAAAAGAUAAAAGGAGAGAAAAAGAAGCUUAAUUUGAAUCACUCUUGAAUCUUCACAAACACUAUUUUAGAAAAGAUACUAUGUACAAGUAUAAAUUAUAAAAAUAUGGAGAAUGUAUCAAAGCUUGAUUCUCUCAUGAAGAAUAAAGAACAAUUGGCACUGCAAGAGAAGCAAUAAUGCAGAAAAAGAAAGAAGCUAUAACAGAAUGAAGGAGAAAAUAAUACUUAUAUUACUUGCUUUGUGAAGGAAGCUGAGUACAUUAUUUAUAGUUAGUUACAAGGAUAACCAACAUGGUUAACUAACCAAAGCACAACUAACCUAAGCAAACUAGCUACAAUUAGUUAAUACAAAAUCAAGAGUUAGUCAACAUGCCCCCCCAAGUUGGAGAAUGGAUAUCAUACAUUCCCAGCUUGGAAUGAAGAGACUGAAAAGCUGCAGGGCAGAGAGCUUUAGUGAAAAUGUCUGCAUUCUAGUGAGAGGAUGAUACAGGAAGAAGACGGAGGAUCCCACUUUGAACUUUGUUUUUGACAAUGUGACAAUCAAUUUCAAUAUGUUUGUUGCUUUCAUGGAAGACCUGGUUGGCAACAAUGUGGAGUACUAAUUUGUUAUCACAGAAAAGUAGUGCAGUUUGGAUGAAAGGAACAAGCAAAUCUUCAAGAAGAUAAGUGAGCCAUUGGAUAUCACAUAUAGCACUUGCCAAUGCUCUGUACUCUGCCUCACUGCAGCUUCUGGAGACAGUUUCUUGUUUCUUUGAUCUCCAUGAAAUUAGAGAAAAUCCAAGGUAAAUAGAAAAACCAGUGACUGAACGCCUUGUAUCAAUACACCCAACCCAAUCUGAAUCACUAUAAUCUUUUAGUUGAGGGGUGUUUUUAGCAUGAAAGAAAAGACCAGCUCCUGGAACUCCCUUGAUGUACCUUAGGAUUCUAUAUGCAGCUUGCUGGUGAGCAUUAGUAGGAUUAGAAACAAAUUGACUCAAAUGUUGAACUGCAUAAGUAAUGUCUGGUCAAGUAUUAGUCAAGUAGAUGAGAUGACCAAUGAGACGUCUAUAGGAAGAAGAUCAACUAUCCCAGAGAGGGUUUCCAGAAUUGACAUGUAACCUGGUUCCAUAAUCCAUUGGGGUACUAACUGGCUUGGAAACUAACAUACCAGAGUCAUUCAGGAUGUCUAAUGUGUAUUUCCAUUGGCAAAUAUGAAUCCCCAAUGAGUUUCUAGCCACUUCAAAGCCUAAGAAAAACUUUAAAUUUCCUAGAUCUUUGAUUUUGAAGGCAACAUGUAAAUGGUUCAUUAUGGCAUUGAUUUCAGAAUUGUCAUUGCCUGUGAGUACUAUAUCAUCCACAUAAACUAAAAGGGCAGUGAAGGAAUUGGCGUGUUUCUUUAAAAAGAGAGAAUGGUUAGAGGGGGAUUAAACAUAGUUAUGAGAAACUAAAAAUAAAGAGUUUUUCAUACAAUUGAUGACUAGCUUGUUUCAGACCAUAAAGGGACCUUUGUAAGUGGCAAACUUUUCCAGGCUGGGAUUGAUUAAAACCAGGUGCAAGUUUCAUAUACACUUCUUCAUGCAGAUCACCAUGGAGAAAAACAUUAUUGACAUCCAGUUGAGUCAAAUGCUAAUUAUUCAUAGCUGCCAAAGCUAAAAGUAAUCAGACAGAGGUUAUCUUAGCAACAAGUGAGAAAGUGUCUAUGAAAUCUAAGCCUUCAAGUUGAGUGUAUCCCUUGGCAACCUAUCUAGCUUUAUAUCUCUCUAUGUUGUCAUCAGCCUUGUGUUUAAUUUUAUAGAUCCAGCGACAACCAAUUGCAGUCUUGUGAGGAGGAAGGUCAAUUAUAGUCCAUGUUUUGUUCAGUUCUAGUGUAGUGAUCUCAUCUCUCAUGGCUUUAAGCCAACAAUCUUGUUUAGAAGCCUCAACAUAUGACUUUGGCUCAGAAAUUGAACUAAUAGACAUGAUAAAAUUUCUAUGUGCAGGGGACAAUUUAUGAUAUGAAAGAAUGGAUGAGAGGGGAUAACAAAUACUUGAUGGAAGAGAGGCAACAAUUGAUGUAAAAUUGGUAUGAAAAUCAUUAUAACGAGCAGGCCUUUGUCGAGGUCGUUCAGAUCGAAGAGGGACAACAUAUGAGAUAGGUUGGGGUGGUUGUAUAUCAAUAGUAAAAGUUGGAUCAGUAGGAUCAUCAUGGGGAACAUCAUAAAGGGGAUCAGGGGAUGGUAUGAUUUGAGGUGGGUUUUUAGUAUCAGGGGCAGUGUUGUUGUCAAUAUGGAGAUAGGGAAAGUCAUCUUCAUAAAAGAUUAUGUUUCGAGAUGUUUCAAUGGCACGAGUUUGUAAAUUAAAGGUUAAGUAACCUUUAGUAUUUGGUUUGAAACUAAGGAAAACAUAAGCAUCAGCUCCUGGGUCAAGUUUCUUUCGAUUUGCUAUAAUGGUGCUAAUAUAGCAUAGGCAUCCAAAAAAUUUUAAAUUUGAAAAAUCAAAUGGUUUGUUGAAAUUUUUUUCAUAAGGAGAUAUGUUGUUUAAAAAAGGAUUUAGCAAACAAUUGAUGAAUAAUACUGCAUGAGAUAAAGCAAAAGACCAAAAAAAUUAUGGUAAAUUGGCAUGAAAAAGGUUAAAAGGUGUUGAUGUUUUCUUUCAACAAUUCCAUUUUGUUGUGGUGUUUCUAUGCAUGAAGUUUGGUGAAUAAUUCCCUAUGAUGCAUAAAACUAUUUCAUUAUAAACUCUGCACCAUUAUCACUUUGAAUUGCUUUAAUUUUUGUGUCAAAUUGUUUUUCCAUAAGUGUAAUAAAAUCUUUGAGGUGCUGUUGUGUUUCACUUUUUGUGCUCAUUAAAAUAACCCAUACAUAUCUAGAAUGAUCAUUAAUAAUUGUCAAAAAAUAUUUGUGGCCAUUCAUAGAAUGUGAGGCACAAGGGUCCCAAAUGUCAACAUGAAUUAAAGAAAAAGGCUUAGGGGAAAGGGAAGUGCUGUUCGAAAAUGGUAAUUUCUUUUGCUUGGCACAAUGGCAAGUGUCACAAAUAAAAGAUUUAUUACUAAAAAUACUAGGAAAAGAUUGUUUUAUGACAGCUAAUCUGUCAUGGGAGGGAUGUCCUAGGCAAAAAUGCCAAAGGUCUAUUUGCUGUUUAUUACAAGAAAAAGUAGAGACAACAAUGUUGUGUCUCACUUUCGGGAACAAUGGUAGCUGCAAGCUUAUAAAGUCCAUCAACUACAUCAACUGUACCAAUCUUCUUCAGGUUGUUCUUUGCCUGUAUGAAACAAUCAUUAGUAGAAAAAAUCAAUUUAGAAUUUAAAGAAGAGGUUAGUUUAGAAAUAGAGAUUAAGUUGAAAUUGAAAUCAGACAAGUAUAAGACAUUAAAAAGGGAAAGGGAAUAAGAAAUUUGAAUUAUGCCUGAGUAUGUAGCUAUAACUUGUUGACCUAUAGGAAGUCUAACUAUUAUGGGAGUGAUUUGCUAAAAAAACUACCCCUAAUACAAAAACUAGUCUUGGUGCCCUAAAAUACAAGGGCUGAAAAAUCCUAUAUUUCUAGGGUACCCUACCUACAUUAUGGAGCCCUAAAUACAAGGACCAAAAUUAAUGAAACCUUAAUCUAAUAUGUACAAAUAUAAGUGGGCGCAUACAUAGCCCAUGAACCCGAAAUCUACCCUAAGGCUCAUGAGAACCCUAGGGCCUUCUCUUGCAUCUUUGGCCCAAUCUUCUUGGAGUCUUCUAUCCAAUGCCCUUGGGGGGUAGGAUUGCAUCAUUCCCUCCCCCUUGAAAAGGAUUUGACCUCAAAUCCAGAGGUUCUUGAAACUCAUGGAUUCUUUCCUCAACACCUGUAAAAAAAAAUAAAAACAUAUGUAUUAGUGAUGUUGGGUAUGUUAGAGUACGGUAUGGACGGAAAACCCCUUUCCUGACCAUCUUCCCAUGAGAGAAUAUAGUUCCUCAUUAACUCAAUGAGUGGUGCUACAAGUAUAGAAAAAUAUGGGACAAACCUUUUAUAAAAGUUUGUUAAGAUAUUGAAGCCCCAAAUUUCCCUUAUACUUGGUGGAGUAGGCCACUCGGGAAUGACCUUUAUUCUCUCAGGGUCCAUGGGAAACCCUUGAUCACUAUUUAAAAAGUUAAGGAAAGUAAUGGAAUAAAACAUACCUUUUUCUUUUUUUUCAUGUUGAUUAUUCCUACAAAAAAUUACGACAAACCUAAGGUGUCCCACAUGAGCACCUAGGUUUGCAUUGAAACAAAAAAUAAGAACAAACCUACCUAAUGAGUCCCUAUGUACACAAAUCAUGAAGAUGUUGGGUGCAUGAGUGAUUUUACAAAAGAGUGUUGCACCACUCAACACAUUCAUCAUACCACCUAUCAUAGGGAUUUGGUGCCUAAUAAUACCUAUUUUAGGCACCAACAAAGCACAAGGAUUUAAGCUCUUGUGAACCAAACCCUCAUCCAACAACUCCUUUACUUGAGGAAUAACCUCAAGCUCAAGAGGUAUGGCGGUGCUAAGGGAUGUUUCCCUUGAUAGGAGAAGGUAGAAAGAUUGUUUAAGGAGUGCUCUUUUAAUAUCACCUUGUGUUGCAAAAUGAUUUUCCUUGUUAACAAUCUUCUUAGAGGAAUCCUUUUCCUCCUUUUCCUUCCCCUUGGCCUUUGAAGACAAGACCUUACUAUCCUUCUUUUUCUUUUGUUUUUUUUCUAGUUUUUCUUCCUCAUCCCUCUUAUCUUUCAUAGUUAGUUGAUCUUUGGCCACCUGUGAAGGUGUUUGAGGAUGCAACACAAAUUUAGUGCCAAGAUGGGUGAGGCUAAUUUCAUUAGUUAGGCCAUUGUAAAUGAUCUUCCUAUCAAAUUUCCAUGGCCUUCCUAAAAGAAUAUGUCCUGCCUCUAUGGGAACUAUAUCACAACUAACUUCAUCCUUAUAUGUCCCAAUGGAGAAAGGUACCUUCACUUGUUGGUUAACUAUCAUUUCCCCAUGCUCAUUGAGCCAUUAAUGUUUAUAAGGUUUUGGGUGAGGAAUGAUAGUAAGGUUCAACUUGGAAACUAAUCUUGUGCUACAACAAUUGCAACAAGAUUCACUAUCCACAAUGAGAGAACAAGUUUUAUCUAAAAUUUUGCAUCUUGUAUGAAAGAUGUUCUCUCUUUGGGAUUGAGAUAGAUCACAAGAUUGACCUCCAAGGAGUCUUCUAUCCAUUAAGAUAUCACCUUCUUCAUGGGGGUAGUCUUCCUCACUAGACUCUUCAUCCCUUACUUCAUCUUCACUUCCACUAGAGGAAGGGCAAGAAGUAUUCUCCUCUUGACUACUAUAAAUGUCUUGACCCCUCGUGAUCAUGGUUUUCUUUGUGGGGCAUUGAGAAGCAAUGUGACCCCUCCCAAGACAUUUGAAGCAUUUAAUGUUGCUAGUCCUUUCUUGGGAACUAGUCUUAGGGGUGUAUUUCUCUAUGGUCUUACUCUUAUCUUCCUUGGGUUUUGAAGGUGCAGCCCCUAAAAUUCCAUAGGCUUGGUCCUUCCUUGGAUAAGAGUAAGAGCCAUAAGAUUUUGAAGAAGGCUUUCUUUUAAGUUGUUGCUCCACUCUUAUACAAAGUUGGACUAGCUCAUCUAGGUCCCUAUAUGGAAGGAGUUCAACCUUGUCUCUCACUUCCAUAUUAAGCCCACUAAGGAACCUAGCUAUGUUUGUUCUUUCCUCCUCCCUAACUCCAGCUCUUAAAAGGAGUAGUUCCAUUUGUUGUCUAUAUUCUUCAACACUCAUACUCCCUUGUCUAAGCCUUUGGAGCUUGUCCAUAAGCUCCAUUUCAUAGUAGGAGAGAAUGUGCCUCUUCCUAAGGGCAUUCUUAAGAUCAUUCCAAUACUCUACUGGAGGAUCCCCAUGAAUCCUUCGUUCCCUAACUAGAGAAGUCCACCAAUAGAGGGCAUACCCUUGAAAGCUAAGGGUAGCCAAUGGAACUUUUCUCUCUUCGCUAAUAUGAUGGCAAACAAAGAGUUGUUCAACCUUCAUUUCCCAAUCUAAGUAGGCCUCAACAUUAUCUUUUCCAUGGAAAUAUGGGAGGCUAAUGUUAACCUCUUGAGGCCUUCUAUCCUUUUCUCUUCUUUGGGAGUGAUGUUUAGUAUGUGAACUAUGACGCCCUCUAUAAUAGUUGCUAAGUUCUUCACUUAAACUCUUGCAAGAGUCAUGACUACUAUAGGAGACAUGUUUUUCUCUUUUCAUUUCUUUCAUUAUUUUUGUUCUUUCUUCCUCUCUUAUUUUCUCUCUUUCAUCUUGACUUAUUUGUUCCACUCUUUUUUAACCUUUUUCUUUUCUCUCUUGUUUUUCUUUCCACAACUUAAGGGAUCUCAACUCAUCUAAUAUCUUAUACAAGGGGUCCUUAGGAGUAGAACCCUCACCAUUAACACUAGAUGAAGAAUGAAGACUCAUGUUGGUUCCUAAGUUAUGGUUCUUUCUUGUUGGGGGUUUGAAAAAAAAGGUAAAAGAAAAUAUGGUUGAAACUAGCCAAAAUAAACACUAAAAGAGGUGUGAAAGAUAAGGUAAAAACUAAUUGGUAAAAGGCAAGCUACCUAGACGGUUUGACAAUAAAGAGUAAAGGAAAUAAGCUAUGAAAGUAAGCAAGAAAUUAAAGUGCAAGAAAUGCAAACUAGGCGGAUCCUAAGAGUGUUUGGAUGACCUCAUUUAAGGUUCCCAACAAAACACUCACUAUCCUAAGGAAAAAUUGCCUAAAAUUAUUACACACAAAUGGAAGUAGGGUGACCUAUUGGAGGCUCCCAACUUUCUUCCAAUGAAAGGCCUUUUUGUUACAAAAUUUGAAAGCAAAGCAAAUUGCCAAUUACAAAAUUACAAAAAAAGUCCUUAAUUGUGGUGGCUAUUCUCUCUAUAGUGUUUCACUCAAUUUGGAGUGCUUCUUAUUCCAAUAGCUCUUAAGGUGGUUGGCUCCUUGUUUCUUGACUCAAAUUCUUCAAGAUUUGGCACCAAUCCCCCUUUCCAAUUCCCUAUAUGGCAACUCACAAGCAAGGAAACAAAGAGACAAGCAAUAACCAAAGACAAAAAAAAAUGAAAUGAAAGAUAAACCAAUAGAGUUUUAACAAGACCAAUUUCCAAGGAUUAUUCAACAAUUAAAGCAAUGAAAAGCACAAAAAAGCAAGCUAGGACUCAAAGAGAAACCUAGAAUGGCUCUAGAGUAGAGUAGAAAAACUAAAAAAAAAGACUCAAUAAACCUCUAGUUUUGACACUUGUUUUCACAAUAAUUUUCAAUUGAAAUUUCAGAACUAGGAUUGGUAUAAAUAGGCACCAAUUAUAGAAUAAAUUUUGAGCCAAAACAACAAGCACACUUUCGUUUCACUUUUUUUUCCUGGACACUGAUUUUUCUGCCAACUUGUGCGAUCUUUCUUAUUUUUUAAUUUAAUCCAAAUCGCUUGAUUCUUUUUUUAUAAUUUUGGUCCAGAUGUCUAGAAAAUUCAGUAAAACUUUCAGCUCAAAAAACGUAGUGACCAAUUCCCAGUAAUUUAUACAAGUUCGUAUGUUCAAGCUGCCAGCACUAGCGUAGAUCUAAGGUUCAGCACCAGAAUAUUAUGAAUGAAAAAUGAUAGAACCUAAAAUCAACACAAAAAUAAGAUUCAAGAGUAGAUCUACAAAAUUUGAACCAUAGAAAUGCAAGAACAAGUGUAGAUCUAAGAUUUAAUCGGUUUAUUCAUGGAGAUUUUUGAACCAUAGAAAUGCAAGAUUUUUGAAUCUACUAUAAACAACACCAAACCACAAGACAAUGGAGGAUAUUCAUGGAGAAUAAGAUGAAGAACAAGGAAUUAAAGAGAAUUCACCGAACAAAAAGAUAGAGGAAGCAAAAGAACAUCACCUAGAUGAAGAUUCUCUUGAUACCACAUGAUGUAAGCUCCAUUUGAGCUUGUAGGCCUAGGAUCUUCUUCAUCAAUGGAUUCCUCUGCUUCUUGGAAGAUGAAUGGCAGCAGAAUGGAGAAGGAAGAGAGAGAGGAGAUGCCACUUCAAGGAGAAGAUGAGUCUAGAAGAAGCUCACCACCAUAGGAGGCCAUGGAUAAGAGCUUGGAGGAAGAAGGAGAUGAAUGAAAGGAGAGGAAGAGAGGAGCACGAAAUUUUGUGCUCUAAAAGAGCUCUGAAAUUUGAAGUUUAAUAUUCAAAUGAUCAAAGUUGAAAAAAAUGCACACACAUGACCUCUAUUUAUAGCCUAAGUGUCACACAAAAUUGGAGAGAAAUUUGAAUUUCUAUUCAAAUUUCACUUGAAUUUGAAAUUGAAUUUGUGGAGCCAAACAUUGGAGCCAAAAUUUCACUAAUUAUGAUUAGUGAAUUUUAGUUAUGGUUCAGCUCACUAAUCCAAGAUCAAUUCCAAGAUUCUCCACUAAGUGUGCUUAGGUGUCAUGAGGCAUGUAAAGUAUGAAGGACAUGCACAAAGUGUGAGUAUAUGAUGUGACAAUGGGGGUGUAGUAAGCAAAUGCUCACCUCCCCCUCUAAAAUUUAAUUGGAUUGGGCUUCUACCAAUUCAAUUAAAUUUUAUUUCCCAACACACACAUCAAAUAUUCACUUAGUGCAUGUGAAAUUACAAAACUAUCCCUAAUACAAAAACUAGUCUUGGUGCCCUAAAAUACAAGGGCUGAAAAAUCCUAUAUUUCUAGGGUACCCUACCUACAUUAUGGAACCCUAAAUACAAGGACCAAAAUUAAUGAAACCUUAAUCUAAUAUGUACAAAGAUACUUAGCCCAUGAGCCCAAAAUCUAUCCUAAGGCUCAUGAGAACCCUAGGGCCUUCUCUUGCUUCUUUGGCCCAAUCUUCUUGGAGUCUUCUAUCCAAUGCCCUUGGGGGGUAGGAUUGCAUCAGAUGACCAGGGGGAAAUCCAUGUUUUCUAUAACAAACCUCCAUUGUAUGUCCAUAUCUGCCACAAUGGGUGGACAAAUUUGUUCCUCUGCCUGACAUUCCUCUGUUUGUUCCUCUACCAUAACGUGACAUGUUAUUCAAACCUGGACCUCCUCCUCUUUUUGAGCUAGAUGGAAAACCAUGUUUUCUAUAGCAUAUAUCCUCAGUAUGGCCAUCUUUACCACAAAAAGAACAUGUAUGAUUAGAUGUAGAACUUGCUGCAUUAAUCAUGAUAUCAAUAGAAUCAAAUUUUCAAAUUUGAUUUAUCCCUAUAAUCCGUCUUUCUUGUUGCACGAUGUAGGAAAAAGUUUUGGAAAUUGUGGGCAGUGGAUCCAUCAUUAAAAUUUGAGACCUAACAUUAAUGAAUUGAUCAUUUAAUCCUCUCAAAAAUUGCAUAAUCUGAUCUUGUGUUUUUCUUUCCAUAACACAUAGAAGAGCAUCACAUGUACAUCUAUUUACACAUGUGCAUGUAGGAUCAAGUCUAUAAUUCUCAAGUUCAUCCCAAAUUAUUCCUAACUUUGUGAAAUAAUCAGUAAUUGAGCAAUCACCUUGACGAAUUGCAAAAACUUGUUGCUAUAGAUCAAAGAUUCUCAAUAAAUCUCCUUGAGAGUAUCUGGACUUCAGAUCUUUCCAUGUCUCUGGCAUUAUCCAUCCAGAGAAGGCUUUGGCGAAUAGAGCUUGAGACUGAGUGAAUGAUCCAUGAUAUCACCAUAUUAUUGCAUCUUUUCCAUGCAGAAUGCAAAGGAUGUGUAAUGACUGGCUGUGAGAUAGUUCCAUCCACAAAUUCAACCUUGUUAUUUGCACUCAAAGUAGUAAUAAGCAUCAAAUGAAUCCAAGAAUUAUAAUUCAUUGGAUCAAGAACAGGAGAUACAAGCAUUAUCGUUGGACUUUAACUAGGGUGAAGGUAAUAGGGACUAUGAACAUUCAAAGAUUGGUCAGUUUCUGUGUUCAUGUUCAAUCAAUAAAGUAGAAAUUCUUUUGAAAUUAAGGAAGAUAGAAGGAAAUUUUGAAGAAUCAAGCAAAUCGAAAAAUGCAGAAGUAGAAAAUGGACCACAGAACAAAAACAGAGUACGAAAAAAAAACAAUGCGAAGAGUGGCGCAACAGAGCUCUUCAAUCAAAGUGCUCUGAUACCAUAUCAAAGCUUGAUUCUCUCAUAAAGAAUGAAGAACAAAUCACAAUGCAAGAGAAGCAAUAAUGCAGAAAAAGAAAGAAGCUGUAACAGAAUGAAGGAGAAAAUAAUACUGAUAUUACUUGCUUUGUGAAGGAAGUUGAGUACAUUAUUUAUAGUUAGUUACAAGGAUAACCAACUUAGUUAACUAACCAAAGCACAACUAACCUAAGAAAACUAGCUAGAAUUAGUUAAUACAAAAUUAGGAGCUAGUCAACAAAAUGUACUAAAGCAAAUAUAGGUAGGCGCAUGGAAGAAAAAAAAGUAUGAAAGAAGACUUUACAAGAACACAAGCUAGUAACUUCAACAAAAAAGGUGGCAAUUACAACCCCAAAGAAUGAGACAAGAAGCCCAAGAUGUCCCACCAUCAUAAGUGACACAACUUGUAGAAGGUACUGACAUAUAUUCGCAGCCACCAUUGGAGCGGCCAUGGAGCCUACCCUUUUAAGCUCUACACAAGAUGCAUCAUCAUCCUCUAAUGGUGCCACCUCACUCUUUCUUAGCAUUGGUCUUGGUUCCUCCCUACCCAUCACCUCUCUUGAUUUUUCUAUGCAAAGCAAUGUUCAUAUAUAAAAUAGAUUUUAGAUAAGAUAUGAUCAACAACAUGGGAGUUAUAUAGAACAAGAUCACAAGAAAAAGUUCUUCCCAUAGGAGCAGUAAAGUUUACCACCAUAAACAAACAAAUCAUAAGACAAAUCAAAAUAGAAUUUGACUACAGCUACCCAAGCAUAUUUGCACGUACAUUUAUGUUUACUUAUUUAAAUAGUAUAAAUAAUAUAACUCUACUGAAAAUGAGUCAAUAUAUACAUUAGCAAGAAGUGGAGAUGGAAAAUUAUAAUAAAAUAAUACAAAAAAGGAAAUUAUAAUAAAAUAAUAGAAAAUGUUAAUAUCAAAAUGAACAACGUAAUAGAAUAAAGAAAAAAAAUAGAGUGCAACAAUUUCUAUAUUUAAUUGCCAUCCAACCUAAUUCAUUUUUAUCAUCAAAUUUUUUACCAUAUUUUUUUAUUCUUUUCAAAAUUAAAAGUACUUGAGAUUUAUCAAAGGCACUGUCAGGGUCACAUUUUGAGGGCCAUGAGCCAUCAUUAUAGUUAGGCCAGAGUUCAUGAAUGUCGGUUUCCCAGUCUUGGGAUAACAACAUCUUUGCUUUGUGUCACAAUAUGCUCCUGGCCACUGCAUGAUAAGUGAAGAAUCAAAAUAAAACGUGAAUAUACAAAGUUACAAACUCAUAAAUGAAUCCACUAGAAAAAGAGAAGGAAAAUGAAACACUUAAUUUACUAUUGUUAGUAGAACUCAUGACUUACCUACUGAACAAAGUAGAAGAAAUCAAAUUCCUGAGAAUGACAUAGAACUGAUAUGUAUUCUAGUAUCAAAAGCUUAGAUAAAAUGGAAAAUUUGGGUUUCAUCUUUGAUGUUAUUCCUUCUAUCUUUCUUUCUCUAUUAAUGUGAAUUUUGGCACUUCAAAAGGAAAGGGAAACAAUGAAUGAUGCAAGCACCAUACCUGAAAUUGCUGAAGUAAGCACACCAUCACCAACAACCAUGCAAGCACCAAACAAUACCAUAAUAAGCAGGGUUGUUCUUAACCUUUUAUGCUUCUCCAGAAACCUCUUCAAUAGAGAAGAGGCUAUAACCUAUGAAGAGGGACCAUAUUUAUAAGAUCACAACUCCUCAUCAGCUGCUUGUUGAUUGGGGAGUAAAUUAAACUUGGCAUGCCUACAUAGCAACAAAUAAAGAGAAAAUGUUCGACAUGAUGACAAAAUUAUCAUACUCAGAUCACAAUCACACAAUUCAUAACCUUUCUAUAAGAAAAAUUAUUUAAAAGAGAGAAUAAAGUCAUCAAGAGCAUACCUUCCCUAUUGUCAUCAACACUCAAUAGGAUGAAUACAUAUUUUAGCAACAGAAUCAAGGUAAGGGUAAAAAACAUGUUGAACACAGUUUCUUCAUCAUGAUGAUUCUACAACUUCCACUUGAAGGUGCUUGUGAAGAUAUAGAGAGGUAAACUGCUCAGAUCUCCAUAUUGCAUUGUAGAGAAGUGAUUAAUGUACAAAAAGAAAAGAAAUAGUUUAUAAAUAAAUAUAAAAGAAGAACCAAAUAGAGAAAGAAAGGGUGAAGAUUAAACCCACCUUUCCCCUUGAAAAUUCAUUCACUGAGCCUAAGCGCCUCAAAUCCUUUCUCCAAUGAAAUUAACAAACCUUCUCAUUGACCCUUUCUCCUUAUCGUCAACACCAUCACCGCCUUGACCAACCUCAACCCUAUUGGCACCAGCUCUGCUACUGCUACUCUCUGGCACCAAUUCCGGCACAAAGAGGGAAACUCAAAGCAAGUCAACUCGAAAGGCUUGGUUUUGGAGCCACUCUUGUUUCUCUUAUAUUUUCUAGAAGGUUUUGUGGCGUGAGCCAGGGAGUCUUCGAAGGUGUCGAUGAUUUUGUGUAUGUUUAGUGGUUGGGAGAGGAGUUCUAGUGGACCCAGUAGCUCAUGUAGCACCAGAAGCAGUUACAAUUGAAGACAUGAGGGUAAUUGCCGUCUACGACAACCUUAGGGUUUUGACGAUGGCUGUUGGAAAAUUUGUUGUUGGAGAAAGAGGAAGAGGAGCAUGAGAUGAGGUAUACGAGGACUUCUUGGUCCUCCGAGGAGAGGGAAAGAGUGGGGGUGAGGUGGCAGGGAGGAAGGAAAGGUGGUCGGAGAUGGUUGGCACUGGCGGCGAGGGAGAAAGGUGGAUGGUUCCUUUGUGGUAGAUCUGAUUCUCUAUUAAGAGAGAGAGAUUGAAAAUGUGUGUGUUUGUACAUUUUUUUAUGGGGAGGCUACAUAAUACAAAGAUGAUUAUAGGUGAAACCAUAUUUAAAUUUGUCCCAUCUACGACGGUUUUCACCAAAACCAUCUUCAAUCUGAGUGUCUUUAUGAUGGUUUUAACUAAAAUUGUUGUUAACGUGUCCACUUAUUUACAAAAAUGCCACCAACGACUUUUUAAAGACUGUUUUGGUAGAAUAACUAUUGUUCCAAUGUCGUAAAAAAAAAUUUAGUAGUGAGUUUACAUCAUAAAUUUUUCUUUUAGUAGUGAAUUUACAUAAGACCCAUUCUAAAAAAAGACUUCAUAUGAAUUGUGGAAGGGACGAAAAAAGACUCCAUAUGAAUUAUGGAAGGGUUGAAAAUCCUACAUAUCAUACUUCCACCCUUUGGAUGUUAGUGUUUCAUUUCAAACACUGAAGAAAACUUGGGAAAGUUUGACUCUAAGUGUGAUAAUGAAAUAUGGCUUGGGUACUUUGAAACAUCAAAGUUAUAUAGAGUAAAUGCUAUAGAACCUUAGUAGUUAAAGAAGUUAUGCGCGUGAGGUUUAAUAACACCAGGCCUGAUAAGGAAUUAUGAGAGCUGGAUGAGUCCUUUACAUAUUUAAGGCUAGAUGAUGGAAUCAAAAACUUUGUCAUCCAAUCACAACAAAGAAACUAUAGUGUCCAACCCACCACUAGACGGUCCCCAAGAAGAGAUAAGGGAAUCGACUGGAUGAAAAAUGAGAUUGAACCAUCCAUAAAGCUAAAUCAUUGGAGAUCCAAUAAAAAGAGUCCAAACCAGAGCAUCCCUUAGACUUCAAGGUCAUACACCAUUGAUCUCACCAAUUAACCCAAACACAUAGAUGAGGCAAUGCAAGAUGAAAACUGGGUUAAAGCCAUGCAAGAAAAGCUCAACUAGUACCAAAUAAAUGAUGUAUGUGUUAGUCAAUGGAAAAGACUAACUUUUGUGUAUAAAACUUGUGUAAAUUGUAUCAAACUCUCCCAAUUUAUGGUUUUUUUGUAGUGUUAUAAGUAUUUUCUGUUAAGUAUAGGUAAUAAAUACUUAGUAUUCUCAUUUUGUGUGUUUAAUAAUCAUUUUCUCUCAAUUUCCAAUUGUCAUACCCUAAUUUCGUCCGGGGACCUUUGCUUGGUGGCAUGUAACUUUUGUUUGGUCCUUGUGAGGUGCUUGGCACCCAUCAUUAGGCUAUUUGUGAAGUUCCGGGACAUGCCAGAAAUCAAAAGAAGGUAUUGAUGCACAAUCUGUAAGGUUCCGUGACGCACCGGAAAUCAAAAGGAAGCAUCGUUGCACAAUUAGUGAGGUUCCGUAACAUUUCGUAAGUCAAAAAGGGGAUGAUUAUGUAAUCCGCAAGGUUCCGUAACAUUACGGAAAGAAAACAAGUAUCGUUACGAAAUUCGUAAGUUUUCGUAACUUUACGAAAAAAGAAUCACCAAAAAAAAAGGCAGGGGGGUGUACUUAGUAAAAAUGGGGGUGCAAAUAGCAACCAGGCCCACUUGGGCCCUCCAGAAGAUUCCUCCAGAAGGUUGUUGCUUCUGGAGGAAGCAACCCUGCUCGCCUGGGCGAGCUGGGUGGCAAGCUUCUCCCCCAAUUUUCUAUAAAUAGGGGGAGAAGUGAAGUGGAAAAGGGUUCAGCCCCUUAGGCACUUCUCUCUCUUUCGAAUUUGCUUAGAAAAAUUGUUUCCGUGAAGAAAAUCCAAGCCGAGGCGCUUCCGUAACGUUUCCGUGAGUGAUUUCGUGAAGGUUUUCGACCGUUCUUUGACGUUCUUCAUUCGUUCUUCAUCGUUCUUCAGUCUUCAACGGGUUAGUACCUCGAACCAAGCUUUUCGAUUCAUUCUAUGUACCCGUGGUGGUCCACAUUGUGUUUCGUGUAUUUUCCUUCUCAUUUCAUUUACUUUUUAUACCCCCUGUUGACGUGCUUAAGCCAUUUUAUUUAAGUCAGUUCUCGCUUAACCUAAAAAUAAAAUAAGUUUCCACCGAUCGUUUGAAUUGUAUUAUCCGUUAACUUUGGUUGAAAUGAAUUCCGACCGAUCGGUCGUGCCGUAACCACGUUGGAAAUAAAAAAAAGAGGUAAAUAAUAAUAUAAUAAUAAAAAUACCCUUUUAGUAAAAUAAAGCGAAAAAUCAAUUGGACAUUUUCUCUUUGGGAUUUUUCAUUCUUAAUCGAAUUGACCAAUAACUAAAGUGAAACUAAAGCUAAAAUCAACUCGCCUAGUCAAGCUCGUCCACAAAAAUAGGUUUUUGAAGUUUAUCAUUUCAAUUUCUUACUAAGUAAAAUGGAUCAUUUUUAAGGUCCAACGCCUUAAAAUGAUCACCUUUUUAAGUAAAAAUGGGAAUCACUUGAUAGGAAAGAACUACGUAGGUCUGAUUUCCUCAUCGCAAUUGAGGAAUACGUAGGAGCAAAGGGAAACACCCUUGUCGACCACAAAAGAGAAAAAAAUAUAAAAAGGGUAUAAAGGAUAUAAAGACAUAAAAAGGGAACGUAAAAAUCAAAGUCAUGUUUGCAUAUUCGAUUAAAGGCUGCCGUCCCUUGGGACGGACGUAUGGGGUGCUAAUACCUUCCCCGUGCGUAAAUACAACUCCCGAACCUUUCACUUUAAAGUUCGUAGAUCGCGUCUUUUCCGGUUUUUCCGACGUUUUCCUCAAAUAAACGUUGGUGGCGACUCCGCGCGUAUUCCUUUCGUGGAACAGGCAUCCCGCGAGUCACGCGUCGCCCUCCCACCGAAGGGUAGGUUGCGACAGUUGGCGACUCCGCUGGGGACUAUUUUUUGAGAGUUAGGUCAUUUAAAUCUUGUGCAAAUGUUUUAUCAUGACUUUCUCCUUUGUUGGUUUCCCUUUGUUUUUUUAUGUUAUUGUGUAUAUAAACUCUUUGUUGCUUUUAGUGCAUUUUAAAAUGUAUGCAUGAGGUAAAUACUUAUUCAUUUGAUGCACACAAACACCAACACUAUUUGCACACACUGUGAGUUGAAAAAGGGUCCUAUACCCGGGUUCAUAGGAACAUAAGGAGUGGAGGCGAAUCUGUGAUCAUGCUAGGUCUCCGACUUGCUUGAUUACAGUGAGCCCUCAUCUAGAGUUUUUCUCUUUGAAAACAUAUUGUUGCUAGUAGUCCCUACUGCUGCUGUAUGUUCUUCGAAGGGGAUAAUAUCUCUAGAAACCAUCAAGAGAGAUAUGACUACCUUGGGGGUUAUCACUAAAUGCCUAGUUAGCUCUCUCCCUUAUAGGUCCCUUAAAUAGGGGCACGGAGCAAACACGCUGCGUGCCAUUUUUCACACUGCCAUGCAUAAGUAUCAUAUACCCUUUUGCUUAUGUUCAGUGAAUAUUGUCAUACUAUGUACAUUCCCGCAUUGCGCCUUUUGCAUAUGCAUCGCAUACGGGUUCUGUCUUGAUCCCCUCUAUAGACAAAUCAACGGAGGGUCCGGGUCACCGUUUUAAAUACAUACGUUGGGGCACUUUGCUACCCCUAGACGUUGUGUCUAAGAAGGAGACAAUGUCCCGGGCACCCGCAUUCUUUACAUCUGUGUCAUAUGCAUUCCUUCAUGCAUUCAUCCAUUCCACCCAUGAGAUAUCGGAGUUUUGAUUUGCACCAGCUUUUUGUCUCACUUUAGUAAGCAUGGGGGCAAAUCAAACCGGCAAGAGGUUUUACCAAGUCAAGAUUAAAGGCCUAGAUACCACCAGCAUCAAGGAAUUAGGGCGGUUGAUGGAACCUCUCCAAAUGCAAGCCUUCCGCAAGACUUACGGAAAGAUCUUAGAGUUGACCAUAGCAGAGGUAUCCAUAGAAGCCAUUGCAUCACUCACCCAAUACUACGACCAGCCUUUGAGAUGCUUCACGUUCGGAGACUUCCAAUUGGUACCGACCAUUGAAGAAUUUGAGGAGAUUCUAGGAUGUCCUCUCAGGGGAAGAAAACCAUAUCUUUUCUCCGGUUGUCUCCCCUCUUUGAGCAGAAUUGCAACGGUGGUCAAGGAUUCAGCAAGAGGUUUGGACCGUGUAAAACAGACUCGAAACGGCAUAGCGGGCCUACCACGGAAGUACCUAGAAGAUAAGGCGAGGGGUAUGGCCAGUCAAGGAGAUUGGGUCCCGUUUAUGGAUGUGUUAGCAUUGCUAAUUUUUGGGGUCGUCCUCUUUCCAAACGUAGAUGGUUUGGUGGACCUAGCAGCAAUCGACGCUUUCCUUGCAUACCACCAUAGCAAGGAAAGUCCGGUGGUAGCUGUCUUGGCAGAUUUAUUUGACACAUUUGACCGAAGGUGCGAGAAGAGUAGCGCACGGAUCAUCUGUUGCUUGCCCGCUCUCUGUGUUUGGAUGGUUUCGCACCUGUUCCUGCAAGACACUAGGCAUCCAUGUCCGCUCCAAAGCCAUCGCUCGUGUGCUGAAAAGAGAAGAAUAGAUUGGGACCAACUUUUGGCUGGUGUAGAAGGUAGAACAAUCAAUUGGUUCCCCCGAUGGAAGGAAGGAAAGGAGGGAGUCCUUUUCUCGUGUAAAGGGUACCCAAACAUUCCGCUAAUAGGGACGAGGGGUUGUAUUAACUACAAUCCCGCGCUCGCUAUAAGACAACUAGGGUACCCCAUGAGGGGAGCACCGGUGGAAGAAAGCAUGUCUCCUUUCCUUGUGAGGGAUUUCGGCGCGCAAAAUUUCAAGGCUAUACAAAGAAUCCAUAAUGCAUGGGAAACCCCGUUAAGGAAAGAUCAAGAACUUAGGGGCAUUCGUAACGGCAUCAUUGGUGGUUAUCAUGAAUGGCUGAAAGUUCAUAUACGAGGUUUAGAUUGGCUCGCCAAGUUAAAAGUCGUCAGCGAAGAGAGUUUCGAAGCACCGAAAGAGGACGAAGAAGUCCAAGCUCUCAAAAGCGAGUUAGGAAAGGCGAAACUUGCCAAGAAGAAGUUCAAGUUGGCCGCUACACACAUCCGGAAGGAGUGUGCCGGAUUACGGGAAGAGAAUGCGACUACCGCAAGAGCCCUUGAACAAGAGGCCAUGAGGGCUCGCAAGGAAGAGUAUGGCCGUAACAAAUUUCGCGGAGCUCUGUGGGGUAGCAACAAUGAACUCAAGCUGCGAAGGGAAGAGAGGGACCAGUCGCAAGCGCAUAGCAUGGUCUUGAAAGAGGAGUUAGUUGCCUGCUCAAGGUCCAAAAGGAGCUUGUCUCAGCGUUUAUGCGAAACGGAGACCAACAUGCUAGCUAUCAUCGCCAAGUACCAAGAAGAGUUAGGUCUAGCCACGGCCCACGAGCAUAGGGUCGCGGACGAGUAUGCCCAAGUAUACGCGGAAAAAGAGGUUAGAGGAAGGGUGAUCGACUCUUUACACCAAGAGGCAACCAUGUGGAUGGAUCGGUUUGCCCUUACCUUGAACGGGAGUCAAGAACUUCCCCGAUUGUUAGCCAAGGCCAAGGCAAUGGCGGACACCUACUCCGCCCCCGAAGAAAUUCAUGGGCUUCUCGGCUAUUGUCAGCAUAUGAUAGACUUAAUGGCCCACAUAAUUAGAAAUCGCUAGGAAACUUGUAUGGUCUCUCAGACCUUGACUAGAUACGACUUUCUGAAAUAAAAUGAGUUGGUCCCAUGUUCCUACUCCAAAAAGCUUGUGCGAAUCAAAUCACUCCUGCAUUUUAUCUCUAGCAUGCAUUCUUUUCUUUCUUUACCCACUCCUCACGUUUGGUUUUUUAGGGAAAAACACCAUAACUAAACGCGCCACAAGGCAUCCCUAUCGCACCAGAUCCAAAUCUAGAACGAUGGGUGAUCAAGAGGAGACACAGGAACAGAUGAAAGCCGACAUGUCGGCUCUGAAAGAACAGAUGGCUUCCAUGAUGGAGGCCAUGUUAGGAAUGAGGCAGCUCAUGGAGAAAAACGUGGCCACCGCUGCCGCUGUCAGUUCGGCUGCCGAAGCAGACCCAACUCUCUUGGCAACUGCGCACCAUCCUCCCUCAAACGUAGUAGGACGGGGAAGGGACACACUGGGGCACGAUGGCAACCCUCAUCUGGGAUACAACCGAGCGGCUUACCCUUAUGGAUUGCCGCUCAACUACUCACCACCCGUCCUGCAAGACGAUGCGGGCCAUAUUGCUUCUCCCGUCCUUGAAAGAGAGCCUCCUCAAUAGCCCGAUGAGGUCCACAAAGACCCUCAAGACUAUGCUCGAAGGGAUGUCAAGUUCUAUCCCCCGAUCCCCGAAGGGCCGGCACCCAGCACGUUGCCUCAGCCCAACAUCACGACACAACCAAUAGUUUUGUCUACGAAAGGACCGCACCCGACAACUGAAGAAAGGAGGAAGCUCGAUCUCCUCGAGGAGAGAUUGAGAGCCGUGGAAGGAUUUGGGGACUAUCCGUUCGCAGACAUGACGGAUCUUUGCUUAGUACCCGAUGUUGUUAUCCCCCCGAAGUUCAAAGUACCGGACUUCGACAAGUAUAAAGGGACGACUUGUCCCAAAAACCAUCUCAAGAUGUACUGUCGCAAGAUGGGCACACACUCUAAGGAUGAGAAGCUAUUAAUACACUUUUUUCAAGAUAGCUUGGUCGGAGCCGCGGUAGUUUGGUACACUAAUUUGGAAGCUUCCCGUAUCCGUACUUGGAAGGAUCUGAUUACUGCCUUCCUAAGGCAAUAUCAGUAUAAUUCCGAUAUGGCUCCUGAUCGCACUCAGCUGCAGAAUAUGUUCAAACAAGAGGGCGAAACCUUUAAAGAAUACGCACAGCGGUGGAGAGACCUGGCGACACAAGUGGCUCCUCCCAUGGUUGAGAGAGAGAUGAUCACCAUGAUGGUAGACACUCUGACAGUGUUCUACUAUGAGAAGCUAGUAGGUUACAUGUCUUCCAGCUUCGUGGACCUAGUGUUCGCCGGGGAAAGAAUCGAGGUAAGGUUGAAAAGAGGAAAGUUCGAUUAAGUUUCCUCCACGAGUGCGAAUGCCAAAAGAAUCGGGACAACGGGGGCAAAAAGGAAGGAAGGAGAUGCCCAUGCCGUCUCUUCAAUGCCCGCGUGGGUCAAACCCCCGCAGACACCUCAUGGUACCCAUCAGUACGCGCAACAUCACCCGAGCUUCUCGGCUCAUACCGGGAACGCCUCUAGUUCAGCACCUGUGCAACCUAAGGCACCCACCCAGAGGGAAGCUCCCCAAGUUCCAACUCCGAACACAACUCGGCCGGCCGGUAAUUCCAACGCAACAAGGAACUUCCCUCCGAGGCCAUUUCAAGAAUUCACCCCACUCCCAAUGACGUACGAAGACCUCUUGCCGUCCCUCAUCGCCAACCAUUUGGCCGUGGUAACUCCCGGAAAGGUCCUCCAACCCCCUUUCCCAAAGUGGUAUGACCCUAACGCAACUUGCAAGUACCAUGGGGGUGUCCCGGGGCAUUCCAUUGAAAAAUGCUUGGCCCUUAAAUACAAGGUCCAACAUUUGAUAGAUGCUGGAUGGCUGACUUUCCAAGAGGAUCGGCCCAAUGUGAGAACCAACCCGCUCGCCAAUCAUGGAGGGGGAGCAGUUAACGCCGUUGAGUCCGAUAGGCCGCACAGGUCUAAACCUUUAAAGGAUGUGGCAACCCCUAGGAGGUUUAUCUUUGAGGCCCUACAAAAGGGAGGUGUGAUUCCUCAUAGUGGGCGUAAGGAGGAUUCCUGUUUACUGCAUUCCGGCGAGCUACAUGACAUGGAAACGUGUUUGGGAGUAGAGGAAUUGUUACAGCAAAUGAUAGAUCAAGGUCGACUGGAAGUUAGCAGUGAAGGAAGAGAGGAGCAGCAUAUAUGUAUGCAGUCCAUGGAUGGGAGCAGUGUUGCGAAGCCCAAACCCUUGGUGAAGCAGCUAAACCUGUUCCUUUCCCAUACCAAAAUAGCCACGAAGUCCCAUGGAGAUAUACACCUCCGAGGGGGAAGGAAGAAGAAGCCACCGACGUCAGCUCGUUGUCGGCUAAGGUAACAAAUAUCACGGGACUGAGUGGUGUGACCCGUAGCGGUCGUGUGUUUGUGCCUCCGGACCUACUAGUCCAACGCGCGAACGUCAAGGGGAAAGGAAAAGUAACCCGCGAACGUCAAGGGGAAAGGAAAAGUAGUGGAGGAACAAGAUGGUGAAGCACCCCACGCUUCGAAUAAAGAUAUUCCGGCGAAAGGUCUUCCGGAGAAAAAGGAUGGUAAAAAGGAGGUGUCGCUAGAGGAAGCCAGUGAGUUCCUCCGUAUAAUUCAGCAGAGCGAAUUCAAGGUUAUCGAACAGCUCAACAAAACUCCAGCCAGGGUCUCGCUGUUGGAGUUACUCAUGAGCUCCGAGCCUCAUCGGGCUCUGCUAGUAAAAGUUCUGAACGAGGCCCACGUGGCCCAAGACAUCUCGGUAGAAGGUUUCGGAGGGCUGGUCAAUAAUAUCACUGCCAACAACUAUCUCGCCUUCGCCGAAGAAGAAAUCCCCGCCGAGGGGAGAGGGCAUAAUAAAGCUUUGCACGUAUCAGUCAAGUGUAUGGACCAUAUCGUAGCCAAAGUGCUCAUCGAUAAUGGUUCCAGUUUAAACGUGAUGCCUAAGAGCACUUUGGAGAAGUUACCAUUCAAUGCUUCCCACCUAAAGCCAAGUUCAAUGGUGGUUCGUGCCUUCGAUGGCACCCGCUGAGAGGUAAGGGGGGAGAUCGAUCUCCCAGUACAGAUAGGCCCUCACACCUGUCAAGUUACCUUCCAGAUAAUGGAUAUUAACCCCCCUACAGCUGUCUGUUGGGGCGUCCGUGGAUCCAUUCAGUGGGAGUUGUUCCCUCUACACUUCACCAAAAGUUGAAAUUCGUAGUGGAAGGGCAUCUGGUCAUCGUAUCAGGUGAGGAAGACAUCUUGGUGAGCUGCCCAUCCUCUAUGCCUUAUGUGGAAGCCGCAGAGGAGUCAUUAGAAACCGCUUUCCAGUCUUUUGAGGUGGUAAGCAUUUCCUCCGUGGACUCCUUCUCUGGGCAGCCUUGCCUGUCCAAUGCAGCAGUAAUGAUGGCCCGAGUUAUGUUGGGGAACGGUUAUGAACCCGGAAUGGGUUUAGGCAAAGACAACGGCGGCAUAACUAGCCUGAUAAAUGCCAAAGGAAAUUGUGGGAAGUAUGGUUUAGGCUAUAAGCCCACUCAGGCAGAUAUAAAGAGAAGCAUCGUGGGAAGGAAGAGCGGUAGUCAAAGCUCGCGGUUGAGACAAGAAAGUGAAGGAAGCCCGCCCUACCACAUAAGUAGAAGCUUUAUAAGCACGGGCCUGGGGGACGAAGGUCAAGUGGUUGCAAUACACGAAGAUGAUGUUCCGAGUACGUUGGAUUUGGUAUGACCAUGCCCUCCUGAUUUCCAGCUGGGAAAUUGGCGAGUGGAGGAACGCCCCGACAUUUACGCAAUGAGCAUAAUGUAAACCUUUACGGUUUUAAAAACUCUAUAGUUAGGCCUAGGCUUUAGAGUUUUCUUUUGUUAAGGCUUUGUGUCUUUUGUUUUAAAUUUAUAAUACAAGGAUCUUUCUUCAUCUGUUCCUACGUCUCUACCCAUUCUCAUCCAUUUGCAUGUUUACUUCUUUAUUUCUGAAACGACAGAUCCGAUGAUGAGUCCCCCGAAGGUAUUAAUACCUGGGACCCGCCUAUCAACUUCGAGCAAGAAACGAAUCAAACGGAAGAUGAAGGGAAUGAGGAUGUGAGACUUCCCCCAUAAUUAGAAAGGAUAGUCGCCCAUGAGGACCAAGAAAUGGGGCCUCAUCAAGAAGAAACAGAACUAGUAGACUUGGGAAUUGGCAGUGGAAAAAGGGAAGUAAAGAUAGGCACAGGUAUUACCGCACCUAUCCGUGAAGAAUUAAUAAUCCUGCUAAGAGACUACCAAGACAUCUUUGCUUGGUCAUACCAAGAUAUGCCUGGUUUGAGUUCUGACAUUGUACAGCACCGAUUACCUCUAAACCCCGAGUGUUCCCUGGUAAAGCAGAAACUGAGAAGGAUGAAGCCCGAAACAUCCUUGAAGAUAAAAGAAGAAGUGAAGAAACAAUUUGACGCUGGUUUUCUGGCCGUCGCUCGGUAUCCAGAAUGGGUUGCCAACAUUGUACCGGUCCCUAAGAAAGAUGGGAAAGUAUGAAUGUGUGUGGAUUAUCGGGACCUGAAUUGGGCCAGUCCCAAGGACAAUUUUCCUUUGCCACACAUCGAUAUCCUCGUAGAUAACACGGCCAAUUUCGCUUUAUUUUCCUUCAUGGACGGUUUCUCCGGUUACAAUCAGAUAAAGAUGGCGCCAGAGGAUAUGGAGAAGACUACCUUCGUCACCCUGUGGGGGACGUUCUGUUACAAGGUGAUGUCCUUUGGACUCAAGAAUGCCGGGGCAACUUAUCAACGGGCCAUGGUAGCUUUGUUCCAUGAUAUAAUGCAUCAAGAGAUCGAGGUCUACGUGGACGACAUAAUUGCUAAAUCUGAAUCCGAGGAAGAACACCUUGUCAACCUGCAGAAGUUGUUCGAAAGGCUUAAGAAAUAUCAAUUAAGGUUGAACCCCGCCAAGUGUACCUUUGGGGUCAAAUCAGGGAAAUUGCUUGGUUUCAUCGUGAGCCAGAAAGGGAUAGAGGUAGACCCCAAAAAGGUGAAGGCCAUCCUUGAGAUGUCAGAACCCCGUACUGAGAGGCAAGUCUGAGGCUUCUUGGGACACUUGAAUUAUAUUACCAGAUUCAUAUCGCAGCUCACCGCCAUUUAUGGGCCGUUGUUCAAGCUCUUACGCAAAAACCAAACUGAUCGCUAGAAUGAGGAUUGGCAAGAGGCUUUUGGAAGGAUCAAGAAGUGUCUUAUGAAUCCCCCUGUGCUUAUGCCACCAGUACCUGGAAGGCCUCUCAUCUUGUACAUGACAAUCUUGGACGAGUCAAUGGGGUGUAUGCUGGGGCAACAUGACGAAUCCGGAAAGAAAGAGCGCGUUGUUUACUACCUAAGUAAGAAGUUCACGAUCUGUGAAAUGAAUUACUCCUUGCUCGAAAGAACGUGUUGUGCUUUAGUAUGGGCAUCCCAUCGCCUAAGGUAGUACAUGUUGAGCCAUACUACCUGGUUAAUAUCCAAGAUGGACCCGGUUAAGUACAUCUUUGAGAAGCCAGCUCUCACAGGACGAAUCGCCCGGUGGCAAGUCCUGCUAUCCAAGUUUGAUAUAGUUUACGUCACCCAAAAGGCGAUAAAAGGAAGCACCUUAGCAGAUUAUUUGGCUCAGCAGCCUCUUAACGACUAUCAGCCCAUGCACCCUGAAUUCCCGGAUGAGGAUAUCAUGGCCUUGUUUGAGGAAAAAUUGGGCGAAGAUCGGGACAAAUGGACCGUAUGGUUUGACGGAGCGUCAAACAUUCUAGGCCAUGGCAUUGGAGCAGUAUUGGUCUCUCCGGACAAUCAAUGUGUACCUUUCACAGCCAAGCUAGGAUUCGACUGCACCAACAACAUGGCCGAAUAUGAAGCAUGUGCCCUGGCCGUCCAGGCAGCGAUUGACUCCAAUGUCAAACUACUCAAGGUGUACGACGACUCAGCGUUGGUAAUCCAUCAGCUGAGAAGGGAAUGGGAAACUAGAGAUCCCAAGCUGAUACCCUACAAAGCCUAUAUCAAGGAAUUGGCUAAGACCUUUGAUGAGAUCUCUUUGCAUCAUGUUCCUCGCGAGGAAAAUCAAAUGGCGGAUGCGCUUGCUACUUUGGCGUCUAUGUUCCAGCUAACGCCGCACGGGGAUCUACCCUACAUUGAAUUUUGGUGUCGUGGCAAACCCGCGCAUUGUUGCCAAGUAGAAGAGGAACGGGACGGUAAGCCUUGGUAUUUCGACAUCAAGUGAUAUGUCGUAAGCAAAGAAUACCCGCCAGAGAUUGCCGACAAUGAUAAGAGGACAUUUAGUAGGUUGGUGGCUGGUUUCUUCAUGAGCGGAAGCAUACUGUAUAAGAGAAACCACGACAUGACACUCCUGCGGUGUGUGGAUGCCAGGGAGGCGAAUCACAUGAUCGAGGAAGUCCAUGAGGGCUCGUUUGGAACACACGCCAACGGGCAUGCUAUGGCCAGGAAGAUCCUAAGAGCAGGUUAUUACUGGCUUACCAUGGAAAGUGAUUGUUGUGUCCAUGUAAGGAAAUGCCACAAAUGUCAAGCGUUCGCAGAUAAUGUCAAUGCUCCACCGCAUCCUCUGAAUGUCAUGUCCGCCCCUUGGCCUUUCUCCAUGUGGGGAAUAGAUGUCAUCGGGGCCAUUGAGCCCAAGGCCUCGAAUGGUCAUCGCUUCAUCCUCGUAGCGAUAGAUUAUUUCACCAAGUGGGUCGAGGCGGCUUCCUACACCAAUGUCACGAGGGGUGUAGUGGUCAGGUUCAUUAAGAAAGAGAUCAUCUGCCGAUAUGGUUUGCCAAGGAAGAUUAUCACGGACAACGGCACCAACCUGAAUAACAAGAUGAUGGGGGAAAUGUGCGAGGAGUUUAAAAUCCAGCAUCACCAUUCCACACCCUACCGGCCAAAGAUGAAUGGAGCCGUGGAAGCGGCCAAUAAGAAUAUCAAAAAGAUUAUCCAAAAGAUGACCGUGUCAUACAGAGAUUGGCACGAAAUGCUCCCAUUCGCGUUACACGGUUACCGAACUUCAGUGCGAACGUCAACUGGGGCAACGCCGUUCUCAUUGGUAUAUGGGAUGGAGGUUGUGUUAACGUUUGAGGUAGAAGUCCCGUCAUUAAGGAUCUUGGCAGAAUCCGGAUUAAAAGAGUCGGAAUGGGCUCAGGCACGCUAUGACCAGCUCAACCUCAUUGAGGGUAAGCGCUUAACGGCCAUGAGUCAUGGGCGCUUGUACCAGCAAAGAAUGAAGAGUGCAUUCGACAAGAAGGUACGCUUGCGCAAGUUCCAUGAGGGAGACCUUGUGCUAAAGAAAAUGUCCCAUGCUGUCAAGGACAAUCGAGGAAAAUGGGCCCCAAACUACGAAGGGCCUUUUGUUGUGAAGAGGGCUUUUUCUGGAGGAGCCCUGGUGCUUACCAACAUGGAUGGCGAAGAGCUACCUUCACCCGUGAAUUCUGAUGUCGUCAAGCGAUAUUAUGCUUAGAAUCUGGGGCAAUUAAGGAUGUCGUUGCAUGUUCUUUAUCUUUAUGUGUUUUUUGGAUUUCCCCCAGGGAUUCCCCGUCUACAGUAUCUCUCGUUACAAUCUUUUAAAGAAAUGAACGUGGAUUCGAGGCUUUAGUCCUCACGUUGGUUUCAAACCUUGCGUUAAUUUGUGAUCACCUGAGCCCUUCCGCUCAGUUCAUGGGAUGUCCCAAGCGCUUAAUUAAAAUUGAACCUAAACCAACUUUCUCUAAAAUUUGCUGCGUUUGAAAACAUUCAUGCAUACGCAUACGCAUGCAUAUUGUUGUGGUAAAACAGGGGCAGGAUCAUCUUGAGCUACCUUCUGGGGUAGGGACAAAACAUGAACAGCAGAAACCAAUCAAGGUAAGACAACGACGCGGUCAAGAUUGGCCAUACCUGGUUGUUUAUUACUUGCAGGUACUUAGGAACGGAUGCAAGUGGGGAUGGGGUCACGACCGACCGAUCGUUGCCCCUUCUCUGCGCUAAACAAGCGGAGAACGUCGCGCAAGGCAGCCCAGUAUCCUUUGAAUUCGCAGUAUUUUACUACCAUUGUUUGUCUUUUAGUAAUUAACGCCUAAUUCUAACUUAGGUAGGCUCUAAUAGGCAAAACGCUAACCCAUAAGGAAGGAGGGGACAUGGUUAAUGUUCCUCUAAAAAAAAAAGUGCAGGUUAGCUCGCCUGGGCGAGCUGAGCUCGCCUGGGCGACCAACCCCUGCACCAAAAUAUAAAAGUGACGAAAGGGAGGACGUUUUUGCAUUCAAAAACUUCUUUUCCCCCCUUUCAAAAGCCAUACCCACGGAAUUUACGAGUUUGCAGCCCUAGGAUCUCUACUUUUCACAUUCUUCGAUUCCGUUUUGCGCUUUUAUUCAUCACCAACAAGUAAGUAUUCCAUCCUUAAGCUUUCUAGCUUUUCAUUGGUGUAUUUUGAUCUCCUUUUGGUACUCUAAAUUGUGGGAAUGUGCUCAAAUAUGUAGGGCAAUUUUGGUUUGUUUUCUUGCUUGAUUGGGUUGAAUUGGGGGUUUGUAUGAGAUGGCCCUAGGCCUAUAAUGCAUUUUGAAGCAAUGGGACAUGCCACAUUGUCCCCGUUCUCUUGAUAUUGAUGCCUAAACGCGCGCCCACCAAGCGUUCGGUGAAAUGCCUCAAUGGCAUUAGCGCGUGAUUUUCGUAGGGAAACAACCCAUGGGGAAAUUUGGUUUGCACAUAUUUUCUAUUUUUUUGGGACAUGCAUUCAGUUUCGAAAGGGCUAGAGUAAUUGCCCCACAUAUAUCCUAGGCCUAGGAACCAAAGUUUUUAUGCAAAGGAACACAAGAGGGGGUGCAUAUUGGGUAAAGUUACCCUUUUUUGGCCAGCAAUCAGCUAUGAGCCACGCUACAAUAAUUUCCCUACGCCUAGAUGUUUAGGAAUUUUGCUCAUCAUAAAUGUGUAGGUUUAGAAUGGGUAGCAAAAUACCUUUGGCAAUUUACACUUUGGGUGUGGUAGCAAAAUAAUUGGAUGUAUGUACAUGUAAUUUUUGGUAGUCAAAAUGUCUCACAAAAAAUAUAUAUAUGUUGCAUGUUAUGUAAAGAAAAUACCUUACAAAGAUACCUUUUAAUUUGAAUGCAAUUUUAGUCAGCAAAAGAAAACAUACUUGAAUUUGCAUGCGGCUUUAGGUAGCAAAAACACUUGAAUAAAGCAUGAAAUGUAGCACCUUAUUGUGUAGAUAGCCAAGAUUCAUCACAAAGUUUGUAUAUGCAUAGGUAUUAGAAAUACCAGAAUGUGCACGUGUGCAAUUUUUGGUAGCCAAAAUGCUUUGAGUAUGCAUGUAUGUAAAUUUAGCCAAGGAAGUGCAUGUGAUGUAGGUAGCAAAUACACCUUGGAAGUACAUAUAAAUAAUCUAGGUAACGAAGGUGCCUUGAUUGUGCAUGGGUGCAUUUUUCUUAGGUAGAAGAAUAUCUUGUGCGAGUGAAUGUUCAUAAGGAAGUAUGUGCAUGAGUUUGCUCUAAAUUUACAUUGAUGUUUGUGUUUAUUGGAGGAGGUUGUAUGCCAUUUUUGUUUUAAGAGUAGCAUUUCUUGGUAAAACUAACUUUCCAAAUGUUUGCCUUCGUAGGAAAUGGCCCCGAGGAAGCUUGCCUCAAAGAGGUCCAGGAAGGAUAAGGCGGCCGAAGGAACUAGUUCCGCUCCCGAGUAUGACAGUCACCGCUUUAGGAGCGCUGUACAUCAGCAGCGCUUCGAAGCCAUCAAGGGAUGGUCAUUUCUCCGGGAGCGACGCGUCCAGCUCAGGGACGACGAGUAUACUGAUUUCCAGAAGGAGAUAGGUCGCCGACGGUGGGCAUCACUAGUUACCCCCAUGGCCAAAUUUGAUCCAGACAUAGUCCUCGAAUUUUAUGCCAAUGCUUGGCCAACAGAGGAGGGCGUGCGUGACAUGAGGUCCUGGGUGAGGGGUCAGUGGAUCCCGUUUGAUGCAGAUGCUAUCGGCCAGCUCCUGGGAUAUCCGUUAGUGCUGGAAGAGGGCCAGGAGUGUGAGUAUGUCCAGAGGAGGAACCGGUCUGAUGGGUUCGAUGAGGAGGCCAUCGCCCAGUUGCUAUGUAUACCGGGGCAAGAUUUUGCCCGGACUGCUGCCGGGAGACGGGUGCGGAUCAUGCGCACCAACAUGACCACCCUGACUCAGAUAUGGAUGACUUUGCUGCUCAGCAACAUCCUGCCCACCGAUCAUAAUUCCGACCUCCCCCUGCCGAAGUGUCAGUUGGUGUACGCCAUCCUGACGCGGAUGAGCAUCCAUGUGGCUCAGUAAUCGCUGAUGCCAUCUAUAUUUUUGCAGGAAUGGCGCCUACCAGGCACCCUUUGGACCCGGAUAAGUCCAACAGGGCCUUGGGAUUUCCCGCGCUGAUCACAGGACUCUGCCAGUCGUUUGGAGUCCCCGUUGCACCUACCAAGGUGAUUCGGCCGCCCAUCACCCGGGCUUUUAUUGAGAAGUACGGCAUCCAGAGACAGGCUCAGGGUGAUGCUCCACAGGCCGCAGGCACGCCACCACCACCUCAUCAGGCUGGCCCGGCUAGGUCAUUUGACAUGGAGCAGUAUUUACGGCAUUUGGUUCGCCAGCAGGCGGCCAACCACCGGGCACAUGUACAGACCCAUGAUUGUCUGUACCAGCUGAGCCUCAGCAUGCAGAGCCAGGGCUUCGCUUCUUUUUCAUGCCCUACUCCAGACCAGUUCAAGGCAGAGGUCACAUGGCCCGGGGAUUGGCCCGAGGCCCAAGCAGGAGAGGCACCCCCAGAGGCUCCCGGCGAUGGAGAGGAGGCCCACGAGGAUGAAGAGAUGGCCGAUUUGCUUGACUUCUUGGGAGGGAGUGGAGCUACAUGACUGGGAGAUCCCCAGAUUCAUGUUUUCUUUCAUAUUUCUUUUAUCAUUUUUAUGUUAUGUUAUUUUUUGACUUGAGAGACUAAUGUUUGUUUUUGUUGUUUCGAUUGUCAUUUGUACAACGCUUAUAUUUUUGUUUGGAUUGUUGCGUUAGUGUUUAUAUCAUUAUUAUCAAUGAUGUUUGAAAUUCUGGAACCAUGUAGAGUUUUUCGUUUAGGAACAUCGUCCAAAAAAUAAGACAAACAAAAAUCAUGAUAAAAAUAAAAAUUAAAAAAAAAUGAAAAAGAGAGCAAAUAAGAAAAAAAGAGAGCAAAUAAGAAAAAAGAGAGCAAGUAAGAAAGAAGAGAGGAAAAAGAAAAGAAAAAUAAGUUGUUUAGCUGGAAAAACCGACAUGCUUUUGAAAAGAGAUGACCUCCAACUCUUCUUUGGGAAAUUUGCUGAUCAUAGCUAGUUUUUGAAAGAAUGUGUGUACACCCGAAGGGUGAACGCUGUGAAAUUUCCCCGGACGCCCAAAAUGGACUCGGAUGAAUGCACAAAUGGAUAAAAGAACAUAUUUUGGAAACAUUGGGUUGAUUAAAAUAGAGGGAAUGAAUCCUGAGCCCUAGCAUCACAUGACCAUAAAAAUUUGACACUUGAGUGUCCACGUAGGUGCAUGCAUGACCAGUUUUGCAUAAAGUUUCCAAAUCAUCAUUUUUGCAUUUGUGUCAUGGAAAUAAUGUGGGGCAUCCCUUUUACCCUUGAACCAAACCAAACCCUGACAUGUAUCAUGUCUGGCCAUUCUACAAGCUUCGAGCCAAAAUCCUAACUCACCAUAAACCUUGACCCAGGGUGAGAAUGUCAAUCCUUACCCUCGAAAGCAAAAAAAGAAGAGAAGGAAAAUUUCCAAUAAAAGAGAAAGCAAAAAAAAAAAGAGAGAAGGAAAAUUUCCAAUCAAAGGAAAAAAAGAGAGGAAAGGAAAUUCCCAAUCAAAGAGUGGGAGAAGGAAAAAAGAGAGGAAAGGAAAUUCCCAAUCAAAGAGUGGGAGAAAGAAAAAAGAAAAGAAAGAAAAUUCCCAACCAAAGAGUGGGAGAAAGUAAAAGGAAGGAAAGAAAGCUCCUGAUCAAGGAUCGAAAGAAAUCAGAAGAAAUGUGCAGAAAGGUCUUUGGACCGGACAAUAUCUGUACAAUACAGAAUUGUCACCAAAUGAACAAAAAAAAAGGGAAAGGAAACCACGACCUGAAAGUGGUCUUCUCCCUUUGAUUACCAACCAAAAUCCUGUGCGUCGGUGAGUUGUUCGCCUCGCGCAAAACAGAAACAGAAAAGGAAAAGGCCAAAAACACACAAAAGCCGAAAAAAACCCACCAAAAGAACCCAUUCCCAAGGGAAGUCCUGUUGAUCCAUGAUCAUGCAUGUAAUUUUUGAUUCGAUAGGAAAUAAUUCGCAAAGUCAAGUCGUGACAUAUCUAUGGUUCGGAAUUAGGAUGAAACACUUACCUGUGCGAGGUUGAUACACUCUGAGUGAUUUUCUUCUAUUUUUGUUGAACCCAGUGUUUCCUCUAAAUGGUCAUUUAGAAACGAAAUGCUAACAUCCAAAAUCUCAUUUAUGGUUAUGGGGGGGUUUCAUCAGCAGACUCUCCUUCCCCGGUAAACACAUUGUUUUUCACUCAAAAAAGCAUAUGCUGCUCUAAUCAGUUGGAAUAUUUGUCUCUUUACUAAAGCAUGUUUGCAUUUUAGUGAAGAAAACACCGAGACUUUUUCAAGUCUCACAAGUUCUCCAGAACUACGUAGGUCUGAGUUCUUCAUUGGAAGAUACGUAGGAGCAAGAGCCUCGCUUUUGUCGACCACACCGCUUUUUGUUGCCGUGACCCAAGAGCUGGUAGCCCGCGGAGACACCUUACGGUUAUCCGCACCUCGUCAUUCAGUGACCCCAAGUGUGAUUGACGAGCAGAGGCCAAUGUGGUCAUCUGCGCCCUUUCCGGAGAUGACAACAUCUUCCGGUGGAGACUUUUUCAAGUCUCACAAGUUAUCUAGAACUACGUAGGUCUGAGUUCCUCAUUGGAGGAUACGUAGGAGCAAGAGCCUUGCUUUUGUCGGCCGCCCCACAAUCUUUGUCAUACUAACCCUGAGGUCAUGUGACGUGCGGAGACAAAUUAUGGUCAUUCUGCACAUCCUUUUGCCAUUCAGACACAGUUGUGUCCGAUGGCACGCAGAGACAAAUUAUGGUCAUUCUGCACCCUUUUGUCAUCCAGAGGCGGCGGGCCCGAUGACAUGCGGAGACAAAUUAUGGUCAUUCCGCACACCCUUUUGCCAUUCAGACACAGUUGUGUCCGAUGGCACGCAGAGACAAAUUAUGGUCAUUCUGCACCCUUUUGUCAUCCAGAGGCGGCGGGCCCGAUGACAUGCGGAGACAAAUUAUGGUCAUUCUGCACAUCCUUUUGCCAUUCAGACACAGUCGUGUCCGAUGGCACGCAGAGACAAAUUAUGGUCAUUCUGCGCUCUUUUGUCAUCCAGAGGCGGCGGGCCCGAUGACAUGCGGAGACAAAUUAUGGUCAUUCCGCACCCCUUUUGCCAUUCAGACACAGUCGUGUCCGAUGGCACGCAGAGACAAAUUAUGGUCAUUCUGUGCCCUUUUGUCAUCCAGAGGCGGCGGGCCCGAUGACAUGCGGAGACAAAUUAUGGUCAUUCCGCACCCCUUUUGCCAUUCAGACACAGUCGUGUUCGACGGCACACAGAGACAAAUUAUGGUCAUUCUACGCCCUUUUGUCAUCCAGAGGCGGCGGACCCGAUGACAUGCGGAGACAAAUUAUGGUCAUUCCGCACACCCUUUUGCCAUUCAGGCACAGUUGUGUCCGAUGGCACGCAGAGACAAAUUAUGGUCAUUCUGCACCCUUUGUCAUCCAGAGGCGGCGGGCCCGAUGACAUGCGGAGACAAAUUCUGGUCAUUUCGCACACCUUUUUGCCAUUCAGACACAGUUGUGUCCGAUGGCACGCAGAGACAAAUUAUGGUCAUUCUGCGCCCUUCGUCAAUCGCGGUCGACAAGCCCGUUGACACGUGGAGAUUUACAUCAUCUUCCGCGCUCACAAGAUCUGUCAUACUGACUUUUGAGUCACGCUGACGGGCGGAAAUACCCGAGUGGUUAUCUGUAUAAACAUUCUUUUGCUAUCUGUAAGACAGAACGCUUAAUAGCAUGCAGAGACUGACAUCGUCUUCUGCACCUUUUGUUCCCCCGGGAACAACAAGUCAUUUGCAUGCAGAGAUUUUAUGGUCACCCGUGACUCUUGUCAACCGAGAGGAACGAAAUUAGUGUCUUAUCUUUACUUCCCUUUUAUCUCCAAUAAAAGGCAAGUAAAGAGGGGCAACUGUCAUACCCUAAUUUCGUCCGGGGACCUUUGCUUGGUAGCAUGUAACUUUUGUUUGGUCCUUGUGAGGUGCUUGGCACCCAUCAUUAGGCAAUUUGUGAAGUUCCGAGACAUGCCGGAAAUCAAAAGAAGGUAUUGAUGCACAAUCCGUAAGGUUCCGUGACGCACCGGAAAUCAAAAGGAAGCAUCGUUUCACAAUUAGUGAGGUUCCGUAACAUUCCGUAAGUCAAAAAGGGGAUGAUUAUGUAAUCCGCAAGGUUCCGUAACAUUACGGAAAGAAAACAAGUAUCGUUACGAAAUUCAUAAGUUUCGUAACUUUACGAAAAAAGAAUCACCAAAAAAAAGGCAGGGGGUGUACUUAGUAAAAAUGGGGGUGCAAAUAGUAACCAGGCCCACUUGGGCCCUCCAGAAGAUUCCUCCAGAAGGCUGUUGCUUCUGGAGGAGGCAACCCUGCUCGCCUGGGCGAGCUGGGUGGCAAGCUUCUCCCCCAAUUUUCUAUAAAUAGGGGGAGAAGUGAAGUGGAAAAGGGUUCAGCCCCUUAGGCACUUCUCUCUCUUUCGAAUUUGCUUAGAAAAAUUGUUUCCGUGAAGAAAAUCCAAGCCAAGGCGCUUCCGUAAUGUUUCCGUAACGUUUCCGUGAGUGAUUUCGUGAAGGUUUUCAACCGUUCUUCGACGUUCUUCAUUCGUUCUUCAUCGUUCUUCAGUCUUCAACGGGUAAGUACCUCGAACCAAGCUUUUCGAUUCAUUCUAUGUACCCGUGGUGGUCCACAUUGUGUUUCGUGUAUUUUCCUUCUCGUUUCAUUUACUUUUUAUACCCCCUGUUGACGUGCUUAAGCCAUUUUAUUUAAGUCAUUUCUCGCUUAACCUAAAAAUAAAAUAAGUUUCCACCGAUCGUUUGAAUUGUAUUAUCCGUUAACUUUGGUUGAAAUGAAUUUCGACCGAUCGGUCGUGCCGUAACCACGUUGGAAAUCAAAAAAAGAGGUAAAUAAUAAUAUAAUAAUAAAAAUACCCUUUUAGUAAAAUAAAGCGAAAAAUCAAUUGGACGUUUUCUCUUUGGGAUUUCUCAUUCUUAAUCGAAUUGACCAAUAACUAAAGUGAAACUAAAGCUAAAAUCAACUCGCCUAGUCAAGCUCGUCCACAAAAAUAGGUUUUUGAAGUUUAUCAUUUCAAUUUCUUACUAAGUAAAAUGGAUCAUUUUUAAGGUCCAACGCCUUAAAAUGAUCACCUUUUUAAGUAAAAAAGGGAAUCACUUGAUAGGAAAGAACUACGUAGGUCUGAUUUCCUCAUCGCAAUUGAGGAAUACGUAGGAGCAAAGGGAAACACCCUUGUCGACCACAAAAAGAGAAAAAAAUAUAAAAAGGGUAUAAAGGAUAUAAAGACAUAAAAAGGGAACGUAAAAAUCAAAGUCAUGUUUGCAUAUUCGAUUAAAGGUUGUCGUCCCUUGGGACGGACGUGUGGGGUGCUAAUACCUUCCCCGUGCAUAAAUACAACUCCCGAACCUUUCACUUUAAAGUUCGUAGAUCGCGUCUUUUCCGGUUUUUCCGACGUUUUCCUCAAAUAAACGUUGGUGGCGACUCCGCGCGUAUUCCUUUCGUGGAACACGCAUCCCGCGAGUCACGCGUCGCCCUCCCGCCGAAGGGUAGGUUGCGACACUAGUUAAUUAGGCAAGCUUUGGAAAGUGUUGUUUUUCACCUUCUCGCUAAGCCAAUCUGCUGGCUUAGCGAGCGUUUGCUAAGCGCAACACUCCUGGGCUAAGCGCGAGGAAGACUCUGGAAGAAGAUGAGAUGUACAGGUUCGCUAAGCGUACCGCUUCAUCUCACUAAGCGCACCGCUUCAGUUCAUCUCCUAAGUGAGAAAGGCGCACUAAGCCAAAAAUCACUAACAUGCGUUAAGCAGUCCGUAUGUGCACUAAGCGCACGAGCAUGAACAAGACCACCUAUUUAAGCCUAAAAUCAGAUUUUAGAAGGAGAGUUUGGACUGGGAUUAAAAGCUUUGCAUGUUUAGGGUUUUUAGAGAGAGAAAGGUCCAAGUUCCAGAGAGUUUUGAGAGAUUUUGUUGUGCGAAGAUCUGCAGAGACCAGAGCUUGAAGCAGGAGCCGAUUUGAGAGCUUUAGAUGAGUUUGUCAGUGAUUGUGAGAUCCUGGAGGUGAAGGAGACAUCCUCACCAUUUGUAUUUUUGCAAUCUUUCAUCUUGUUCUUCUCUUUGUUGUUAAGAAGGCUUCCUGGUAUGGAAAGCUAAAUCCUCUAUUGGAUCUUCCAUGUAGGUACCUAAUGUAAAUAUAUUUCUAUCUAUUUAAUGAUGUUUUGUGUGUUCUCUAUGCUAUCUACUUUUCAUUCCAAUAUGACUUUACCUUAAUCACGUAGAUGCAUGCUUUGUUAGGGUCAUUCAAUAGUGGAAACUGGUCUGACUCUAAAGUCCUUGAUAGUGCAAGGCUGAGUUGUCGUGCUUUCACGAGGAAUUGGAGUGCGAUAAUUUAGUUGAGUAUGUGUGUCUUAAUGCGGUCCUGGUUGAGUUUAGUCUUACAAGAGGAAUCUGCGGACGAUGCUUAAUCAGGAUUAGGCUAAACUAUCAUGAGGAAUCGAGGUUUAGUAUCUCAGGAGACACCAUAAGAACACAUGAGCAUUGUUAGAUAGAGAAUAUCUUUUUAGCAUCAAGCACCUAUUAGGAAGACCAACAUGUUCUCUACUUGUUUUUACACAUCAUUUCUCUCGCGUGAUUUUCUUUCUUUUUGCACAGAUAGUUUAUACACCUGUUCAUAUUCACACUUACCUUUACACACCAAACACCUAUUUGCUGAAAUAGCUUACCAAAUAACACAAGUUCCCCGAGUGUUCAAUACUCAGUUCUUACCGUUUUAUACUACUUGUGCGAUUCAGUGCACUUGCCGGAACUAGCGAACAAUAUGGAAACUAGUAGAGUUACCCAAGGACAAGAAGGCAGUUGGAGCUAAGUGGGUGUUCAAAAACAAAAUAGAUGAGAAUGGUAAGGUUGUGGGAAACAAAACAAGCUUAGUUGCUAAAGUUUACUCACAAUAGGAAUGUAUUGAUUGCACUUAAAUUUAUGCUCCUGUUACUAGUCUUGAAUUAAUAUGCAUUUUAUUUUCAUUUGCUGCAUAUAGCAAUAUGAAGCUAUAUCAAAUGGACGUAAAAUUCACAUUUUUGAAUGGACUCAUGUAAGAGGAAGUUUAUGUUGAACAACCCCCUGGGUUUAAGAGUGAUACUUUUCCUAAUCGUGUUUUCAAACUUAACAAAGUCUUAUAUGGUCUAAAACAAGCUCCUUGAGCUUGGUAUGAAAAACUUAGUUCCUUUAUGAUUGAAAAUGGUUUUGAAAGAGGAAAAGUGGACACAAUUCUGUUUUGCAAAAACUAUGACUCAAUUUAUUUUAGUUCAAGUUUAUGUUGAUGAUAUUAUUUUUUGUGCUACUAAUGAAACUCUCUAUGAGGAAUUUUAUUAGCUGAUCCAAACUAAGUUUGAAUUGAGCAUGAUAGGAGAACUAAAAUUCUUCCUAAUCUACAAAUCAAGCAAACAAGUGAAGGCAUAUAUAUUCAUCAGACCAAGUAUGUGAAGGAGUUGCUGAAGAAAUUCGACAUGGACAAUGCAAAGGCAAUGAAGACACUAAUGCAUUCAACCACAUACCUUGGACUAAACGAGGAAUAUAAGAAAGUGGAUGGAACCCAAUACAGAGCAAUGAUUAGGUCUCUACUGUAUCAUACAACUUCCAAACCUGAUAUUAUGUUUAAUGUAUGCUUAUGUGCAAGAUUUUAGAAAGAACCAAGAGAAGUCCACUUAACUGCUAUUAAAAGAAUCUUUAGAUAUCUUAUUGGUACUCCUAACCUUGGUCUUUGCUUUAAAAGAAGGAAGGACUUCAAAUUAUCAGGUUACUAUGAUGUUGGUUAUGCUACAUACAAACUUGAAAGAAAGAGCAUCAGUGAAAGCUGGCACUUCAUUGGAGGCAACCUAAUAACUUGGAUAUCUAAGAAAUAAGGAUCAACUGCACUAUCCACUACUAAAGCAGAAUACAUAUAAGUUGCAAGUUGUUAUGCUUAACUUCUUUGGAUAAAGAAUCAACAAGAAGACUACAACAUUUAUGAGAGUGACAUUUUUAUCGUUAGUGAUAACAAAGUUGCUAUCAGUCUUUCGAAAAAUUCCACAUUGUAUUCAAAGGAAAAACAUAUAGAAAUUAAACACCACUUUAUAGGAGACUAUGUUCAAAGAGGGACAUUGGACUUACAAUUUUUACCUACUGAUGAUCAAUGCUUUGACAUAUUUACAAAACCCUUACUAAGGAAUGGCUGAUUCUGCCAUGGAAUCAACUUGAAAUGGAUUUUACAAAGGAAUGAUUUAAUGUUUAUAUGUCAUCCAGUCUAACUUAGUGUCCAGAGGACUCAUUGUCUAAUGACUCUUAGUUAAUAACAUGUGCAUAAUGUAUGUAUUACGUGCGUCCAAUGUAUGGAUGUGUUAUAUCAUAAGCAUUGUGCUAUUUAAGUUGAAACAUAAUGUUUUGGUAAGAGAAAUUUGGAAUAUUUUUGUUGGGUCACUUUUUAAUUGGUAGGCUUCAUAAUUGCUUUUCAUCAAGCCCACAAAACCCCCUCACCUUCAAAUGAUCAAAACUGCCAACCUUCUCUCUCAUCAAAACCUUUCAAUUUCAGAAAUCCCCAACUCUCUUUCUCUCACGUGUUGUUGCUUUCUUUGAACCAUAAACACAAACCCCAACCCAUAAAAGCUUUAACCUCUCCAACCAUGUCAAGUGGAAGUGACACGUCAGUGUACAAAGAGCUCAUUACAAUGAUUGACACAACUUCUGUUCACACUGAGAAUGGACCCACCAUCCAUAUUGAGCAUUUCUUCAACAUCAAACACUUUGGAGGGUAUUGGUCUAAACCUCUAUGAGACCAUGCUGUGUUGUGGUAUUAAAGGAUUAUACAACGACAUCCAUACUAUCCACACAAAGGUGAUCAAAACAUUUUUGGCGUAAUGCUGAGUUCAAAACUACAUAUGCCAUAGUCUUUAUUGUUCUUAGAAAGAAAAUGAUUUCAUCAAUUAAGACCAUUGCUUAGGUCACUAGUUGCAUGAGGGAAAGAAGAAGAUAAAGCAGUAACCGAGAAAAAACAUAUGAAGAUCAUGUUCUAUGGGCGGCCUUAUGUAAUGAAAAAUUCUCUAACGAAAAAGAAAGAAAGUGGGGUACAAAUCUGUUGUGUGAUCAAACAAAGAUGUGGCAAAAUGUCUGCAACAAGAACAUACUGCACAAAAUAAGGUUCAUGGACUCUAUAUCAGACUUGCGCAAGUUUGUGCUUUUUCAUUUGAUGCAAUGCAUACCAUUUGACUUGCCACACACCAUCUACCUCAACAUUUUGCACAUCAUUAAGGCCAUGGGUGGCCUUUAAAACAUUUAUUAUGUUACUCUACUUAACAAAAUCUUUUGGGAAUAAGGAGUUUAUCCAGUCUUCAAUAGACUAAACAAUGCAAGCAAGAAUGUGAUUAUGGUUAGGGAGACCAUGAUUAUGAAGAAACAAAAAUUUGGGCCCUUAAAAAUUAAGUCUGUGAAGUCGAGUAUGAAAAUAUCACAAAGAAAGGUUCCUCAAGUGGACAAGGAAUAGAUAAAUAGGAGGAGAAAGGAGCAUAUUAAGAUUGUGUUAGCUGUUAAGGAUCAUGCUUUAUCUUAGUUUGGCGUUGCCAACAUGAUAAACAAAAUCAUGUCAAAGCAGGCCAACAAGAAACAAAAAUAAGACAAGCACAAAAGUCAGAGGAGGAGGCAAAAUUGCUUAGAAAUGAGUAGAGGACGAAAAAGAAACAGAAGUCUGCACUUGCAUCCAUCCCCUCUAGAAAGCAUUCAAACGCUACUCUCACAAAGAGAAGUCAAAAGAAGUAAGUUAUGGAGAAGAAUACCAAUAUGAGACUCAGAGAUCUUAGUGAAACCAAAGAUGAAGAGGUUCCUCAACUUCAACGAAAGAGGAAGGUUGUUGCUCGACCACAAGCUCUUCUUUCUCCUAAGAAAGAUAAAGUUGUUAUGGCAACUCCCUCUAGCAAGGAACUAAUAUUUUCGUAUAUUAUGCCCAGAAAGAUGAAGAUAAGGGAAAUAAGAGAAAACUUGGCAUUCUUGAGAAGAACUGGAAUCCACCCUCUCCAUCUCAUGAAUCUAGUAAUUAUGAUAUUUCUUUUGAUGCUACUAUCUUGUAGAAGCAAAGCUUCAUGGUGAAUCAAAGGUGAUUCAAAGGUGUUUUGAUGAUAACAAUGAUGAUAACAAAAGAUGAUGACAAAGGUGAUGACAAAAAGCUCAAAGAUUAAUCAAGAACAAUUCAAGAGUUCAAGAUAAGAAUCAAGAAGAAUUCAAGACUCAAGAAGAGAGUCUAGAGACAAGAAUCAAGAUUCAAGGUUCAAGAUCUCAAGAAUCAAGAUCAAGAUUCAAGAAUGAAGAGAAGACUCAAUCAAGAUAAGUAUUAAAAAGUUUUUUCAAAACUUUGAAUAGCACAUGAGUUUUUGACAAAACCUUUUACCAAAGAGUUUUUUACUCUCUGGUAAUCGAUUACCAUAUUGUUGUAAUCGAUUAUCAGUAGCAAAAUGAGUUUGAAAAAGUUUUCAAACUGAAUUUACAACGUUCCAAUUAUUUUCAAAAGGCUGUAAUCAAUUACAAUGUUUUGGUAAUCGAUUACCAGUGCCCUUGAACAUUGAAAUUCAAAUUCAAAUGUGAAGAGUCACAUCCUUUAACUUAAAAGCCUUGUGUAAUCGAUUACACUAAUUUGGUAAUCGAUUACCAGUGACUGUUUCUGAUAAAUCAAAAGAUGUAACUCUUCAAAAAGGUUUUUGACUUUUUCAAAUUGGUUUUAAGUUUUUCUAAAAGUUAUAACUCUUCUAAAUGGUCUUCUUGACCAGACAUGAAGAGUCUAUAAAAGCAAGGCUUUGUUUUGCAUUUCAAUCAUCUUGAACACUUAUUCAUACAAUCAUUUACAAGACUUGAAUCUCUUUGAACUUCUUCUUCUUCUUUGUACCAAAAGCUUUCUGAAGUUUUCUGGUUUUCUAAACCUUGAAAACUUAUGCUAUUCAUCUUUUCAUUCUCUUCUCCCUUUGCCAAAAAGAAUUCGCCAAGGACUAACCGCCUGAAUUCUUUUUGUGUCUCUCUUCUCCCUUUUCCAAAAGAACAAAGGACUAACUGUCUGAAUUCUUUUGUGUCUCCCUUCUCCCUUGUCAAAGAAUUCAAAACGACACAGUCUGAGAAUUCUUUUGAUUCUUUCCAUUCCCUAAUACAUAAGUGUUCAAAGGACUAACCGCCUGAGAAUUCUUUUGUAUCCCCAUUCACAAAGUAUCAAAGGUUUAACAGCCUGAAAUCUUUGUCUCAACACAUUGGAGGGUACAUCCUUUGUGGUACAAGUAGAGGGUACAUCUACUUGGGUUUGACUGAGAACAAGAGAGGGUACAUCUCUUGUGGAUCAGUUCUAGUGGAGGGUACAUCCACUAGGUUCAAAGAGAACAAGGUAGGGUAUAUCCCUUGUGGAUCUUUGCUUGUAAAUGGAUUUUUACAAGGUUGAAAGAAAUCCCAAGGACCGCAGGUCGCUUGGGGACUGGAUGUAGGCACGGGUUGUUGCCGAACCAAUAUAAAAACUCUUGUGUGUUUGUUUCCUUCUUCCCUACUCUUUUACUUUCCGCUGUGCAUUUAAUUUCUGCUUUUACUUUCUGUUAAGUUUCUCUUCUACUCCUCAUUCUCUUAACAAUUUAGUAAAAGCCUUAGAAGAGUAGUUUUUUAAUUAGUAAAGGUUUAGGAAUAGUUAAUUCAACCCCCCUUCUUAAUUAUUAUGAGGUCACUCGAUCCAACAUAUCUCACCAUAGGACUGUCAUCCACCUACACCUUUAAGUCAUCAUCCAUUUUUCCAUCACCAAUCAACUUGGACAAGUUCAAACACAAAAAGAAGAUGAAGGCUCAAAUUUCAGAACAAGAAAGAUUCCAUGUUGCUUUCUUUACAAAAAUCAAGCAGAAUGUUUAUAGAAGGCUUCUUGUUCUAGAUAUCAACCUUUAUGGACAUGUCCAACUUCAUGAAGUCACCAUUGUUACUACACCAAAAUAGAAGAGGUAUGAUUAUGAACAUAUUCUUUCUGAUACAAGACUUUUUCUUCUAAUGCCAUAGUGACCAUGGACACUCUUGUACGGACGUGAUCAGUGCAUACAUACAUGGUCAAGAUGCAACUUCAUUGGUUAAUCCCUGGUACACAACAAUUUGCGUGUCUAACCUUAUAAGAAAGUUCAAAAGAAGAAAUAGAAAAUCUAAAGAAAAAAGAAAAAGAGAAGAACACUCAAGAUCAUAUUCCUCUAUGAAUUUUUUACCAAAGCAAAAGGGAUCCAUCUAUACAAGUCUAACUUCCACAAGCCAAGUGGGACAAGAAGAUCAACAUCUAAACACUCUCUUCAAGACUUUUACCAGUGAAUCCAGUUGAUCUUGUUCUAUCACUUGUUGAGAACUCCAUGAUUGGUGGCAUUCUUGCAGAGGUGUAUGCUUUCAACCAAGCAAUUGCAUAUUCACCAGGUCUACACAUCAACAGAACAACUGAUAUCAAGAUUGAACCAGAUCAUUGCUACCCCAGGCUACCUCCUAGAGAUGAAGGCAAAGAGAAAGGAUUCAAGCUUUAUUAUAAUGAAGAGAUGCUCAACAAACAAAAAAAUGUUGAAGUAGUCAACUAUCCAAGAAACUAGAGUUCACCUUUCAGUGGGAAGAAACUAGUGAAGAAAUCAGACAUUUUUAUGCCAAGACCUUCUGGAAUCAAAUUGUUUGGAAUGAUAUGAUCAAGGCUUUAUCAUUUGAUUAUGACAACAAUGACAAUGUUGACCACGAGGAUUCCAUUCAAGUGUUUUGUUUAGUGAAGAUGCAUUACUUUGAUGAUGCAUGAGUGUGUUUUUAAAGGACUCUGAAGAUGACACAAUCAUCUCUCGGCUAAUAGAACUUCCCAUCAUCUUCAACGACAUUGUCUAUGAUCUUAUGAAGAUGGAUGAGAGGGAUUUCAAAGAUCAUGUGAUGAAAAUUCAUGAAGUGCAGAAGCCUAAAAGAAAAGAGUUAGAGAAAGCUUAUAAAGUUGUUAUUGAGGCUAAGAAAGUUGUAGAAGAAAAUGCUAAGGCAGAAAUUGAAAAGAGAACAAAGGCAAUCCAACAGGUGUUGGAUGAUGCUGCAAAAGUUACUAAGGUAUUUAUUGAUCUCACUAUCGAGGUUUGCCUUUGUCCAAUGCAACAAAAGUGAACAAAGGCAAACCUCAACAGAAUGAAGAACAAGCAGCAUCCCCUAUAAAGUCUAAUGCAACAAAAGCUAAUGAGGUUGUUCGAACACAUCAACCCGAACCUGCAUCCAAGUAGGCUAACACCUCAAAUGAAGCCUCUUUAGUGGAAAAGGAGGUUCGUGAUGCUAUUGUUGUCUUCUCUAGCAACUUUGAUGUUGCACUAAUCAACUUAUCUGCCUCUAGUUCCUUAACUAAAGAUCACAUCCAAGCAAUGCUUGAUCAAGCCCUGACAAGGCAGAAUGAAGAAACUCAAAUGUUGGUAACUCAUGUCAUGGCUCAACAAAGAGAGGAAACAAGGAAGGAACUACAAGCUUAUGUUGAACAACAAAUAUUGAAGAGUGAGCAAUAUAAGCAUUCCAUUCAAUUUACUAUUGCUACUCAAUUCACCAGUCUAUCAAAAAUGCUACUACAUAACCUACAACAAGCUUAACAAAUCAUGUUGGGUGUUGUCGUCCAACCACCUCCUAUCGUCUAAUAACAACCAACUCCAAGUAUACUGCUUGCACCUCUUGAAGCAACACCAUCAUCACCAACAUCAAUACCACCACCAUCCAAUCAAGGGUGACAAUAAUUUCCAAUCAUCAUUUCUUUCUUUGAACCCUAAGUCUUUUUGUUAAUUCCAAUAAGGAAUUUAAAUAAUACAAUUGUGGUUUGGUUAUCUCUUGUUUGUUUUUAUUAUUAUUUGUUGUUUUAUAUAUAUAUAUAUAUAUAUGCUUUACAUGUCAUGCAUAAAGGUUAUUGAACUCGAGGGGAGUUUUUAUAAACCUACAUACAUAUAUAUUUGCUAUGAUAUUAUUGUUCUACAACAUAAUUCAUAAUCAUGCAUUAUCCUUCUAUCUUAUGGUUUAUCAUCAUAUAAAAGAGGGAUAUUGUUAAGUCUGGAUGGUCUAUUGUCAACUGGAUGAUCCGUCCUUACCCAUAACUUUUAUGAUCACAAAAGGUAUAAAUUAUCGAUGGACUAAUGAGCUAUUUUUAAGUGAACAAGAACUACUAUAUAUGAGCACACUUGGUAUUACUUCAUACUUUACAACUCUUAUAAGUACACAUCCAAUCACAAAUGGAAACUGUUUUAUUAAAGAGUAAUAUCCAACAUCCAAUGCACUAUUCUAAACUAGCAUCCACUCAUUGUGGAAACUAGUGUCUAUACAUUGUAUUGUUUUUAUUCACGUCCAAUGAAAUUAAUCACUUAUAUAGUCUCUUUUAUAUCAAGUAUAAGUGACAUCCAACAUUGUACUAGAAUCAACGUUUGCUACAAAGGGAAGUGCAUGACUUAACUUUCACAAAUUCAUUUUUGCCUAUCUUAUUUUGAAUUGCUAACAUUUGAAUUUAAGGAAGGAAAUAAUAGAAAGGAAUAAAAGGUGUUCAAAGGAAUAUUCCUUAGAGGUCAUUAUUGCUAAAGAGAGGAACACAUGCAAUUGUCUGUACUUUUAUUCUUUCUCUAUCCAUAAGAGCGUAACAUGUAGCACUACCUCUAGUUGUGAGACAACAAUCAAAUCAGAGAGAAGUGUUAAUCCCAUAAUGGAUACUUUCAUCAAGUCUAUAAAAAGUGAUCAAGGCUCUACUAUUAAGAUCAAGAAGAAAAUGAACAAAAAUACGAAGUGAAAAGCAAGAGGAUUCUGAAGUGAGAAUUUGUCAAGUCAUUGAAGGAUACCUAACAAUGCUUAAUAAGUUCAUUUACGUAGCAAAGUUAUUUAUUUGUAUUUGAGCUUAAUUGUUUAUUCACUAUGUUGAGUGAUUUGAAUCUAUGUAUUGAAUCAAAUAUUUUUUUUUGUGAAAGCUAAGAGUGGUUUAGCGUUAAACAAUACUUGUGUGUCUUAGAUUCAGGGGGAGUCUAAGGGUGUGCCAGUAGUGGCCUAGAGAAUACUAUUGUAGCCAAGAGUGGUAGGAAAAAAUACAUGUUUGUAAUCAAGGUUUGAUUAGUGGAACCCUUGACUGGUUUGUGAAGGAGAACUGGACGUAGUUCUUAGCGAAUCACUAUAAACUAAGUGUUUCUACUUAUCUCUCAAGCUAUUUGAUUAGUAUUCUCUUUAGUUUAUAUUGACACACUUUGUCACACAAUCAUUAUUUUGAAAAAACCUUUGUGAAAAUACUUUUUUAUCAAUCACUGGAUGAAAAUGUUUAUUAAAAUAAUUUCUAAUCAAGUGACAAUAUAAAAGUUUUUAUACUAAUAGUGUAUCAUAAUAAGUUUAUUUCACACAAUGAUUAUAUUUUAGUUGGCAAUGCAAUUGAGUUUGUGGAGAAGGAUAUGGGUUCAAUCCCCACAUAAUACAUCAUUGAAACUAAAAAAACAACUUUAAAUGUGACUAAACCUCGAAACAAAGAUUAACCACAUGUCUUAAUUAGGUGGUUAAAAAUAAAAACAAAAAAUUCAAUUUCAUCUAACUCAACUAUUUGAUGCAAUAUUGAAAGCUCGACUUUGACAAACUCAUUAUUAGCAAGAACUCUUUGUUGUGUUUUUGAGUUUGAAAAGGUAUUUCAAAAGGCAAAGUCCCACAUUUCCUAGAAUAUCUUUGGCGGAAGUGUUUAUAUAUCAACUUGUGAUAUGGGUUAUCAAAGUGGCUAGUAAGAGGUGGAAGUCUCACGCACAUGAGCUUGGGUCUUGUGGACUUGACAUUGUGUAAAUCCACCAAUAUGCCCCCAUGGGGUGUGAUAAUGGGUCGUGCAAUCUUUUGAUUUUUUAUUUAAUCAAAUUCCUUUUGGGAAUUAUUUUAAAUUCAAAAGUUUAUCCAAAAAUUCUGGUUUUUAGUGUGACAAAUUUUAAUUUGGCUCAAUUAUGAAAAACAUUGGAUUUCUAGUCUUCAUCAUUCAUUUGUUUUUGUGUUUUGUCUUUAAACAUUUUCAUAAUCGUAUCAAUUAUUUUCAUCACGAUUUAAAAGUCCUUUAAUUUCAAAUGAUCACAAAGUGCUCGACUAGUGCUAUAUAUACGACCUUCUCUAACCAUGUUUUUCACACUGAAAAGAAAAUCCUUUUCUUCUCUCUCUAGAAUCCUUUCUCUAUUUUUGGGUUUGAUUUUUCGCCCUUGCUUCUUUUUGUGGUCUCAACACAUCUAAGGAGUUCUUGUUUAUCUUGGGGUGGCUUGAAUGGUAUACCACAUAUAAGUCCUUUGGGACAGUGCUCAUACACACCUUAGGAAGCCAUUCUUCAUGAUCUUCAACAUUGUUUCCAACAAUCUAAAGGACUUAUAACUGCUAGAGAAAAAUAUUGAUAUUUUCACUCUAGUGUAGACUUCUUCGAUUCCCACUGUUGAAUCCACAUCCCUGUUUUUAAUUAUGACAAACCAUUAGUAAUGAAAAUUGAAAGGAUGAUUGAAUAAAGUGAUGGCUAACAUUCUGCUUAACUGUUUUAGUGUUUAUUACUUUGAGAAGCAAAGAUGUUCUUUCAUUCUGAGGUACUCAGAAUGAUGCUCAGAAAGGAUCACAAAACUGCUGUCAGAAUUCAGUACUUAGAAGAAUUCUUGAAGCCCAUCAGAAUGAUGAAGUUUGCUUCCCUCUGAGUACUUGGUUAUUUGAAAUAUAUUUAACAGCAAGGCCUUACAUAGAAGAUUUUUCAAAGGCUACAUGAAGAGCAUCAUGGUUCAGAGUGAAGCUAUGUAGAGUCUACAUUAGAAUGGUGAAAACCUUGACUCUGAGUUUUUAAACAUCAGAAUCAUUUAGAAAGACUCGUAAUGCAUCACUUGAACAUUAGUAGAAGACUUAAGUCUGAUAGUUCUUCACCUUCCAUAUGUUGCCAUAGUUUCCGAAGGCACAUCAAAACGAAAGAAUUAACUACAUAAGAAGAUGCAAGAUUGUCGAAUGAUUAAGUUUUCCAUGAGAAACAUUGAUGUCAAGCAUCAGGCUGCAAGGCUGAGGAGAACUACUCAGUCUUACCUUGGACAAUGCACUAACACACUAGCAAAUCAAUUUCUACUAAGUCUUUUUUAAGUAAUCAACUUCAAAAUGCUUUGAAGCUGUGAAAAGGUGUUAAGAGUGAUGAAGUUGUACUACAUCAGAAUGGGAUAUCAAUCCGAACUUCAUCAAAGGAAUUCAUCAAAUUUUUGAUUCAUUCUCAGUAAACAUCAAAAUGGCUAUUUUGAUUGUUUUUCAAAAUGCCCAGCAGAAAGGUUCCUCGAAAAGAGAACCUUAGAAUGGCUCUAUCUGCGGUCACAUCAUGACAACUGGAAAGUGCACCUACUUGCUCUAGAAGUGUGUUAGUUGUAUGGAGGCUACUAUAAAGGUCUUCUAGGAGCUUUAUGAGGCAAUUUCAAAGGCUAUGAAGAACAAGUUGAAGCAUUCAAAAUAUGCAACCCAUUGUGCUAGAUCUUUAACUGAGAAAUUCAUGUUUCAGCUUCAACCCUCUUUAUAAGCGAGACUCAUUUUUGUAUUGUGCUUUCAAAGUUUGUAAUAGUUUUAGAUAGAAGUGUUAGAUUAAUUUCGUGAGUGGAAUCCCUCAUGCGAGGAGAAAAUCUGUAAUUUAUGCAGUUAAUCAUAGACCAUUUUCUAUAAGGACCAAUAGCGGCUGGCAAAGAAGAAAUCCAAUGGUGUAGCUGGUCUAGCUAAGGCUAGGAUUGAAGUCCAAUGGGGAACUAACAAGUUUGUGAAAUCCAGUGGUUGCUAGUAAAAUUGUGAACUGGUUGUGUUGAUGAAAAUCUUAUAUUGAAGGGUGAAGACUGGACAUAGUCCUAGGUUGCGAUGAACCAAUAUAAAAACCUUUAUGCACUCUUCUUCCUUAUCUUUUCUUUACUUUUCUUUGCAUAGAUUUAAGAAAAUAGUUUUGAUCAAAACACUAAAUCUGUUAUUUUCAUCCUAACAACAUAAGUGAAAUUUUGUUUACCAAAAGGUUUUUAUUAAACAACCAUCUUUGGAACAAAAGCUUUAAUUUGUAGAAGAAAUAUUUUUCCAAAACUGUUGCAUUUUCAUUCUAAGCUCAGAACAAUUUUCUCUUUCUGAACCUAUUCAUUUUGAACUAUAAUUAGAAACCUUUUUGCAUUUAAAAGAAGAUUAAUAGUUUUUCAAAACCCCAUUCUUGGUAUUUUUGUCACUUCACCCUCUACUACCUUUGCCAAGCCACUCUUGGAUGUGUCUAAGAUCCAGGUCUUUGUAGGCCAAAAUUUUCAACACUAUCAGGAAUGUGUCCACACAUUACUGGACAUGCAUGGGGUAGUUUUCACCCUUACCGCCAAAAGGCCUGACUUUGCUACACCUGCCAAACAACUUGAACAAUCGAAUCAAGUGAAUAAGGUAUGUCAUCACACCUUACUGAGUACAUUGUCUAACAAGUGUCUCGAUGUCUACUUUUCGUAUAAGGAAGCAAAUGAGAUAUGUGACCCCUUGUUUUGAAGCAUGCUGUUAAGGACAUAGUCAGGCAAUGUUUCAUCAUCGAUAAUUACUAUCACUGGACAAAAAGGACAUCAAGGUACAAAUCAAAGAGUACCACAAGUUACUUGAAGACCUAAAGGAAAAAAACACAACCCUACCUGACAAAUUUAUUCCUAGCUCCUAUUGAGAAACUUCAUGAAUCCUAGACUAAUUACAAACAACAAAUGAAGCAUAGGCACAAACAGAUGUCUCUGUCAGACCUUAUCACACACAUCAUCAUUAAGGAUACCAAAUAAAAUGAAUAUGUUGUUGCAAGGGCCAAGGCUUUAUCUUCCAAGGCAAAUAUGGUGCAAGAUAAUGCAAUUCAGAAAAGGUACAGUAACAAAACUGAUCACAAGAAAAUAAAUCCUACGUGUUCCUACUUCUAACCCCACUUUCAAGAAAAAAGGAAAUUGUUUUGCUUAUGGAGGGCCAAGACAUUAUGCAACAUAGUGCAAACAUCGAGUGGUGAGAAAUAAUAAUAAUUGUUGUGAUCAUUUCUCAAGUUCAUAAGCCUAGGGCUAACCUAGCUAAAAGAGAUGAAAUAAUUGUUGCAAUCAUUACUUAGGUCAAUGUUGUGACCAAUGUUAGAAAAUAGGUGGUAGACUCCGGGGCUACCAAGCACAUCUGUGCUGAUAGAAAUUUGUUUACCUCCUACACUGUUGGGUAAAUGGGUUAUUAGUAGGUUGUGGUUCAUGAAUAGCAGAUUUGUGGUUUUAAACAUUGAGGACAACAAUCUCAAGUACUAAAGUGACUAUAGAAAUCUUAUUAUUUUUCAAACUCAUAAUUUCUAUAAAAAAAAAAUAAAUGGAGUUGGAGAGGUGUUUUUGUUGUUUUGCUGCAUGGAGAUGGAAUGCCUAGAAAACCUGUACCAAUGAUGAGCAUUAUGAAGGAAUUGAAAGUGGUAGUGCAAAGGUUUUGAUUAUGAGUCACAAAAUAUUUUUUUUGUUGCCAAUUUAUUCAAAACACAUGGUACAUUAAUUUUUUUGAAUCAAUAUAAUAUUCUUUUAUUAUAAUUUUGGAUAAAGGAGAUUCUUCAAAGAAAAUAAAACUAAUUUCAUUAUAUGGUGUUGUUGGAAUUUUUUAUGUGGUUUCAAUGAAAAAUUUAGUGUGUUUUAUAAAUUAAAAAAAAGAACAUAAUGCAAGUUUUAAAUACCAUGACAUCAUUGUAUUCAAGGAUGGAUUUAAGGUAAGGGCUAGCAGGGGCCUUGCCCCCUCCCUCUAGAUUCUUUAUAUACUUGAGAAGAAAAAUAAAAUAAAAUAAAUAUUGAUAGAGAAAAAUAGAGUAUUGAAUUAAUGUUUGCUUAAUUUUAUUCUAGUAGUAGAUUUUACCUCUAGUUUUACACAUGAAUUUGAUAAUAAAUAUGUUUGUGGAACAUUUUAUUUAUCAAAAAAGUUAUUUAUGAAAUAAUUGUGUAAAAAGAAAUUUUCGGCCCCUUUUUCAUGUAUUCAUGGAUCUGUCCUUGAUUGUAUUAUUGUUUGAGCUUCCAGCAAGUGCACCGCAUCACACAAGUAGUAUAAAACGGUAAGAACCGAGUAUCGAACACUCAGGGAACUUGUGUUAUUUGGUAAGCUAUUUCAGCAAAUAGGUGCUAUUGUGUGAAAGUAAGUGUGAAUAUGAACAAGUGUAUAAACUAUCUGUGCAAAAAAAGAAAGAAAAAUCACACGAGAGAAAUGAUGUGUAAAAACAAGUAGAGAACACGUUGGUCUUCCUAAUAGGUGCCUGAUGCUAAAAAGAUAUUCUCUAUCUAACAAUGCUCAUGUGUUCUUAUGGUGUCUCCUGAAAUACUAAACCACGAUUCCUCAUGAUAGCUUAGCCUAAUCCUGAUCAAGCAUCGUCCGCAAAUUCCUCUUGUAAGACUUAACUCAACCAGGACUGCAUUAAGACACACAUACUCAACUAACUUAUCGCACCCUGAUUCCUCAUGAAAGAACGAUAACUCAGCCCUGCACUAUCAAGGACUUUAGAGUCAUACCAAUUUCCACUAUUGAAUGACCCUAACAAAGCAUGCAUCUAUGUGGUCAAGGUAAAGGCAUACUGGAAUGAAAAGCAGAUAGCACAGAGAACACACAAAACAUCAUUAAAUAGAUAAACAUAUAUUUACAUCAGGUACUUACAUGGAAGAUCAAAUAGAGGAUUUAGCUUUCCAUACCAGGAAGCUUUCUUAAAAACAAAGAGAAGAACAAGAUGAAAGAUUGCAAAAAUAUAAGUGGUGAGGAUGCCUCCUUCACCUCUAGGAUCUCAUAAUCACUCACAAACUCAUCUCAAGCUUUCAAACCGGCUCUUGCUUCGAGCUCUGGUCUCUGCAGAUCUUCACACAACAAAAUCUCUCAAAACUCUCUGGAACUUGGACCUUUCUCUCUCUAGAAACCCUAGACAUACAAAGCUCUGAAUCCCAGUCCAAACUCUCUUCACAAAAUCUGAUUUCAGGUUUAAAUAGGUGGCCUUGUUCAUGCUCGUGUGCUUAGCGCACAUUAGUGAUUUUUGGCUUAACGCGCCUUUCUCGCUUAGCGGAUGAACUGAAGCGGUGCACUUAGAGAGAUGAAGCGGUGCGCUUAGCGAACUUGUACAACUCAUCUUCUUCUGGAUUCUUCCUUGCGCUUAGCCCAGGAAUGUUGCGCUUAGCGGAUGCUCGCUAAGCCAGCAGAUUGGCUUAGCGAGAAAGUGAAAACAACCUUUUCCAAAGCGUACCUAAUUAACCUGAAAUUGAGAGAAAAUGGUUAUUAAGCACACAAAAUGGAAAUACUAAGUAUUUAUUACCUAUACUUAACAAAAAGUACUUAUAACAUUACAAAAUAACCAUAAAUUGGGAGAGUUUGAUACAAUUUAUACAAGUUUUAUACACAAAAGUUAGUCAUUUUCACCGACUAACAAUUAUGUACCUUGAUCCCCCUAUCUUGUCUUUGGUUUAAGGAUCUCAAGUUGAAAGAGCUAGGCAUUAAUGCUGAACUAACAAUGGCUAUAGCAAGUGGAUUACAGAUUUGCAUAAAAGAGAAUUUUCAUAGAAAAUCAACCUUUAGAAUGGUGAGAUAAAUUGAAAAUUAAAAAUUGUAGUCUUCUAUCAUAUAGUUACAAUAAUUGAUGUCAUAGUUAAUUUUUUCAAUUUGAAUUUAGAUUUGUGAGAAAAUUAUUUAACUUGAAAAUGCCUUGAUGGUAAAAAGUUUGUUUGUAUCAUUUAUAGUUUAAUCCCUUGAGUUAAAAAUUUAUAGGCAAGUUGGCAGUGUGUGUGGCCUGAUUGAAAAACUUUAUAUAAUGUGUUGAGAUUAAAAGCCUUCCAAGGAUUGAGAGGUACGAUAUAGUGAGAGCAUAAAUUUCAUGAAUGAGAAGAAGAUACUAUCUUUUGAGUCAUUUUGUUUUAAGAAUUCUUUAGUACACAUCACUUGAUUAUGGUGCGUUACUUAGUGGUUAACUAACUAAAUAAGACUUAAGUUGGGAUUUAUUACUAUAGAAAUGGUUGAUUAUGAGACUUAGUAGUUAAAAAACUAUUUAAGCAAAUAUUCCUUUAGAAUAUAAAUUGAGAAAUAUGGUGAUCAAGCAAUUGCUUAAAAGAAAGAAAUUCAUUGAUUCUGCAAAGUCAAUGACGGAUUCGACCAAUCUUCUAACUAAAAUCCCAAGGAAAAAAAUAUUAUAGAAACAUCAAGGGUUAUCAUAAUUUAUUAAGCCACUUGAAAAUAAACAAGUGAUGGUGAACUAACCUUUGCAAGGGUGUGUUUGUGGUAAAGAAGAAGUCAUCCAAGAACCUAUUCAAUGUGAAUACAUCUCUGUGUCUCCCACACCUUGGACAAGGUAGGAUUAUCAACAUGUUCCAUCUACUACUUAUAAUGUGUUGCUUGUUGAUGCUAUAGUAGCAUUGGACACUUCUUCCAAGAUGCGACUAGCAAAUCCCAACCUGGUCAGGAUGGAAUCUCAUUGGUUAAUCCAUGUAACUCAACAACAUGUGCAUCCAGUCUCUGAAAAAGAAGGAGAAAAAAAAGAAAAGCAAAAGAAAAAGAAUAAAACCAAAAUCUCUCUUGAUUUUAUACAUUCUUCCACUUUUUCAAAAAUCAACAUCGAUCCAUUAGUGGAAUAUCAGCCUCCAUAGAUCAGAUGGAGAAAAAAGAUCAAUAUAUGGACGCUCAUCACAAGACGUCUUCCACUCAAUCCUACUUAUCUUAUUCUAUCUGGUGCAGACCCAACAUCUAUUGGUGGGAUUCUUUCAUAGAUGUACAUCUUCAAUUAGGCCAUUGCCUAUAUAUCCACCAAAUCUUCAUAUAAGUAGGACAACUAACAUAAAGAUGGUUCUUGAUUGUUGUUGCCCAAGUUUUUUUGUUCAUGAUGAAGGCAAAAAGAAGGGAUUUAAGUUGUACUUCAACGAAGAAAUGCCUUGUAGGUGGAAAUAGUCAAUCAUCCUAGGAACUGGAAAUCACUUUUUGAUAGGAAGAAACUUACAAAGAAACUAGAUAGUUUUGAUGCCAAAACCUUCUGGAAUAAAACUAUUUGCGAUGACACUCUCAAGGCCUCUUCAUCUAGGUAUGAUGGCAGUGACACUGUAGACCACAAGAAUUCUAUCCCUUGUAGAGAGCUACCAAGGAAAAUAAUGAAUAAGAUGCAAGAGCUACCAAGCAAGCUAAAGAAGAUAAAGGAAAGAUUACUGAGGUCUUUGUUAAUCUAAACAUCUAUGGUGAAUUGCAAGAGAUUGAUGAACGAGCAACAUUCCCUAUAGAGCCCAUUAUUGCCAAGGCUGAUGAGGUCGUCCAUUCCAAACAACAUGUUCUUGCGUCCAAGCAGGUUGAACCCUUAAGUGAAGCCACUUCAAUUCAAAAGAAUGCUCCUGAUACAAUGGUUGUUUUCAAAGACUCUCUAAUGUUGCCCCUAUCAACUUUGCUGCCCCCAAUACUCUUUCAAAAAAUAAAGUCCAAGACCUUGUGAUUCAACCUAUGUGAUAAACGUCAAAUUUAUCGGAUUUUCAUAUGCAUUUUGUCACAUUUAUUUGGCAUUUUAGUUAACUUUAGGCCUUGUUUUGAAUCAAACUAGCUUUAAAAUCAGAUUUUACUUAGGUAGAAUUUUAUUUUUUUAGUUAUUUUUAAUGAAUUUUUGAUAAUUUUUCAGCAAAAACAAGUCAUUAUGGCCGGAGCUCCAAAAGACCAAAAUCAGCAAAAAGUUCAGGAAGGAGAAAUUGUAGAAAUUGAAGAUAAAAGCUAGGAAAAUCAAGAGCAAAAUAUUUUUCAAGGAUAAGUUUGCUGAAGAAGAAGAUAAUUACUUGAAUUAAUUAGAGAUAUUAUUUGUUUGUAAUGUCUUGUGAUUAUUUCCUUAAUUAAACCUAGAUAUAAUUCUAUAAAUAGGAAGCUAGGCAUUCAUUGUAACAUGGUAGAAGUCCUGAGCAAUUCUUAGAAUUAUAUUUUAGACUUCCACCUACUAGACGCCUCCAUUAUUUCAUUAGACACUUUAGGUUUCAUUGUAUUAUUUUUAUGAGUGCAAUUCCUUGAGUUCUUUAUUUUUUUUCGUACUUGAUGCUUUUAUUUGAUUGAUCAUCUUAUAAAUGAAUUCAAGAAUUGACUUGUGCUUUGGCAAGCCUUAUUGAAACUCGAACAUGAAUCAAGUAAUUAAUUGGGGGUUAUCUCUAGUAAUUAAAUGGCUAAUUCUCGACCAUUAAUGUUGAUUGCUUGUGUCGGUAUGUCCAAAGGAUUGGGUAUCGGGCAAGUAGUUUUAAAUCUAUGACCAUGCAGGAGAUGGGGUAGAAUAAAUUAGUGAAUUGGGGAUAUGCAAGAGAGAUGUGUAGAGAAUAGUGAAUUUACAGUGGAUCGAACGAAUUCCAAGUCCAAACCUAGACAUUCAUUCAUCAAGAUCGACAUCACCAUCCAAGUCUAGUAUUUCUAUCUUUACUUAAUUAUUUUAUUGUCAUUUAAUUAUUAUUGCAAUUUAUUUUUGUUUAUUUAUUUCAUGACAAUCAAAAAACAAAAAUACAAAAACCUAGUUCUUAGUUAAAUAAUUACAUGAAAUCCCUCCUUUAUUCCUUUAGGAGACGACCUGAACAAUAAUUCAGUUACUACAUCAUGAUUGGGUUACACUUGGCCUAUAAGUUGAAUCUAAUGUGAAAUAAAACCCUAACACUAUGUUGAAGAAAAAAAAGAAGAAACUCAAGAACUGGUUAACUAGGCUAUGCUGCAACAAUGAGAACAAACAAGGAAGGAGAUACAAGCCUAUAUUGAACAACAAAGAUUGGAGAAUGAGUAGUAUAAUCUAUGCAACAUGCUAUUGUUACUAAGUUCACCAACUUAUCUUAGAUGUUGUUACAAAAGUUUCAACAAGCUCAGCAGAGCAUGCUUAUAGCUAUCAUCAACCCUAGCGUCCAACCACAACCAACUCUUCCACCUACAUCUACACCAAGUAUUCUACCUACACCUGCUCAAGUUGAACCUACACCACCAAGUCAGCCACCGCCAAUAACUCCAAAAUGAAAAUGAUGUCCAAUCAUCAUUUCUUUCUUUGAAUCCUAUGUCUUUUUGUUAAUGACAAAAGGGGGAGAAGGUUAAUGAAAUUUUGAUAUGUAAAGAAGCACUCUUCUUAAUAAUACUAGUGGUUUUGGUGCUCAUUUAUGUGUGUUUAUAUAUAUAUAUAUAUAUAUAUAUAUAUAUAUAUAUAUGCUUUGAUACAUAAUUGAUAAUCUCUCUAUCUUUAUCACAUGAUUAUGUUUUAUCUUGAUCAAAAUUUAUAUGGUUUGUCAUCAUUAAAAAAAGGGUGAUUGUUAAGUUGGAUGGUUUACUUAGUCACAAAUGGAAGAUUCAUCCUUGCUCAUGACUUUGAUUAUUACACAAAUAGGAAUUACUACAUAUGAGGAAACAUGGUAAUAAUUGUCUAUCUUAAAUCUCUUAUUAGUUUGCAUUCAUUUGCUUUGGAACCCUAUUUUAUUAAGAAUAACAUCUAGCGUUCAACACAUUGUUAUAAGCUAGUGUCCACUCUUGUGUAAAAACUAGUGUUUAUACAUUGUGUUCCUUUUACUCGCGUCCAAUGGACUUACUGACUUACACUAAUUGUUUUAUAUUAAGUAUAAGUGACGUCCAUUUAUGCACUGGAUUCAUGUUAGCCAAAAAAAGGAAGUGGACGAACUCAUAUUUAGUAAAUUCAUUUUGCCUCUCUUAUUUUGAAUUGCUAACAUUUAAAUUUCAAGUAAGAAAGGACAUAGUGCUAUAGAGGAAGGAUUCUGAAAGAAUUCUUCCAAGUCAAUAAGUGCUACAGAGGAAGGAGCACAUGCAGUUGUCUAUACUUUUAUUCCUUCUAUCUCCAUAAAAAUGCAAUGUGUGGCAAUGCCUCCAGUUCCGAGACAAUGUUGAUGUCAAGGAAAGUGCUAAUCCCAUAAUGGAUCUCUUCAAUGAAGUCUAUAAAAGGAAACUCAAGCUCUAUUAUUCAACAUAAGAAAACAAAGAGAAAAAAGGGCAAGUGAUAUUCGAAGUGAUCAUUUCUGUUAUAUUAGUGGACGAUAUAUUAUUGUGGUUAAGUUGUUCAUCCUUUGCUUAGCAAAGUUAUUUCAUUGUAUUUGAACUUAAGCAUUUAUCCUCUCUAUUGAGUGAUUUGAAUCUUUGUAUUCAUUCAAACAUUGUUGUCUGUGAAUACCAAGAGUGGCUUAGUGUUAAACAAUACUUAGGUGUCUUAGAUUUCAGUGGAGUCUAAGGGUAAGCCAUAAAGGGCCUUAAGAAUACUGUUUUAGCCAAGAUUGGUAGGACGUAAUACUUGUAGUCAAGUUUUGAUUAGUGAAACCCUUUACUAAUUUGUAAAGAAAAACUGGAUGUGACUCUAUUUGAGUGAACCAGUAUAAACCUAAGUGUUUCUACUUCUCUCCAAAGUUGUUUUAUUAGUAUUCUCUUCGGCUGGUUUUGAUACACUUCAUCACAUAAGUCUGCUUUUGAAAAACCUUUGUGAAAACUUUGUUUUAUCAAGCAACGGACAAUAACGUUUUGUUUUCAACAAAACUAUUUUUUAUUCAUUGGACAAUACCUUUAGUAACUAGGUUUUAAGCAUAUCCUCCUGUGAAGAACUUUUCUUUGAGAAAAAGUUUUCAUAUUUAACUAACACACUAUUCAACCCCCUUCUAAUGUGAUAUUUUUUUAUUUCAAAGGUAAGAAAGAAAAGUCGUUGGCACUUAGCAUCCAUAGGACCAAGAAGCCUUCAUCGUCUAUAACUCCCUCAUCCAAAGCAUCAUCAAAAGCACUAAGUGUGGGCAAUUGCUAUGAUGAUGAAUCUAAAGACAAAGAAAUUAACGAAGAUGAUGAGUUGCCAUUCAUUUCAAGAAAAAUUAGGAAGAUGUGGAGAGACAAUAGUGGAUCCAAAAGGUUCUUCAAGGAAAAAAAGUAAUACUGAGAAGAGUCUAAUCAUCUAAUAUGAGUAAAAAAAAACCUAGAGACUUCAAAUCAGAAUGCCCACAACUGGAAAAGACCAAAGACAAGAAGAAAUCCUUCAAGUCAAAAACCAAGAAAAUCUCAUGAGUACCUGGGAAGAUUUAAGAUCGGAUGAAGAAGACAAGGAGGAAACCAAUUUGUGCCUAAUAGCUGAUAUAACAUCAGAAGAUCAGAUUCAGAAAAUGAAGAAAAGGUAGAGCUUGAUAAACCAUAAUCCUUCAAACAAGCUUAUCAUGAGCUACUCUAAAACUCCUUCAUCUCUCAUAAGCUUACAAGUCUUUAAGAAAAAAAAUUCAAAAAACUUAGCAAAGAUCAUAUCCAACUUCAAAAAUUUUAUGAAGAAACACAAUAGUCCUUUAGAAUCUAUUUUAAUGAGCAAUGAUUUUGAAAAAAGAAAAAAUUCAGAGUCCUUGUUCCAUCUUGAAAAUGAAUAGUUAUCCAAAUAAAAGACAUCUUAUUACAAAACUUUCAUGAUUUAGAAACAAAAAAUAAGGUAGUUCAAAAUGAUUAGAAAAUUAUCAACGAGUUACAGGAUCACCUCAAUGAAGAAAAGUUUGAUCUUUAGAGAAACUAUGCUUUUCUACAAAAAAAAAAAAAAAAGUUUCAAGAUUCACUAAAGACCAAGCCUUGCCUCAAUACAAAAGGUUUCAAGUCAUCCAAGGCACAUGUAAUCGAUUACCAUCCAAGUGUAAUCGAUUACCAAGGGUUUGAAAGUGUGUAAUCGAUUACACAUCAUAUGUAAUCGAUUACCAGAGACUCUGAACGUUGGGAAUUCAAAUUUUAAAUAAAGAGUCACAAUUGUUCAAUAAAAACAACUGUGUAAUCGAUUACACCAAUGCUGUAAUCGAUUACCAAAGAGGAUCUUCAGGAAAUAUCGCGAACAGUCACUUCUUAUCAUUUGGAUUUUGAAUGGCCAUCAAAGGCCUAUAUAUAUGUGUGACUUGGGACGAAAUUGCAGAGAGUUUUGCUGGUCCAAAAUGUCUUAUCCUCUCAAAAGACAAUGAGAGAGAUUCUAAAAGAACUUCAUUGUCAAAUGCUCUCUCAAAAGAAAUCCUUGGUCAAACACUUGCAAAAUCUAUAAGGAUUCUUACAUGGACUUCAAUCAUAAUAUCCUUCUCUUCAAGAGAGAAUUCUUCUUUCUUUCUUCUUAUUCAAUGAGAUUUUUUAAGGGACCGAGGGUCUCUUAAGUUGUAAGGAAUGUUGAACACAAGGGAAGGGUUGUCCCUGUGUGGUUCAAACUUUGUAAACGAAUUUUUACAAAGGGAGUGGAAAAUCUCAAGUGGGUUGCUUGAGUACUGGACAUAGGCACGGAAUUUGCCGAACCAAUAUAAAAUUGUGUUUGCAUUCUCUCUUCCCUUAUCUUAUUUAUUUUGUUGCAAUCAAUUGUGUCUUGCAUGUUUAAAGAAUAUUAUUAAAUUGAUUGCUACUUCUUCUGCAUUCUGAGCCUAUCUCUUUUAGAAGGGGGUUAAAAGUUUGUUAGUGGAAAAUUAAUUCACCCCUUCAUAAGUUAUUGAGGCCACAAGGUCCAACAAAAAGCAUUUGAACAAUUGCAGUUAGUUCAAAGAAAAAAAAUAAAUAUGUAAUUUUUUUAGCUUAAAAUUCAAGAAAUAAGAAAGGAUUUGAAAUGAUUCAUUUUCACCUAAAAUCUCUAAUACGUAAAUCAAAAGGAUAAGUUCUUCAUGACUUUGAUAUUGAAUCAUCAUCUUCCCAAGUGUCCAUCCUUUAGUGCAUAUUACAAAAAUUUAUUAAUGUCAAACUGAAUAAUAAGGAGAGGAAACCAAAUUCAGAGGCACACUUUUCUUAUAUAAGUUCACUAUUUAGGAGAUAGAAAUUACUUUUCUAGAUUUCUUAUAUAAGCUAGUCAGUUAUUGCAUAGAAAAUACAAAGUUAACCUUAUAGCCUAAUAGGUCGUGAAGUCAUAAACAAUGAAGAGAUGAUUAAUUAAUCAAUGAUAAAGUAAGAGGCAAGCAUCCAUAUGACUUACAGUUGAGUUAAAAGGAAAUUAGAGGGUCUUAGCCUAUGAAAACUAGUAUGGUUUCCAUGUUGAUCCAAAUGAGAGACACCAGAAUAGAAGCCAAUAUGAGACAAAAUACAGCAGUUUAUGUUUGCAUCCCAAUUCUUUGAUAUUGUUGAGCUCCAUAAGCCUGUCCACAAAUUGUUUCCCACCCACUAGCCAUUCCCAUCUAUCACCAUAUGCAAAUUAUCAAUGCACCAAGUUAUAAGGAAACGAAAUAAUGGUAAUUUUUAGUAGCAUAACACGCUUGAAAUAGUUUAUAAAGAAGAUAAACUAAUCACUAAAUGCAAGCAUUUAGUAAUAUCACCAUUAUCAGGAAAAACAUUUAGUAAUAACAAGAUAAGCAUCUUAUUUUAGGUUAACCAAUAGGGUAAACAACUUGAACCAAUUCAGUGAACAAAUCAAUUUUUAGGUUAACCAACGGGGUAAAGAAAACAACCUAAAUCAAUCACAACAAACAACACAGUCAUGGAACUUCCAUUCCCCAUUUCAACACUUCUCACCUCAAAUAAGUUAAAAUCAUAAAUCUCUUUAGCAAACAAAAAGAAAUGCAGCUCAAAAACACAUCAAAACAAAACAACUUUCAUUCUUUAAUUUCUUUCAUCUCCUUUAUAAUUGUAGCUAUGAAUCUUCUAGUGUAGCUAACAAAGUAAAGUUCCAUGCUUAUUUUCUCAACUUUUAUCAAACACUAAAAAAGAGAAAACGAAUCAAUUAAUUCAAAAUGUUAUGAAAUGAAACAAUUAAAAUGGAGAAGAAGCUUGUAGCAAUUCAAUACCUUUGCAUGUUGAGGUGACAAGCUCUUUAAUAGUCGAAUUAAGAGAAAAUCGAUCCUCUGUGGAUUUCACAUAUGACACAAAGGAGAAGACAAAGGACGCAAAGGAGAACAUAGAGGAUGUUGUGGGGUCUAUGAAGGACAGGGUGGAGAACGCAGCAGAGAAGACUUUUGACUAUUCAUAUGACACAAAAGAGAGUGCCAAGGACACAACGAGAAUGGUCGCAGACAAGAGUAGGGAGGGGGCUGAGAGGAUGAAGGAGAAGAUGGAGGAGGUGGCGGUGUUGGCAGGGGAGACACUAAAGAGUUUGGCGAAGAAGGCAAAGCAGGGCGUGCAAGGGGCAUGGGAGAUGGCGGUAAACCUUCAAGACUAAGAUGAAGAGUUUUGCAAAAAUUAUUUAAACCUAGGCACAACAAAACCAUGACGAUUUUAGAAAAAUAGUCAUUGACCAACGAGUCCCAACGAUGGUUUUCCAAAAACCAUCGCAGACUAGCUAAUGUUAACAAGUCCCAAUGACGGUUUUCCCAAAACCGUCAUAGUUUCACUAAUCUUAACAACGGUUUUUUUAAAAACCAUCGCUAACGACUUGAGUUAAUUACAAAAGUGUCACCGCCCUAUUUUUAAAGACGGUUUUUGUAUAAUUGUUGUAGAUCCAUCGUCGUGAAAUGCGUGUUUUUUAGUAGUGUGUGGAACUUAUAUUUAUUAAUUAUAUUAUUUUGCGUCCAAUGCGCCGUUAUUAAAACCAACAUCCAUUUAAAAAAAAAAACUAAUACUUAUGUACUGAGUGUCUUUAUGCCUCCAAAAAGGACAUAACUAACUUAUAUAAUUAUUUUUUAUACAUUCAGUUAUUUAACAUCCAAACUAUUUUAUCUACACAUGAAAGCAUCUCGAGGAUGAUUCGCUAAAUAGAACAUUAAUGUUGAUUGCUUGUGUCGGUAUGUCCAAGGGAUUGGGUAUCUAGCAAGUAGUUUAAAAUCUGCAACUAUGCAGGAAAUGGGGUAGAAUACAUCAGUGAAUUAGGGAUAAGCAAGAAAGAUGAGUAGAGAACUAUGAAGUUUCAAUGAACUGGGCAAAUUCCAAGUCUAAACCUAGAUAUUAAUUCAUCAAGAUCGACGUCACCAACCAAGUAUAGUAUUUUUAUCUUUACUUAAUUAUUUCAUUGUCAUUUAAUUUUAUUGCAAUUUGUUUUAUGUCAUUUAUUUUGUGACAAUCACAAAACAAAAAUACAAAAACCUAGUUCUUAGUUAAAUAAUUACAUGAAAUUCCUCAUUUUCUUCAUUUGGAAAACAACCUGAAUGAUAUUUCAAUUACUAUACCAUGACUGGGUUAUACUUGGCCUAUAAGUUGAAUCUAACGUGAAAUAAAAUACUUACAAGUUUUUGGCAUCAUUGUCAGAAAAUAAAUGGAAUUUUAUUUUUAUUUGAUUAAGAAUUUGUAAAUAUUUGUGAAUAGACUAGUAAAUAAUUAUAAGUAGUUAUAUAUAAUUAUAGAUAGAUUUUAUUUGGUGUAGAUAGUUUAGUAGAUAAUACUUAGAGCAAAUAAAGUAGGUGUAUAUAUCUUUUAGAUUAGAUUUAGGUAGUUAGUUAUAGAUUAAAUUUUAUUAGUUUCUAAAUAUCUCAUAUCUUUUUAGGUAGUUGUAAAAAUUUUGAAAUUGAAAAUUCAAAUAAUAUCUAUCAUAUCUUUUAAGAUUUGAUUGAUAUGUCACUUUUAUUUAAUAAUUUAAUUUUAAUUUUAUCUUGUAAAUAUAUUAUCUAAUUGAUAGUGAUUUUCAGAUUUUUUGUAUUUACUAUCAUAUCUUUUGUAAUUAUCUUAUCUAAUUAUCUUGUAAAUAUUUUCAGCAUUUAAUUUUUCCUUCCUUAAUUACUCCUAAUUUUUGAAUAACAUGUAAAUAUCUUUUUAGUUUUUAGUUUUUUUUUUAAUUUUUAUCUCUAAUAUCUAUUAGUAAAUAUAGUAUGUAUAAUUUAGUUGGUAGAUUUAUCUUUAGUUUUCCGAUUUUUCUUUCCCUUUUAUUUUCAAAUUUUCAUGUAUAUAUAUCUUUUAUUUUCUAUUUUUAAUAUAUAUUUACCAACUAAUAUAAUUUAGAAUAUUAUGGGGUUAUCCCUUUAGCAAUGUCAGGAACACUCGACAGAGGAUUUCAUCAUUUGUGGUGUAUAGGCUUACCUGGGCGGUGUAUACGUCCAGAUGUUCAUCUGGUCUGUGGUACCAUCAUAUUUCACAAUAGUCAAGUUUUUCUAGUUGGAGGGGAGAGUUUCCUCCAUGAUGUUGGGGAUGAAAGGGUUCUUGAACUACAACAAUUGUCUUCCCAAAGUGUUGAGGGAAGGGGGAAUAGUGUUCGGACAUACACUCAAGUUGGUAGCCCGGGAGUAAGCCGACUGCAGUUGACUUGGCUUCUUCUCCUUCGGGUGGGUUAGCCUCAGGCUGCCGCGGCCUGUGAGCUUCCUGCAGAUAGGCAUUCUCAUGGCAUUGGGCGAUGACUUCUUCAGUAUGAUGCCUUUGCAUUUCUGAGACCUGAGCUUGUAAUCAUCGCACUAUCGAAGACAAAUCGAUCUCAUCCUCUACAUGAAUAUCUUUGUUCUGCUAAUCAGUUAGUCGUUCCAUCGUUGUUGUAUUUAUUCCAGUUCUCAUUAUUUCCAUAAUCUCUUGGGGUUGGGAUAUAUCUUACUCGACCCCACGAUGGGAGCCAAAAUGUUCUAUCACAAAUGGACCGAAUACUUAUUCUUAUGUUGAAGGACCUUCUACUUUGUCGAAGGGUCUCUCUGAUGGCUCUUUGCCUAUAUCUCCAGUGUGUGUGAAUCCGAGAGAUCGAGGGAGGUAUUUGCAAAAAGGCACUAUAAUGCUCAAGUAAUGGUUCAAUUCAGAGUUGUUGAUGAUAUCUAGUGAAUGCUUAAGAAUGAAUUAGUCUUCUUACCUAGGGCCUCUUCCCUUUAUAUAUAUAUUGACCUUAUUGAGCCCUGAGUCUAUGGGCCUACAUUUUCUGAUUACCAGUUAGGUAAUACGCCUCUUAAUCCACUUAGGUACUUCUAACAAUGUAAUUAUCCUUAAGUAGGUUUGUUGACGAUAAUCAUGGUUGAAUGAUAUUUGUCACUUGUAUAUGUUGAAUGCAGAGGUGUUGAACAAAAUAUGUGGGUAUAUGACCGAGAGGGUACUUGACUUCAUAGGGUAUGUCACAUCAAGAAUCUUCUCGUCCUAACCGAAUACUUAUCUGGUAUACCUAGCUUUAUAACUUUAUGAUGAAAAAUGUUAUAAGGCUUCUUGCUUCUCCAUGCCUCCUCAUUGCACACUAAUCCAUCAAUGACGUAACCUUAUGUCUCCACCCCUCAUCAUGCACAACUGAGUCACUAUGUUGCAAACCACAAUUUGAUUAUUUUUUAAUGGUUACUUUAUGUUUAUUUGUUUGUAAAAAGGUUUGAAGUUGUAUUGUUAAUGUUACUAAAAAAAUAUCAUCCCUCCUAGUAUUUUUUUCUGGUUCCUCCUUCUCCUUACAGCUAGUCCUAAGUAUCAACCUAGGUCUCGUCAUACGUCUUGCAUAACUUAACUAACCACACAUAGGCCAUGUGUGCCUAAUGGUAUUUUCUAUCAAAAUUUACACUAGAUAAUGUUGGACAUGUGGCCUCAGAUAUCUUAAGAAAUGGGGGGUUGAAUUAAGAUAUCACAAACUGUUUCCCCAAUUAAAAAUUAUACUUUGAUUCCAAUGCAAGUUCCAAGUUCCCUUAAAGAUGAAUUUCUAAAUGAUGAUUCAAAUUAAACAAUCUGAAUGUAAGAGUUAAGCAACAAUAAAUAAAAGAGUUUAAGGGAAGAGAAAGUGACAACACAGUUUUCAUACUGGUUCGACAAAGUCCGUUGCCUACAUCCAGUCCCCAAGAAACCCGCUUGUGAGUUCCACUAUCUUGCAAAUCCUUUACAACUUCUGAAACACACAAGGACAUCCCUUCCUUUGGGUUCAAAUGCCUUACAACAAGAGACUCUCAGUCUCUUAGCCCUUUGAUUAGAAAGAGAAGGAGAAGAAGAUGAUCUCUCUUGAAAGAGAUAGAUGUUUACAAUGAAGCACUCAAUUCCUUAUUGAAUUUCACAAGUCUUUGGCCAAGGAAUUAUUUGAAGAUAAGAUUAUUUGUAUUUGAGGGGAUAAGAACUUUGAACUCAUUGAAAAACUCUCUUAAUCAUUUGAGAUGAUAAGACUUUUUGGGCAAUCAAAAACUCUCUUAAUCUUUUGAGAGGAUAAGACAUUUUGGGUAAUGAAAAACUCUCAUCAUCUUUUGAGAGGAUAAGACAUUUUGCACAAGCAAAACUCUCAUAAUCUUUUGAGAGGAUAAAACAUUUUGGACAAGCAAAACUCUCAAUCAAUUUCAUUCCCAAGUCACACAUAUAUAUAGGCCUUUGAUGACCAUUCAAAAUUCAAAUGAAAAGAUGUGACUGUUGGGAAUAUUUUUCGAAACUACUCACUGGUAAUCGAUUAGAAUCUUGGUGUAAUCGAUUACACAGUUAUUUUUCUUAAACAGUUGUGACUCUUAAUUUAAAAUUUGAAUUUCCAACGUUCAAAGUCACUGGUAAUCGAUUACAAUAUUUGUGUAAUCGAUUACAAGGUUUCAAAAAUAUUUUAAAACAUUUUUAAAGCACUGGUAAUCGAUUACAUCUUAAAAAAAUAUUUUUAAAAUCUUUUGAAGGCAUUUUAAAUGUUUUAAGCUUCUGGUAAUCGAUUACUAUAUGUUGGUAAUCGAUUACACAUUUUGAAAACCUUUGAAAAAUGUUUGAAAUGAUUUUCAAAAAGCUUUUGUACUUCUGGUAAUCGAUUACCAGAGAGACUGUAAUCAAUUACCAGAGAGGAAACUUUAAAAUCAUUUGUUUUGAAAGAAAAGUAACUUAGCCAAAUCUUUGUGCUUUCAAAUCUAACUUAUAAAUCUAACUUAAGAAUCUAUCUAGUCAAUCUUACUUGAAUAUCUUGGAUUGCUUGAUGUUUACUUGAAUUAUCCAUGAAGACCAGUCUUUCUUGAAAUCAAAAUCUUCUUGAGUUGGUCUUGGAUAUGCUUGACUAUUGGCAUCAUCAAAAUCUUCUUGAAGCUUUGCAUCUAUAGAUAAGGUUGUCUCGCAUACCAAAUAUGAAUGUAACCUCCUUUUUUUUCACUCUCAUACUAACAUAAACAUCCCUAAAUUGCCUCCUUCUUGGUACUCUCCAUAUUAUGUACGCUCAAGUUUUUCUAGGUAGAAAUUGCCCUCAGCCUAAUUCAAGCACCUUGACAAUUAUGCUACCUAACAUUUUAAUUUUAUUUUAAUGUAAUGUAUUUGAGCUCAACUCACAUUUUAAUGUUGUUUUCUAAUAUAAAUCAUACAUGUCUUAUACAAGAAGUAACCUUGUUUAGCUAGAAAACAAUUCAAACUUAGUAACACUACUAAAAAAUAGGGUUUCAGCAUCGGUUAUUAAGGACUUUUCACAUCGGUUAUUAAGGACUAUUGACAUCAAUUAUUAAUCGAUGUUGAAAGUAUCGACAUUGAAAGUAAUACCAUUAACAUCAGUUUUUCAAAAUCGAUGUUAAUAUAAAAUUACAGUAUCAAUUAUUGAAAUAAUCGAUGUUAUAUAAUAAGAAUUAUAAAAAAAGUAAUAUAAAAAUUAUUUCAACAUCGAUUUUAAUAUAUGCAAACAAAAAAUUGAUGUUGUAUGUCUAUAUUAACAUUAGUUUUGUUUAAAACCGAUGUUGCUGAUCAUAAAAACAACAUCGGUUUUUAUUAAAACCGAUGUUAUUUUUUUUAAUAUGUUGUCUAUUUUUUUAAUAACCCUAAAAUUAACCUGCAAAUUCUAAAAGCAGAACCACAACAUAUAAGUUUCAUUCUGUUUUGAAACAAUUUUUUUUCCAGAAAUUCCAUCAUAAAUUUAUUAUUUACUAUGAAUUAAAAGAAUAUGUAAUGUUAAGAAGACAUGAAUUGUAAAAAAUGUAAAGUAACUAAACUACAAUUAAAAAAUUGCCUAAACAUCCUAUGUUUCAUUUUUAACUUUCAAAUAAUACUUUGUCCACUGGAUGCGAAGCGCCUUGAAUCUCUUUGGUUUCAAUGGUCUAGCAUCAUUGAAAUAUUGCAUGAUAUAAUAAAACAUAAGUUAAUAAUAUAAUACCAAUCAUAAAAAAUGAAAUUUGUUUGAAUUAAACAAUUACCGUUUUCCAAUUAUUCUUGAAACUUCUUAAGAUUAUAGUUGACAUCUAAUGCAUGACGUAAUACCCACACUCAGUACUUCCUUUUUGUCUAUUACACUAAAUACAUUAUGAAAUUUAGAUAUUCAAUGUUAAGUACAAAUUAGUCUACACAGUACUAAAAUAUAACUAGAAGCAUUGUUUAAAUGACUUACUUUAACAAUAAUACACCUAGCAGCAACCUUAGAUUUACUUUGUGGAGUAUCGUCAAGUACUUUUGAAACACUAUUGAAUACAAACAUGGAUGCUUAUUGUACAAUUAAAAUAUUGAUGUUUCUGGCUAAUGCUAAUGCAAAUGUAUUGAAAAACAACAUUGACCUGUUAAUUAUUCAUUUGAGGUAGUUGUCUGGCCUAUUACGUAACGAACAAAACCAGAUGACAACAUUUUCCUUAGGCAAAAUGAUGAGUAUUAGCCAAUAUGCAUUGCAGUGGAGACCAAUAUAGGUUAUUAUGCUAUUAUACAUUAUUUAAAUUCAUUUGUUCAGUUUAACUUACCCACUCAAGUAGGCUCUUAGGUACAAAUUUAUAUGCUCAGCUCCAAUUGAUGUUCAAGUAUUGCUCCCAUCAUCUUGAGGCUUGGACAUGAUUUUAUCAUCAUUUUCUCAGUAGAUGUUAUUCAUAUGCUCUCUCUUGAUAUGUUCACUCCUGAUCUUAUCUAUUCUUAUAAGUCUAUGCAUGCACCACAACAUUCUGAUUUCUGCAAUGCCUAAUGCUAGUGUCAACACUUAAAAGGGCGAUAAUAAAUUUGAACAGUUGAACCUGAUUAACUAAUCUGAACACCACUAUUGGCUGGAGGGACUAAAUCAGUAUGAUACAUGCUGAACACCACUAUUGGCUGUUGGGCUUCAUAAUCAUACAUACAUUGUUUGUUAAUGGCAAUGAAAUAACAUAAUAGAGGAAUGUCUUGAGUUUCUUGUGUGCUGACAAGCAUAGUGAAUCUAUAUAUCCUAGAAUUUUGCCAAUAAAUAUCAUGAAUUUAUUUUGUUUGCCUAAUGAUGCUUUAGAUGUGUAUUCUGCUACUUUUUGAGUGAGAAACACAGUUUAAUAUUUACCAACAUCACACACAUCAUCAAUUAUUAGGAAAUAGAUUUAUUUGCUAAACUAUUUGUUUUUCUUGUGCAAAAUGGCCUUGAUGCAAGUUAAGCUUCUACAUGCUUCUUAGAUUGUUGAUGCUAUGUCAAUGUGCAUUUGUAUUUUUUCAUCUGAGAAGGUUAGAACCUACUAAUCAAAUAAUAGAAUUAAAGAUGACUGGAAUAAUAAAAGUCGAAGCUUGUACUAAGAAAUGAAAGAGUAGUCUUUGCUUUCAGAUUUCACCUAUCCCAAGAGGCUGCCUUGAGGUAUCUCCAGAGGCCCAAGCUUGAUAAUCUUUCUCAAGCUACUUAGGACAAAUUUAUAACAAACAAAUCAAAUUCUUAAAUUGUCCAAUAUAUAAAAUUUGAGCAAAAUUAUAUGUAGCAAGCAGUUCAUUAUUGAACCAUAAACUAUAGUGACUGCUACUUCUGUCAACAAGUCGGUCUCUUUAGAAUCUAUAAUUUAUAAAGAACCAACGGACUGGAAUGAAAUCAAUAAAAAAGUAUUCCUUAAAAAGUUUCUUUCAAUCUUAAAAACACAACUCAGUUAUAUAAAACACUAGCACCAUACAUGAUUAAUUUUAGAAUCAGAGUUUGGAUCAACUCAAUUACAAAAGCUAGCUUAUAGUGUAAGGAUUGUUCCUCAGUUAUAUACUUUUGGACUUGGUGCGUGAAUAAUAUGAUAUACCGACUUAAGCAAGAGAGAAAUUGUUUAUCUCCAUCCACUUAAACACAUUGCUAAUAGAAUUCAUCAUUUACUUCUAAGUACAAAGUAAGUUGUUUAGAAAAGCAAUUUAAUGAGCCCCUCAUUAAAAUAGAAAGUUUAGUGCAUAGAGAAGCAAGUAUACCUUCUAUUCAAGACGUCAUUUCUAGUCCAAGCUACAAGUCCAAAAGCAUAUAUGUCUAUUGGGUACACCAGCCAAAACAUUAAAAUCAACCAUGUUAUAAGUUGGAUAAUGAAGAAAUGCAACAUUUAGAGAAUUUGAGAGAUAAAAUUGAUAUUAUUAAUUUUAAAUUUAAGUAAAUAGACAUUUUGGUCCUUGACUUUUGACCCCUUUUGCAAUUUAGUCCCUAUCUUUUUGAAAUGUAAAAAAUAGUCCUUAUCUUUGCAUAAGUUUUGCAAAAUAGUCUUUGCCGUUAAAUUUAAAAGUAAUGUCGUUAGUGAGGUGCAUUGUUGGCAAUUUUAGUGCCACAUAGACUAUCCAAUGUGGCAAAUUGUCCCAGAUUGUGACAUGUAGACUGGACUUUGAUGCAAAAUUUAAAUAGUUGUCAAGGAAGUUGCAGAGAAAUGAAAAAGCUAGCAAGGAAGUUUCACAAUGAAGAAGACGAAAACUUGCCUCUUCCGAUUCACGAUGGAGACUCUCGUCCCUUGGACCCUCAAGGUACGUCCGAUCGAUCUUCCUCAACUAACUAUUUUCGAUUACACAAAAUUAAAAGAUUUCAUUUUGUUUCAUAAAUUUGAAUUGGGUCAUGGAAUUAAUAAAUUAGUGAAGAUUUAGAUUUUGAUGCACAAAGCAAGAAGAGCUGGUUCGUUCUCUUGAAAGGAGUCAAGCUCAACAGAGUCGCUUAUGGAGGGUACAUUCACAACACAAUGCUACCUAAUUUCAUUCAAAUCUACUGUAACAUAUUGGGCUCAUCAUGUUAACCUUAAUUUUUUUUUUUGUUGUUAUAUAGACCAUAUUUGCAACUCUAUUCUUCUGUUACAUCGUGUUUCUUUUGUACUCCAUCUUCCAGUAGGCUUCAUCUCUGUGGGAACUGGUAUGUUUCAAGAGUCUUAUAGGAUUUGAUAAUUAUUCUGUUUUCUGUUGUAACAAUUGAACCAGUUCUCGUGAUAAAGUGUAAUGGUAAUUUGUGUGUCAUGUAUUUUAGAAGAAGAUAAGUUGCUCCACAGUGCUUUUGCUAUGUGGAAGCCUUUGUGUUUUACUCUUUUGUAGACUUAUUACAUUGAAAUAUUUUUAGCUCUUUUUUUAUUAUUUUCUAAAUUUUAUAACAUUGAAUAUGUUGUGCCUUUUGUUGUUCUUGAUAAACAACAGUAUCAUGCUUACUUCAUGGAGGAGAUCUACUCAUGGAUGAUUAUAUUUGCAGGUUCACUUCUCUUGUCAGGAUUUCUGCUUCCCAUUUUAUGUUAUGAACUUUUUCCUUGAUUCUUGUUGUAUUAUCCUUAUGCCGUAUAGUUGUGGAUUUUAGUCACUUCAUAUUCUGUUUGCACCCUUUGCCAUCAUUAUCUACUUGUUAUCCACAUAUCACAAAUUAUGAGGACCAUUUCUAUAGAGUUAUUUAAUUGAAUAACUUCUACAGAUUAGAUUGUUGUUUUAGCAUGCUCAUUUGCCAUCAUGGGAUUGCUUGACCAGUCAAUGCAUCAUAGGAGAUGGAUCCAUUACUCAUGAGAGGAGAGAAGCUUUAGAAACCUUAAUUUGAGGAAGAAGAAGCACGUGAAGAAGAAAAUAUUUGACAACUUUUUAAAUUUUGCAUCAAAGUCUAGUCUAGGUGUCACAAUCUGGGACAAUUUGCCACGUUGGAUAGUCUAUGUGGCACUAAAAUUGCCAACAAUACACCUCACUAACGACGUUACUUUUAAAUUUAACGGCAAUGACUAUUUUGCAAAACUUAUGCAAAGAUAGGAACUAUUUUUUACAUUUCAAAAAGAUAGAGACUAAUUUGCAAAAGGGGUCAAAAGUCAAGGACCAAAAUGUCUAUUUACUCUUUUAAAUUAUCUAGACUCAGAGAUCAAUAUUUAUAUGAUACAGAGUGACUCACAAUAGAAGAUACAAAAGCUUGUAAUAGAAGCUACAGCUACCAAUGACAAACACUACUGAGCUGGCAACAACUAAUGCAGUUACAAUGUACUAUACAGAACAUAAAGGAAAUAAGCCAUAAAACUAUUUGUAGUCUAUAUACUCUAUCAGCUAGCAACAAAGUACAAUUAGCAAAGGAAUGAGAGGGGACCGCAUUUACAUUUUUACCACAAUAUCCUAUGGCUAACUGCUAAUUAUGUAAAUGAUUGGUAAUCCCAACACUUUCAUACAGGAAAAAAAUUGACAAUACAACUACGCAAAAAUAUAUACCCUACAACAUGUUAGAAGAAAGAAAAAGGGAAAACCUCAGUUUUUAAACUCUCAAGAAUAUUCAUAAGAUAUUCUAUUAAAAAAUUUCAUUUGUGACCUUUAAAUCAAUACGAUGGCACAAUUUUCAUCCAUGAUAGGUGCAAAAGUCAAAUUAAGUGUCAACACCAGAAUUAGUACCCUGUCUAGACAAAGAAAAAUUAACAAAGAAAAUGAAGAAUGGAUAAAAGAAAUAUUGCAGAAACAUCUAGAAGAUAGAGAUUGAUUCAUCAAACACUACUAUAUCUAAAUAUAAUUAUAUACAAAUUAUAGAAAGAUAAAGAUAUCUGAAAUAGAGAACGAAAUCACGAGCUCCUUAUAGAAUAGGUUGAUGGUUUAAUCCAAAUUCCCAGUGUAUGGUAAAAUAAGAUAUAAUUAAUAGUUCUUUGUUAUAAGAUUAGCAAAUUUUAAGAUGCUAACAUAUUCCUUAGGAUCCCAAUCAGAGUUCCAAAUACUCCAAAAACAUAAAAGUUAGAAAAAUAGUUGGUCCACCUUCCUCAUUUUCUCCAGAAUGCUGGACAUUUCAAAAUUCAUGCACUACUCAAGGUAGCAUAUUCAAUCCUUCAAGCAAUUCAAAUCUAGAAUUUUAACCAUAUGAACUAUAUGACACAUAGAAGUGUUUGCAAACGAACCCAACAAUGUAGUGAAGCUGAACUUAAACUAGUAUGUAUAACACAACAAACUCUUAUACGCUUUGCAUCUUCAUAUGCAAGCACAGAAACACACUCUUAUUUGUGAUGAUAUCAACAUACAAAUAUACACACAAUUGCAUCACAAACCUUCCAAUGUAAAUGCUCUACUCUUAAUUUAUGAGCGAAAUUGAAGCUAUAGAAAUGAGGCACAAAUUGUAUGCAAGUAAUAAUAAUAAUAAUUAAAAUAAAGGCAAUGACAUAAGAACCUGUGUUAGUUGCUCGUGCAACUCAAUAGGGUAGUGUCGAGUGUUUCACAAUUGUAGAUCCACUACGUUGUGGAUGGAAAAGACGAAGUUAGCCCUCAACUUGAAGAAGAAGAAGAUGGUCAUGGUGGUGAUGGUCGUGGAAAAGACGAAGUUAGCAUUACCAAGAAAUCAGUUACUAAACUAACCAUUAAACUAACACGUACCUUGCAUUGAAGUCGGACUCCAACAGAGGAUGCUCUGCCUUGCAGCAAUAACGAACCCCAACGACGACGAUGGGGAGGAGGAGACAGUGGUAACAGGUCUCGCGGGUGAGGGAGAAGAGAAAGGUUUUGUUUGCGAGACUAAACGCGCGUGGAGGGGGGAGGGGGUUUGGGUUUUAAUUUAUGUAUAACACAACAUUGAUUUUUUUUAUAAAAAACUGAUGUUAACAUCAACUGGUUAACAUCAAUUUUUUAUAAAACUGAUGUUAAUGAUCUCAUCUAACAUCAGUUUUGAAAACACCGAUGUUAAUCAGUUGACGUUAACAUCGGUUUUUUAAUAACUGAAGUUGAUGUUAACAUCAAUUUUUUAAAAUCGAUGUUAAUAUCAACUAGUUAACAUCAAUUUUUUCAAAACCGAUGAUACUUAACUCAAAUUAUUUAUGAAAAUAUUAUUGUGCUUUUGUUAACAUUAAUUUUUUUAAUAAUCGAUGUUAACCGUGUGAUGUUAAAUCUAUAAAUUUUAGUAGUGUAAGAUCAAUUCUCUUAAUGAGAAUCUUUCAUCGUACACAAAUUUUGAGAAAAAGAAUUAAAUAUAUACGCACUUGUCAAUUACACAUAGAACUACGUUAAAUACGCACCUUAUGAAUAAAAUCAAUGUUUAAAUAUAAAACAUAAAAAUUUACCCUGUGAGAUCUAAGGAUUACAACCUGAUGAAUAAAAAAUCAAAUAUAAUCCGUACGCAGCUCACGCUUCUAGAUAAGUCCAAGUUGUAGUAAUCAAAUGAGGCAGUGUUUGUCACAUGGCUGCGGUCACCUUAAGAUCGUGGGUGAAAGCAACUUUGAAAUUAUGUCGGCCAGGUAGGACCAUUUUGGUUAAUUAAGCACUAAUCCAACAUUAUAAAAUUAACUAAAUCUGAUUCACAUAAGAGGAGUCCUGUUAAUACACAUAUUUUAACACAACUGUAACUCAUGGAAAUUCUUAUUUUCGACAAUAUUUUAACUAAUAACGGAAGAUAUGUAUUAAUAUAGUAUGAUGAUAUGAUUAACAGACAAUUAUGUUUUUCAAACAUGUGAUCAGAUAUCUAAUCUUGUACAAAAAUAUUUAUUAAGAGAUAUCAAUUUUUGAAUAAAUUUCAAUCCCUUAAGGAAAUAACAUCUAAUUUCGCAGUGAAAGUUACUUCACGUUCACUCAGAAAAAAAAAAAAAAAAAACAAAAAACAAAGAGAAAUACCCUGUUUGAAUUUCCUAAAAAUUGUAUCAGAGCGUGUUCACAAUGUCGGUUCUAACGAGUAGAGUCCUUUUACUUUUUUUUUAAAAAAAAAAAACAGAGAAAGCUACACUUGCACAUGCGCCAGUUGAGACAAAGAAGACGUGUAUUAAGCAGUCCAUGCUUCCUUGCUUGAUUGGUGAAUGGCAAUGUCAUUCCCAUUUCUUUUUCCCAAACCCAAUAAUUCCCAAUAUUUUUGUUAACUAGACCCCACAACACAAGCAAACCUUUAUUUAUAUAUGGCUUAAAUAAAUUGUUGUUGUCGUCUUUAUAAAAUAGGGUAUUUUAUUUUAGUCGUUUCCUAGUCCUUUAAAUAUUUAAUUUUUUUAACAAUAUUAACUGAUGAGAUAACAUUAUUAUUGAUAAUUUAUUAAUUUUUCGUGUCAUAAAAAAUCUAAAAAAUAAUCAAAUAACUAUUUUUUUAACGAUUUGUGUUUUUAAAUUCUUCAACUAAUAUGAAAAACAUAAUUUACUAAAAUAAAACUUAAUGAUAUGACAAAUGAAUGAAUGAUGAAUGUUCUUGAUAUCAUUUAACAAUGUUAAUUGAUGAGGAAGAUUAAAACCAAAAAAUAUGUAUUUAAAAGACAAACAAAAAAGUUAUAUUUUAUCGAAAUAAAAUACAUAAUGAUGCAUAAAUUAUUCUUUAUUUUAAACAUUUUAUUAGUAUUUUUCAUUUUUUCAUUUUUUAUUUCUAUCACAUCAUAAUUCUGUCAUGUUUAUAUUUUUUUUCUUUUUUUCUCUCUCUUUCUAGAUGCAUGAUAAAUUGGGUAUCUAUAAAAAAAAUUUCUAAACCAAAAACUUAUUUAAAGCUUUAUUUAUUUAUUAAUAAAUUUACGUGAUUAAUUUAAUUUAAUUUAAAUAUUUUUUAUACCUAUGAAACAUGUCUUUUCAUAUUAUUACAUAAAUUACUUUUUUUUUGGCUUUUGGUACUUUAAUAUUUUAUUUUUUUCAUACCUAACAUUAAUGUAUGUCCAUAACAUGAGAGACAAAGUAUUAUGCCAUUUUAUUUUUGGAGAAAUAAUAUACAAAUAUUUACUUAUUUUAAAUAUCUCACUAACAUCUUUUAUUUUUUAUUUAUCUUAUUAGCAUCAUAAAUCUUAUAAUAUAUAUAUAUAUAUAUAUAUAUAUAUAUAUAUAUUAUUUUUUUCUGUUCACAUGUCUUAUUGCUUUGCAUAAUGGGUGUUUAUAAAAUAUUUUUCUUUAUUUUAGAUGGAGACGGGUAGAUAGACACGGACACGGGAUGUGAUUAUGGGAUCUGUAGUCCUGUGACUCCGAACACCCUCCUCCCUCUAUAUAUCUAUAUCCAAAUCUCCCUUCAAUUCUCAAUCUCUGAAACCACAAUUCACAACCGAAACAGUUUCCAUCUCUCUCACAAAAUGACAACAAUAUCAAAUUGCUCCCUUCUCUUCCUCUUCCUCUUCCUCUCCACCCUCCACAUAGCUUCCACCCUCUCAACCCCCACCAACUUCAUCAAGUCCUCCUGCAGCACCACCCAGUACCCAGCCCUCUGCAUCCAGUCCCUCUCCGUCUACGCCUCCACCAUCCAGCAAGACCCCCACGAGCUCGUCCAGACAGCCCUCUCCCUCUCCCUCAACCACACCGAGGCCACCAAAACCUUCGUCGCAAAAUGCAACAAAUUCAGAGGCCUCAAACCGAGAGAAUACGCUGCCUUGAAGGACUGCGCUGAAGAAAUCAGUGACAGCGUCGACCGGCUCAGCCGG